rnacentral:lncRNA from 1 species
UCCGACGAUGGUGUUGUAUGCCGUUUCUUGGUUCAUUACGUGGAAAGUGGUUUCUAUCGUAACUCCUCAUGCCAGAACGCACAGCAUCAAUUCCCCAGAGGUUCUUUCCACUGCAUUGUUAAAACGAGUAGCGUUAUACAGUGUGGAAUUAUCUUAUCCUCGAGUCCUAUUAGUGCAAGGACUCUUGGAUGAAUAAUAUAUGCGUCGUUGCUGUCGUCGACCAUAAUCCUUUUAACGUCAGUAUCUACUAUGCAUAAAGUAAUAACCAAAGCAUCAUCAUGGGGAAAAAACAAACCGUCGGAAUCAGACUUUUCGAAGGUGAUACUAUCUUCGAAGUCGUCAUACCAUUCAUGAGCGAUGGUCCGCUUUAAUUUGUGAGUGGCGGUGAAUUUGACAUGGUUGAUUGCUGAGUCAUUUCCAUCCCCAAUGAUCAUGUUGAUGGAGCGUGUUGGUGAGGGAGGCCUUGGUGGGCCGUGAAGUUGUUCCUGCCUGCGUGCGAAGUUGAGUUUUCCUUUGUUGCUGAGUAGUUCCUUCAAGAAUCCUUGGUUCAACAUCCGGACCACCUCCUGCCAGAGAUCCAUGCAGUCUUUGGUUCUGUGCCUUCGUUCCUGGUGGAACUCACAUAGGGCAUUUGAUUUUCUGGUGGCGGGGUCGGACUUCAUCUUCGGACCACCUCCUGACGGAGACCUGUGCAACCCUCUAUUCUAUGCCCCCAUUCUUGGUGGAACUCGCACAGGGCGUUUGACUUUCUAGUAGUGGGGUCGGACUUCAUAUUUGCUGGCCAUUUUACUUUGUUGCCCAGCUUCUCCAGUGCGUACACUACUUCUGAAGGAGAUACAUAAAAGUUAAGUGCAGAUAGCAAAGGAGGCAUACCUCUCUCAUUCCUCAGUGGGGUGACAUGUCGUUGCAAGGCGUUCGAAGAUCUAAUGUAGGGUUGGUGCCUCUCCUUGUUGAGGCAUGGGACUUGUUCUCGUUCUCCCUCAUUGCGUUGGUCUCUUCGAAUUUCUGGGUUUACCGUUAUUAGCCGCCUGGUCGGGCCAUUAAGGUCGUCGUCAUCUCCACAUACCUCGGUACAGUAGACGUUGUGAAUUUCUUCCAAAGUGGUGGGGGAUAUUUCAUAGGACGGCUAAGCAGUUUUCUAGUCGCCCGUGAGCCGUCCCUGCUGAGUCAGUUCUGGAAAGCUGCGACUGCCAUGUUUUCAGACACGUUUGGUAGGCUCAUCCUGACCCUGUUGAACCUGGCUAAGAACUCUCUGAGCCCUUCUCUUGAUACCUGUCGGACAACAAAGAUGUUGUUGACCCGUGCUUCUGCUUUCUUGGCUCCUGCGUGGGCGAUGACGAAUUUAUCUGCCAUUUCCUCGAACGUGGAGAUGCUUUUGGCCGGCAGCUGGGAGUACCACGUUAGGGCCCCUCCUGUUAGUGUUUCGCCGAACUUCUUCAGAAGUAUGGAUGGUACCUGUUCCUUUGAUAAAUCAUUACCUUUGAUUGCCGAGGAUCUUGUCCACUCUUUCUUGGUGCUCCUUCAUCUGGUCGCGAAGCGACCUUUUCGUUUUUCAUUCGUUUUUCAUUUCCUCCAUCUUUUUGAGGAUGGCUGUGAGUGUCCCCCCUUGAGCUUGAGCAUCAGCGGGCGCGUUGUUUGUUCGUGUGACCUCAAGUUCAUCUUCGGUUAUGACAUGGUCUGUAACUGGUGUUGGUGUGCAUCUAGCGUUUUGGGGGUGGCUUCCCAGCUAAACUACUCAGAGCAUUUGUCAACCAUUCUUUCAAUAACCUCUUUACCUCUGGGAGUGCUUCUUUAGUUGUAUAUGUAUAAGCCUUUUUUUCUCGUGGAACCACCAGAUCUUCAGAAGGGGAAGGUGGGUUUUCCACGCUUAUCAGGGUACUAGGGGUUGCAUGUGGAGCAUCCCCUUCAGUAGCCGCGUUGAAAGGGCCCAUAAGAUCGGCUCUAGCAUCCAUGAUAGCUUUCAUUCUUGCAUUGUUUNNNNNNNNNNNNNNNNNNNNNNNNNNNNNNNNNNNNNNNNNNNNNNNNNNNNNNNNNUUAUCCAUGAUAGCUUUCAUUCUUACGUUGUUUUCAGCCAUUCUAGGUUAUAGAAAGUGGUUUUUGAAGGGUCUCUAUAAGCAAACUACAACUUUGAUUCACGAAAUCGCCACAGACGGCGCCAAAUUGUUUGGCUAAAAAGUUAUGAAUACAUUUUAGGCUCAGGAACAAUCGAAAAUAAUAAAGGUUAAUCGGAAUCAAGAGUAAUAUGAACUAGAGAAAACCGUUUAGCUAAGAUCUGUAAUAAUAGUAAAUGUAUCUUAACAUGUAAGAACAAUAAGGCAAGUAAUAAUCUUUUCACGAGAGAGAUAGAGAGAUGGAGAGUUGUAUAUUCUUAAUGGCAAAUACAGAUGAAUCUUUACAAAGGGAAUGUCCCAUUUAUAUAUUAAGGGACCUUCCUCGAAAUAACCAAAGAAAAGUACAAGGGUUGGUGGUCUUAGUGUACGGAUGAGUCAGAACUUUAAGCGACGUCGUCUUGAUUCAUAUCACUCGAUUCGUCCGCUUACUGGGGCCGACCAUAUUCGAGUCGGCCUCAAUUAAGUCGUUCUCUACGUCAAAAGCGUGCGUAGAUAACAUGAAAACAUAGGGAAUCAAAUUUUCCGAUCACAAUAAUGUUCUGACUGAGUGCUUUGACUUGCACCAAUUUUAUGAAAUUACUCACUGAGAGAUGUCAAGGAGCUCCAAGAAAAGCCUCGACAAGCUAGGAAGUGAUUAAGCAGGCAAAGGUGCAGCCAGUUCAGUACAAUAUUAGUUUCAAAUUAUGGAAACUCCUCCUUACAGCUUGUUUGGAUGAUUAUUCCCCGUUGUAUAGUACUGUAUUAUUAUCCCAACAUAAUGUUAAUUUUGAUUGUUUCAUUAAAACUAGUUGUAUUGUCUUGUUAAAUCCAUUGUUCCAGAACAAUGAAAAGUCCCCUUUUUUGAACAAUCGAUUUGGUGUGGUGUGAUUGUUUCAUAUUUUUCUUAUUAAUCCACAAUUCUAGUUUACCCUUUACCUUUUUUUCUAUUUUAACUCCAAAUCUCCAACCUAUAACCUACUUUAUUUUUUUCCAGAACUUCUGCCGCCAACGUUAAAAGUGUUUUGCCGCCUUUUGGUUUAUUUUUUCUACUAAUGUACUUUUAACUCAAUUCUAAUUAGUUGUGCUCCUUUGUUUACCUUCUUCUGUCUCGCUCCUUCCUUUGUUCUGCUUUCUUGAGGUGUUUUGCCUUCUACUGUUUUAUUUUUUAAAAUUAUUUUUAUGCAUAAUUUUUGAUAAAUUUAAUAUUUAAACAAUUAAGGAUAUUUUCGUCAACUUAUUAGUUACAGUACAGUACGAUACCGUCAAACCAAAUAACAAAAUAUUAUUUAACAAGAACAAACAAUAGUCUAUUCAAACAUUGUAUUUAUAAAACGAUACGGUAGAAUACGAUAUAAUACAUUAUAAAACGACAGGAAACAAUGUUGAUCCAACCAGAGAGUUAGGGACAGUCGCAUAGACAGACAUGAAAGUAAAGCAAGUGCCUGGGAAUUUUGGUGAGCUAAAUACAUCUGCUGUGAACAAUAUGCAAGUUUUGACUAGAAGAGAUGAUCCACGAACAGUAUGAUAGUAGGACAAAGACGCGCAUAUCUCAAAUAAGCUAAAGUUUUAGCAUUUUAUUUCUUUGCUUGCAACAACUUUUCUUCUUUUCUUGCCAUUUAUGCUGACCUAUUCGACAAUCAAUUCUUCUUUCAAGAAUGCCUCGACAGUUUCAUGGAAGUUGGAGGAAAAGUCAGGUUUGUCUUACAGAGGAGAGAAUUGAGAUUAUUUUUCAACAAUUUUGUUAGAAAAGUGAAGGGGCAAUCAGUAUGCUAUCAUCCCAUGUCAACAAUUUUGUUAGACUGGAUAUUUAAUACUAUGAUCAGAACUUUUAGAGAAAAAUAUGCAUAUGAUUUUCCCUGUUUUGCAAAUAGUGGAGUAUAUAGUUUUCCUACACCACGUCAGAAUGUUCCGACAUUCAAUCCAUGCUACAACUGCAAUUACACAUUAAACUUACACUUCUACUUGUGUAUAUAAACAUGAAUAUGCAGAUGUGUCCUUACACAGACAUAACUGAAAAGAAGGAAUUUCUUAAUUGUAUCAUCAUUCCAUUUCUCUUCUAAUUUUAAACUAAACUUUCUGCCUGCAGGAACUCUUACUUCAUGAUACUUGUUGCUCUAACUAAACCAGUGUUCUCAUCAGCAGGCAUUUUAGCACCUCCUUUGGAAAGUCGCAACAAGCUCAGUAAACGGGGAAGACAGGAGAACGAAAAUAAAAUGGCAACCACAAUAGUGAGUAACAAUCAGAAAAUGGAAAUAGUUACUAUUGCAAUUAUUUGAAAAAGAAAAAGGAAAAAAAUAAAGAAAAGAAAAGAGUGCAGUGUAUUAACACAUGCUAUGUAAAAUUCAACGAGAUUCCUGGUAAGUCAUUCAGUAUCCUGUAUCAAAUUGUUGAUCAUAUUUACCAAUGGAAGAGUGCCCUUUGUCAUAAUCUCUAUUCUAGAAGUAUUUGAAGCGCGAGCGAAAAGGGACAGCCCGAAAAAUAUAAGCUCAGGAAGAUACAGCCGAGAUGACAAGAAGCCAUGCCAAUAACGAGGUUCUAGAUCAAAAAAGGCAUCGAAAAACCUUCUCGUAGCGGGUAAAUCAAGCUUCAGAAGAAUAUCCAUACCGAAGCAAAAGAAUUCUCUUUGACGUCUCCUUUCUAUGGGCCACAAAUCUUUCCAAACAGCUGCAGAUAACUCAUUACCAAAAAGGUCUUUCUCAGAACCAAGGUACUGAAUUAUUGCAUUAGCGACGACUGGAGCUGCAGCUAGGGUCCUUGCUACCAUAUAACCUGUUGACGGAUGAACCAUACCAGCUGUACCACCAACUCCAACAACUCUCUGAGGUAAUACAGGAAGAGGGCCUCCCAUCGGAAUUACACAAUACUCGUCCUCUUCAAUUCUCUUAACUUUUAUACCCAAGUGACUUAAACGAGCCACCAUUCUUUCUUGAAUAUCGUCCAUACGUAAUCCAGGACGAGCAACAAGUGAGGUUUCUUCAAGAAAUAUUCUAUUCGAUGAAAAUGGCAUGGCAUAUAAAAAGGUUGGAGCUUUUCUGUUUCUCUCCCUCAGCACCAUAUUAUUACCAAGAUGCGAAUCUCGCCAAAGUUGGAACUUUUCUAUUUCUCUCCCUCAGCUCCAUAUUAUUACCAAGAUGCGAAUCUCGCCAAUCCAUGAGAACCAUCUUGCUUGUAUCAAAGGGAUGUUCCUCCACUUCCGCCAAUAUGCCAUAAGCUACUUGAUAUCCAGGAUUAUAUGGCUUAUCAUACUGAACGAGACAUCUUGAGAAGCCAGUUGCAUCAAGAACCACUGUUGCCUGAACAGUUACACCAUCAUUGCAAAUCAGCAUAGAUUUAGCUUCCUCGUGAAUUACCUUUAUAACUUUGGCGUGGUGGAAUUUAACACCGUUUAGUAUGCAUUUCUGCAUCAUUUUGGACUUAAGCUGUUUCCUAUUAACCCUUCCAUAUGGUCUAUCAAGAUCUUUAGUUGUAUUGUCAUUGAUAUAAACAACAGUACCUGACCAUGUGGCGUCGAGGCAAUCCAACAAAUCCAUGGCCUCAAAUUCAUCCACCCAAACACCAUAGUUAUUGGGCCAUAUCAAUUUCGGCGAUGGAUCGAUUGAAACAACCGAUAGUCCAGCCUCUGAAACCUGCUGUGCAACCGCAAGUCCAGCGGGUCCACCACCAACCACAGCUAGAUCUACAACAAGACCUUUUGAAGGGUCAUACAUAGGAAGCUCAAAAUCAAGAUUUUCCUUUUUGGUCUCAGGUACAAGCUCCAAAAGGGUACUACUACUAGCCUUAACACAAACCCCUUUACCCCAAUCUUCACAAAAUUUCAUAGAACCAAACUUAUGGGGCUUUACAGAGUUAAAGGAGCUAGCUUUAACAGAAAAUCCAUGAAGUGGGUGCAAAAACUCAAGCUUAUUUGGGGUUUUCAGCAAUGUAUCCAUAUUUAGAACCAAACUUAUGGGGCUUUACAGAGUUAAAGGAGCUAGCUUUAACAGAAAAUCCAUGAAGUGGGUGCAAAAACUCAAGCUUAUUUGGGGUUUUCAACAAUGUAUCCAUAUCUUCCAACAGAGGGUUAAAAAAUUCUUGAGAACUACAAACAGGAUUUCAAGAAAGUUCCCUAACUUUCAAUUCUUAAUACUGAAAUAACGAAAAUAAAAGCAGGUACUUACAAGCUUGGAGGUGCUAACUGUGACAUGAGAUACAGAAAAUUCAGAACAUGAUAGGGUCUUGAAUAAUUCUCAAGAUUUGCCAUAUAAGGGAGUAUUACACUUGACAGAAGCUAAUACUCGAGAAAGUGAGCAUAUGAAAUUUUGAAUGCUCACCGUGUAGACAACGAGCAGAGAAAGAGAAACCUCAUCCUUUUCUGUUAAAAAUUUGGCACAAAUGCUUGUGGUGAUAACACUACCAUGUCAAAUGGUAGCAAAUAUCUACUUCAAUUUUAGCAUAAUAAAAUAUAGAAAGGUGAAAAAAGGAAUGAUAGUGUGAUUUUCUUUUUUACUUUUGCUCCUUUUUCACACCGAAUUAUUUUUACAGAUUAGUUUAAGAAUAACAAUUUUCACAGAUUAAUUAAACAAAACAUAGUUUCACAUGAAAUGAAAAUUAGGUGUGUUUACUCGUAAAACAAUACAAUUGAAUUUGUAACGUGGUUUAUAGUCACGUGGAUUAGUUUGAUCUAAGAAUAUGAAAAUAACAAGAACAUAAAUAAGAUUAUUAAAAUAACUGGUUGUAGAUGUAGCUUCUCCGAAAGCAAUAAUAAGAGCAAUAUUAAAAACAAAAAGAAAGAGAAUAAUUUGAUAUAGUAAGAGUAAAUUAUAGCCUUUUGAGUACAUAUGAUUUUUCGUGUCUAAAUAUGGAUACAAAUCAGAUAUUUGCAGUUCUAUUCACGGAGACAAGAUCCUCUUCUUGAAUGAGAAUAAAACUCCUAUUGAUGGCUACAUAAUGGUCGAACAUUAAUAUAGAGAUUCUUUGUAAUGACUGCUCAUUGAAUGUUGCCUUUUCUAACCAAUGUCUUCCUUUCAAAUCUUCGUUCUUGGUUCCAAUACCUUAGGGACUUAUUCAGUACCGGUCACAUAGUUGUAUCCGGUGCCAACUAUUUGUUGACUCAUAUCUUACCUGUCUUUUGUUCUAUGUGUCAUCUCGUCAUCCAUCCAACUGUCGUUAACCACUUUUACCUCAUACAGAUAGUCCCCUACUUUCCGAUUACACAUCUUUGUGUUAUCGGAAAGUAGAUAAGACCCUCUUUCUUGGCGGAAAGCUCCUGAACGGUUUAUGCCACUUGAAAGAAUGCAUGUAUUCUCGCAUGUAAUGACUCGAACACGUAUUAUCCCGUGAUUCACCAAACAAGAGUUCUUGUAUGUUCAUACAUACCUUUUACUUUGAGAUUGGGUCAAGAAAUUAAUCCCAUAAUUUUAGAAUUCUACCACUAUUACCAAAUCUACUUGGAUCAAGUAGGCCAAUCAGUAUACCGGAAAAAACCUAACUCUCACACAUUUGAUCAACCUCUGCUCCCCAAAGAUCUACCAUAGAGGUGUGCUAAAUCUCAACAAAUGCGGACAUCAUACUAUUGUUGUUGCGCCGAUGAUGAUAAUGACCGUGGCUGGAAGAAACAGCUUGUUGUCAUUGCUACCAAUGACAUUCUCCUGGUGACAGCUCCUGCUAUUCCCGAAUCCUACAUUUUUACUCGUAAGCUUUCAGACAUCUUUUUAUUUAUUGUGUUGAAGAAAAUUUUCUUUGCUCCUAAUUUUUACUUUUCUUACUCCAGCUACCCGUUGGGAACCACCAUCGGUAAAAAACUUGACCCAAUGGGUAUAGAAAAUUCUUGACGUUUCCACAUCGGACUCCCUUAUGUGGAAAGAAAUUGCUCCCAUAUUCAAUUGAAAAGCCAAAAACUAUGGUAAGUAAAAGUUCUUCUUUCCUUCUUUCAAUUUUCAAUAUAACUCAAAAUCAAUUUGUUGAUUCCAUUUUGCAAUACACAAACCUUCCGAAGGGAUCUGUUAUUUUCCCUGUUAUUGACGUUGUUGAUGACCUAGAAGAUGCUCAACGACAAUUACAAGAUGUCCUUAAUCGGAAGAGGGCUCAUGAACCUGCGCUUAGUUCCGGUGAAGGUGCCUCCUCCCGGAGUCCCCAUCCCAAAGAUAAGACGUCAAUGAGAAGACGUACCCUGGUUGGGACUCUGGAGGAAAUUUCAACAAAAGAAACCCGAACUGGACCGGCCACAGUAAUCCUUGGUGAUGAAGAAGAAACUGAUAACAAAGCGAUUCCCCUUUAAAGAAGAAAAAGGUAUUCAUCAGCUCAACCAGAUGUUCAAUUGGGAGAACUUCAAAGACUCUUCACGGAAAUGGAGUUAGUUGUGAAUGCUAAGCCUCGUUUUCGGGCUCCUGUCGAUACUUUCAUUCAGGGGAGUUCUACACCUGACAUUACUCCACCAUAAACUUCUACGCCAAUCGCAACAACAACACCUUUUACACUAACUUCUAACUCUUCAUCGGCCCCAAACAAACAGAGAGAGAUAUUCUUGCCCCGCGGUCAACUGACCAUAGAAAAUUAGGGAACACUUACCCGGCACCCGUUCAAAACCCUAGUGGAAAAUGGAGUAUUAUUCUCAUAGUUUCGAAUGAGUGCCACCUACUCUCCAAGCCUGUUGAGGUCGUCAAUUACCUAAAGCCUCUAGCCACGAACAAAUAUUGGAGAAAGAUGGAUUCUCUUUUUGUUGAGUGUCUAAUCAACAAUAGUAUGCAUUGUUCAACUCAUGUAUCAAUUUAAUCUUUUUCUCAUCCCUUCUUUCUUGCUAGACUUUGUAUUCAUGCCCUUACUUUUCAAUCCUUAUAGGCAAAUCUCCUUGCCUCCGAGGGUCUUCAAAAGCUGAUCUUAGACCAAAAGGAACUUACUGGUGAACGUAAUCAGCUUGCUGCCGAGCGAAGCCAACUUGCCCAGCGCCUCCCAGCUUCAAAGGGGAAAGUUGCUCUGACGGGUUAGCUCGAAGCCCGAUUAAAACAAUCCUAGCAAGAUAAAAUGGCCAGCAGCCAAGAUGCCGCUCAAUUACACGAAGAUCUCAAGGAUUUUAAGGCCAAGUAGGCUGAGCUGCAAGAUUUUGUAAUUGCCGCAACCAAAUGUGUGUCUACUUACAUGGAACGAAUCAACAACGUGGAAGCAAACUUACGUUCCAAAAUAGAGGAGGUUUUUGUUGCCAAGGAAAAGAGAGCCAGAAUGGAAGAAAGGCUUAAAAGUUCAUGAAGCAGAAGCAUGAACAUGACAGGACCAAUACCGACCUUGAUUCCAGGAUUAGAAUUGUAAGGGCUAAAAAUGAUUAGCUUCAUUCCAAAAUCAAGAAGCUCCGAGCUAAACUCCAAGAUCAACAAGACUUUUUCCUCUUCGAAAAACCUAUGCAAUUUACCACAUGAGGAGGAAAACCUUGGAGGAAUUCAAAGAAGGCAUUGCAAACAUAGAUGAUUGCAUUUCCAAAGCUUGUGGAUUGGAGACAAUUGCUCUCGAUUCCUGCUUGACCUAUUGCUUCAAGAUCUUCGAACACCAGCUCCGGAUAUUGGGGAACGGAAGAGGAACUUGAAGAAUAAAAAGAUAAGGAUGAAGGCCUUGGACCUAAUGCGAAACAAUUUUCACUUACAAAUGAAGCAAAAUAAACUUUUUCGCUUAAUUAUGGUACAAAAAAAUAUUCCUUUUAUUUAAUUGAUAAAGAUAGGAAUUGUUUUUUUAUAUCUAGUAACUUUGAUCCAGGACAUUUAUACUUCUGGACUACCCCUUGACUAAUAUGGGUUUCAUAAGAGAGGGCCCUUAUGUAUAUGGUGCUCUUUAAGAGGACGUCUCUUAUUUAUUCCUUCACAAGCAUUUGAAGUUUAAUUAACUUUCAAAUGAAAAAUAAAUUAACUUAUCGUUUGGACAAGAAAUAAUAUUAAAAAACUUUUAUUAUUCCUUCCGUUCUCAAAUUAUAUUUACAUAAAAAUUUAUUUGCUUAAGUAAAUAAAGCUGCCAAUACAUGUGGAUAACUUGUAAAACUUAUUUCUACGGGGCUGAUCAUGUAGUCCCCCGUCCUGAUAAGAUUUCGCUCCUGGUCUAAUAGUCCCCAGUCUUCGUGACACUUUUAGUGAUAUAAUAUGCAAUAUUUCCCCCCAGUAUUCGGAUGCUAAGUAUGAGAAUUCAAAUACUGGAGAUCUUGCUAUCAUUGAUGACCAUUUCUUCGUAGUAUGCUUUAUAUUGCUGCCUUAUUAAAAACCUUGCCAGAAAAAUUCAUUUGGGACAAAGACUGAAUAAAGGAAAAAAGAGUGCAACACAUACUUUCAGUAUCAGCAAGGGUCUUCAGCAGCAGUACCUUUUGAGGUGAUCACAUUCCAAUUGCUUGGCAAUUUGACUCCAUCUUGAUUCUCUAGUUGAUAUGAACCCUUACCGAUUACCAUUGAAAGACGGUAAGGUACUUCCUAUGUUGGUCCCAGCUUCUCGCCAUUAACUUCUUAGGUGCAUUGAGUUAUUUUUCUUAGAUUCAAAUCUCCGACGUUGAAAUAACGAAGAUUCGCUCUGUGGUUAUAAUAUCUUUCAACCUUUGCUUUUGUGACACCAUCCUUACAUAUGCUAAGUUUGGAUGCUUCUCAAGUAAAUCCAACUUAACCAACAGUGUUUUAUUGUUUUCCUUAUCGUUUGUCCGGGAGUACCUUAUGGUCGGUUCUCCAAUAUUUAUCGGGAUCAAAUAUUCCCCACCGUACACAAGUGAAAAUAUCACCCGUACUCGACUUCGCCAUUAUUUGAUAUGUCCCCGGGUAGCUCAUCCAACCAAUUACCUUUAACAUUUUCUAACUUUUUUUUUUUAGAUUUUGAAUUAUUACCUUGUUGGUUGACUCCACUUGUCCCUUAGCACUUGGAUGGUAUGGAGAAGAUAAAACCUAUUUGAUCGUUAAUCCUUCCAAACAUUUUGUGACUUUGGAACCUAUGAAUUGCAUCCCAUUGUCACAUGCAAUUUCUUUUGGUACUCCAAACUGAUAGAUGAUGUGAUCCCAUAUGAAAUCAAUCACUUUCCAUUCUCCGAUCUUUUUGUAGGCACCUACUUGAAGCCAUUAGUGAAAUAGUCAGUCAGAAUGUAAAGAAAUUUUACCUGCCCGGGCGCUUGGGGUAUGGGACCAACUAUGUCCAUCCUCCAUUUUAUGAUGGCCAUGAUGACAACACCGAAUGCAAAAAUUCUACCAGUUGAUACACUAACCGUGCACGACGCUGACACUAAUCAUAUUUUUGUACAAUUGUCUUUGUGUCAUGUUCCAUCCGGACUUAAUAGUAGCCAACCCUUAUAAAUUUAAGAACUAACAAGUCUGCACCGAAGUGAUUUCUGCAUACUCGUUUGUGAAAUUCUUUCAUCACGUAGUCAGCCUUCGAUGUCCAUAAACACCGAGCCAAUGGUCCUUAGAAAUACCUUCUGAAUAAUUGACUUUCAACAAGGUAAUAACGAGUAACUUUAGUCUGUAGCGUCCGAGAUGCCUUUGAAUCUUCAAGAAAUUUUCUCUGCCUUAAAUACUUUAUAAACUCAUUUCUCCAAUUAGUUGGUUGAGUUAACUUUACAAUAUUCGUCCAUGUCCAAUACCGAAUGCAAUAAUUGAUCGCACCAGAAUCAAAUCCCUUCAUUUUCAUGGACACCCCCAAAUUGGCCAAGGCGUCUGCCUCCAUGUUUUCUUCUUUUGGAAUGUGGAUGAUCGACCAUAUCCUGAACCAGGAAAGCAAUACCUGAACUUUAUUCAAGUACUAUUUCAUGCACUCCUCCUUGGUGUCAAAAAUUCCAUACAUCUGGUUCACUACCAGCUGAGAGUCGCACUUUAUUUCAAUUACCCGGGAGCCUAAUCCCCGAACUAACUCCAUUCAUGCAACCAUUGUCUCGUACUCGGACUCAUUGUUAUGUAAUGGUACAAUUCAAAUGGCUUAUCUCAGGUUUUCUCCCGAAUAAGUGAUUAAUACUAUCCCAAGACGAACCAUUUUACGUUGGAAGCUACAUCCACAAAUAAGGUCCAAACAUCAGAGACAAUUCCUGACACUAGAAUUGCUUCUUUAGCAGCUAAAGGUAUCAUCCCCGGACUAAAGUUAGCCAAAACUUCUGACUUGAUCACAGUCCUGGAUUUAUAUUCAAUGUUGAUUUCACUAAAUUCAACUGCCCAUUUAGCCAAUUGACUAGAUAAUUAAGGCUUAUGAAGGAUAUUCCUCAAGGAAAAUUUAUCACAACGGCUAUGGGAUUACAUUGAAAAUAAUGCCUAAGAUUUAGAGAGGCGACUACGAGACUUAGUGCUAACUUUUUAGGGCGCAGAUAAUGUAUCUCCGCUCCCGAUAAAACUUUUCUAACAUAAUAGAUAGGAAAUUUCGUACUUUCCUCCUUUCAAAUCAGAACAACACAUACCGCUACUUCUGAAACCGCUAAAUAUAUUAACAACUGCUCACCUUCCAUCAAUUUUGACAACAGUGGAGGACUAGACAGGCACCUUUUCAAUUCUCUCAAUGCUUGUUGACAUUCCGAAAUCCACAUGAAAUCAUUCUUCUUUUUAUAAGAGCGAAAGGAAAUGAUGACAUUUAUUCGAGGAUCUUGAUAUAAAUCUGCUUAGGGCCGCCAAUCCGCUGAUAAACCAUUGCACCGCCUUCACAGUUGUCAAUUGAUCCGAGAUAUCCCCGAAGGCUUUGAUCUUAUUGGUGUUUACUUCAAUUCCUCUUUGGGAGACCAAAAACUAUAGAAAAUUUUUGAAACUAACUCCGAAAGCACAUUUUUCACGAUUGAGAUUCAUGUUAUAUUUUCUCAGAAUAUCAAAUGUCUCUUGUAGAUGAGUCAAAUGAUCUCCUGCAUUAAGAGAAUUAACCAACAUGUCAUCAAUAUAAACCUCCAUUAUUUUUACAAUUUUCUGCUCAAAUAUUUUAUUGACGAGCCUCUGGUAGGUGGCUCCAGCAUUCUUAAACUUGAAAGGCAUCACAUUUUAGUAGUAUGUACCAAAUUUUGAGAUAAACGAGAUUUUUUCUUGAUAUUUUGGGUGCAUCCUAAUUUAAUUAUACCCGAAAUAUGCGUAAAAAUCUCAUUAAUUUAUACCCACCCAUAGCAUCGAUCAUUUGAUCAAUAUUUGGCAACGGGAAAGAGUCCUUAGGGCAUGCUCUCUUUAAAUCCUUAUAAUCUACACAUAUUCUAAAUUUAUUAAUCUUUUUAGGUACAACCACUAGGCUAGCUAACCAAUCAGGAUAAUUUACCUCUCGAAUUGAACCUAUAUUCAGUAACCGGGUUACCUCUUCUUUAACAAACAUGUUUUUAACCUUUGUUAUCGAUUGUUUCUUUUGUCUUACCGGAGGGAAGUUAGGAUCCAAACUUAGCUUGUGGACAGCCCCUUCCAAUAGAAUACCUGUCAUAUAUGAAUGUGACCAUGCAAAGCAAUUGACUUUAGCUUUAAGAAAAUUAAUAAUUUUUAAUCUUAAUUCAGGGCUCAACCCCAUUCCGAAGUGAUAUUUCCUUUCUAAGAACUCCGUGAAUAAGGUAACUUGUUCGAGCUCCUUUGUGAUCGAUUUGGUUGCAUCUGUUUCCUCCAAUACAUGAAAAGACCUCGGUAUCUGAUAGAAAUGCGAUGAAUCCUCUUCUCCAUUAUAUUCAAUCGGGAUGGAAGAGGGCACUUGAUCACGCUCAACUGAGUCUCGCAAGAGACUACCCGGGUAUUGCAAAUAUAAUCUGAGUAUUAUUGCCAGAGUCGAACCACAGGGAAUUAACCUAUCAAUUACUACUGUCAGAUUCACUAAAUUCACACAAUCUGUUUUCCCAAACUUUCUGAUUCACAAUGGUUGAUUUUCUAACAACUAAAGAGUGAAAGUAACUAAUAGCUGAAAAUUAACUAAACUUGAUGUGUAAACAGUAGAAAUAAGGUCCAAGGCAAUGGUUUCCCCUGUUGGUAAUUUCCUUGGUUGUAUAUGCAUUAUCACUACACUUUAGAUAUCUAUAACAAUCAUGAACGCUCAAGCUAUCAUAAUUCUUUCUCAAUUAAAUAUGAUAAUCUAAUAGACUCACUUUCUCAAGCUACGCUAGCUAAUUUCACAAUAUAGCUAACUUAGAUUGCACCCGGGGUUUCGUUAUCUCUAAUCCAAUACCUAAACCCUCGGUUAUGACUCUCAUCUAUACUCCAGGAGUGGUGUUGUUCAUAUAAUCACCUAAUUAUGCACUCUCUCUCAAGUAGAUACAUAAUAAAUUAGAACAGAUAAUUGAGGGCCCUUUCAACUAAUCCACAAUCAAAACAUAGAUGAACAACUAGCGAUUAACAACCAAACCCAAUUAUAUUAAUAAAACAACCAAGUCAUCCCCAACGGGUUCCACCAAAACCUUAGAUUAAGGUUUUAGCUACUCAUAUCAAUGGGAAAAUAAACUACUAAAAGAUUUAUAAUCAUAAAUUGCAAGAAAAAUAAAGAAGAAUAAGAAUAACGAUGUUUUGGGUAAUCUCUCACACUUGUUUCCCUUGCCAAAGUACUCUCUAAAAUGUUACAUUCCUUCCUUGGGCGAGCUUGACUUUAUAUAGGUUAAGUGGGUUUCUCUCCAGAUUUCAAAUUUUACCCUAAAUAACAUUUUUCUUGACCGGACACGCGCGACCUCGCGCGUACUUCGCGAGCUUAUUCACGCAUCUUUCUGCAUGCGCGAGUUCGUGCAUUCUUCGCGCACUUGGGGCUUGAUUUCUUCCAAUAUUUCGUCUUGUCCUUGCAAGAACUCAACUUCGAGGGGUCAUUUUUGCUCAUAAAUCAUUCCAAUAGCCUCUUGAAAGCAUUAUAUUGGCUAUUCACCCUGCAAUGUAUACAAAUCACAAUUAGAGCCUAUUUUUUUAUCAAUUAACCAUAUUAUGUCAUUGAAAUGUAAUUACGCGGAAGCAUAAACAAUAGUUAAAUCACCUAGAUUUUGCCUAUUAUCAACACCCCACACUUAAUUCACUGCUAGUCCUCGAACGAUCAAACUAUACCCUCUAUAGAAUCCUUCACUCAACCAUUUCCCUUAACGCAUUAUAUCUAGAACAAUGUACACACAUUACGUCUAGCAGUGAACAAUCCUAGCCUCAAAGAUGACUCUCCAGUGCCAUGCAAUAUUCACACUUCCUCAAAGUACUCUACACAGAAGUCAAGACUUGCUUUUCUGUCACGAAUCAUAUGCCCUUUCAAUCACAGCAACAAAAAUUGAAUUCAAUCCACACAUUUGAUUCAUAUACUUACAUAUAUCAAGGAGAACACUCACUCUCGCAAAAGAAGUCACAUGCAUGUAAUUGGUAUCAUAAGCUUGCCCUUAAUGUAAAUCUCUACUAAUGUAAGCUAGCUCGACGCGAAAUCACUUAGGACUUUUUUAUGGUUAUAAUGUGGUCUAAGGGACGGUUAGGAUAUAUUUAAGAAUAGUUACUCAACCUCCUAAUCACCUUAAUACAUCACAUGAGAUAAUUUUUAGCGCAAAUUCUUCAAGCCACUUCUUAUUCACAAACAAAAUCAUCACACAAAUACUCCAUUCUUCUUUAAGCACUCUAUUAAUUCAUACCCACUAGCUGGAACAAGACACAAUGUAUUCAUCUCUCUUUUUCUCUUUUUUUUCCAGUUUAUUAUUCUUUUUCUUUUCACUUUCCGCUAGUGGUGUAGUAUUUUAAGAAGCAAGUGCAACUUUCUUCAUUCUAUUGGUUCCACUCAAAAUCCACCCCUCACUUAUUUCCUUCUUACUUCUUUUAGCGCUCCUCUCACAAUUAAAGUGCUUUAAGAGGUAAAAGAAUCAAAACAUGAUCAAUUAAGAACAAAAUGGUAUAGGCUUGAAAUGUGGGUGCCAAACAAAAGUCUAUAGGCUCAAAAGGGUUAGCUAGGGACAAAUUUUAUUUAUGAUAAGUUAUUAAUCUUAAAAAGUAUCAAAGAAAGCCUAACAUCAUUUUUCAAAUCGAGCAUCACCUAAGAGUUCGCUUAAACUCACAUAGCGGGCAAUUUCUAGACACAAGUACAAUACAUGGACUACACAAACAGUUACCACACAUGGUAUAUGACUCAUUCAUAUCAGCUCAUCAAGACGCUCCAUUACGAGCAUUCAAUUCAGUAACAAACAUACAAAUUAAGGCUCUUUCAGUGAGAUUCAACAGUUAGGACUAAGAGUUAUACUCUAGGGUCUAUUGUGUUUAGGUGUGUCAACGCUCUGGGUUCUCUUUCAAUUUUAUAGCUCGUAGCCCAUUACCUAAUCUACAAUUCUAAAAAGAAGACAAAAAUAAAAACUACCUAUGCCCGGUUCAAGCUAAACCCUUGGAAAAGAACUGUGGCCUGAAGAAAAACCAAGGGGGAGUUGCUACACUACCUAAGAAGAAAAUAAAAGAUCUUUUUGGUAGUUUCUCUAGACUAAUUUCCCUCAAGAAAACCGUCUGAAAGAUCCGUCAUCAGGAAGAGUCUACCUAUUUUUAAAUUUUUAUUAAUCGACUCAGUCUCUCAAGUACACCGUCGAAAUGGAUCCGUCGUUAGGCCGAGCCAUUUAUCUAAAUUAACAAAUGAUUCCUUCUCCACAUCAUCAAAAAUUCCAAGUCAAAAAUGAAACAAAGCAAAACAACACUAACAAUAAAUUGAUAUAGAUACAUAUAACAUACAAUGAAGAAAUCCCCUACCCCACACAUAAAAAUGAAAACAUGUCCCCAUGGCUUAUAAUUUAAAACAGCGGUGAGGUAAAGAGACUUCCCUGGAGCCUUACUCUUGGUCAGAAACGGUUUCUAGGUUCACGUUGCACACACACCCCAAAGCUCGCAACCAACCCUUGAACUUCUUUUCCGACCUGACUUCUCAGUCAGCUAUCACAUCCAUAUGAGUGCCCAAUUCAUUCAUGGAGGUGCCUAGAACUGCCACCUCCUACUCCAAUACGGUGUACCAGGACACUCUGGCAGUUCCUAAAGAGGACGCUGCUCCUGUAGGUGCUGCUGGAGCUAGUUCUACGUCCAUUUGUUCAUCCUCGUCCUCCCCCGAAGCAUUAGAACCACUCUUAUCCUUACCUCCUGCCACUGGGGCUAGCCCCGUGGUGUUCUUGCCAGGUCGGAUCUUGUGGUAUUUUUUACCAGCCCAUCCAUACGAGUAUAUUCGGGAUCCUGCACUUGCCUGCACAGCUUAGUCACCAAAGAGGGGAAAAAGAACCCAUACUGGCGUUGGGGCACUAGAUAAACAUCUCUUCGUGGAUCACUUUGGCUAUUUCGAAGGGAAGACCCUUGAUGAAACACUAAAUCAAUGCAGUUCGAGGUCCAUUCUUAUCUGUAGUAUUUUUGGAUGGAAUGAGGAGGCUGUUAAUAACAUACAACCAUCUUAUCGACUCAGUAGUUAGGGCAGAGGAGUGGAACGUCUCUCCGUGUUCCAGCCACUCCACCAUUUUGUCGGGUGCACAUAUUUCAUCAAAGAAGCGCUCCCACUUGGAAUCUGUUGGAUAGCGCCCCCACUCAUAAUAGUCCGUAUUAUUAGGCAGAGGGAUGGGCAAUUGAUAUGCUAUGUGUAUCGACUUAACGAAGACAUCCACCGCCUUGCAGAGCACCGUGACUAUACUGCCUUCAUGCUCAUGCAGAUUGUCAUAAAAUUCUCGAACGACCAUUACAUUAGACUCCACUGGCUCAUCAAUGAAAGACUGCAAACCCCGCUCCAUUAACUCCGAAUACAUGUGUAGGAAGUGUGCCUGGACCGAACAAAGGUUAAUACCCCUCUCCGAAAUUGGCAUUUUGGCGGCCUUCUCCGUAAAAUGGGUCUGAGCCGUAGGUGAGACAAAUUUGCUGCUGCCAUAGGUAGGGCUGCCCUUUGGCAGCUUGAGAAAGGACCUGUGGCUUGGCGCUUUCUCGAUGGUGACAUAAUACCUACAAAUGGUGAACACAUUAGCUCAUCCCAACAAAAAUAGUGUGACUUAAUGCGGUUACUCAGACUUCACACGCAAAAUUAGUCACAACUACAUAAUCAUGCUCAUUGAGACCUUUCCACAAAUACUCGUGUGGCCCAAGUCGGGCUCCUAGGCAUUUAUUUUUGCAUUUUUGUCACCUGUUUUGCUUCUUGUUGGCCCAAGUUCAGUUGAAGUUUUGAAGAUUGACAAAUGAACUCAAAAGAGGACCUGGUCCAUCUUGAGAGACACAGUUUGUCAUAACCAUUGCACAUGGGAGGCACGUGAGGAAGAUAUGUAUUGAAGAUCACGCAGCAAAUAUCUUCUAAACUGAAUUGAAAAGAAUGCAUUGAGUUCUAAGGAGGACAGUCUCCUUAUGAUAAGAGAACACAAUCCUAAGAUAGGAUAAGGAUUGGAGUUUGUAUUGGUUAAGGACUCAAAUCGACUAAGGAUAAGCAUUGGAGUCUCAAUCAAACUCUAACUGCUAAUCUAUUAAAUAACUAAGUCAUUCUCUUUUACAGAUAAUGCACGUACGCAGAAGUUAAGCAUAUUUGAGAGAAAAAAGAGUGAGUAUUAUUUACAAGCAAUAUAUGUGAGAUACAAGUGCGCACGCCUUAAGCUACAUGAACUAAGAUAGAAGAACCAGUUCCAUCAUUGUGUUUAUUCUAAGUCUAGUUCAAUUGUAGUAGGUUUUCAUAUUGUAACUUUCAGCUUUCUUAGAAGCAAUUGCAUUAGGUACUGUGAUUAUUCAAGUUAGAGUUAACUUGAUAAUUUCUCAACAGUUGAGGUUGUGUGCCACACUGGGAUUAUAGUUUAAUCCUUAGGUUUACAAAGAGUUUUUGUAAAUUUUGUUUUGGCUCAUUGAUUUUAGUGGAAGUUUUGAAAAAUCCUACUGAGUAGUAGGUCGUGGUUUUUUCACCUUUUGAGCCAGGUGGUUUCCACGUAAAAAUCUCUGUGUUCUUUAUUUAGUAUAUUUAAUUCCACAAACAUUAGCUAGUAAGAACACCUAGAAGAACCAGGUUCUUCUAGAUUGAAAAUUGGGUACCACACAUAUAACACCCCUCUUGUGUAGUAUUGAUGAUUAAUAACACCAAUUGGUAUUAGAGAAGGUUAUCCUUGAAGAGGUUAACACCUUAGGAAAAGAUCAAUAUGAGUGCACCACCUGGGAAUUGGGAAGGGCAAUCCACUUCCAGGCUUCCUCUUUUCAAUAGCCUCUACUACUCCUGGUGGAAAAACAGAAUGAGGGACCAUAUCGUGGGUGAAGACUAUGAGCUUUGGGAUAUCAUCACUGAUGGUCCUUUAGCCACGACCAAGAAGACUACUGCAGGAUUGGAUGUUCCAAAGACUACAGCAGAUUGUACUGCUGGGACCUAAAGAAGUGGGAGAAAAAUGCAAAGGCCAAGAAAUGGCUAGUGUGUGGAGUUGGUCAUGAUGAGUACAGCAGGAUUCAAGGUUGCACUACUGCCAAGGAGAUUUGGGACACUUUACAAGUGGCUCAUGAAGAAACACCUCAAGUGAAGAGGUCAAGAGGAACGCUGUUGUAUUCUCAAUAUGAGAAUUUUACUAUGAAGGACGGAGAAACUAUCCAAGAGAUGUAUACUAGGUUCACUACACUGACAAAUGAACUUGAGUCUCUUGGGAGGACUAUCAUGGAAGAAGAUAAGGUGGAGAAGAUCCUAACUAGAGUUCUGCAAUCUCCUGGGAAAGAAAAAUCAUAGCUAUUCAGAAAUCCAAAUACAUUACUACUUUAAAAUUGGAUGAACUGAUUGGAAAUCUUACUACCUAUGAAUUGAGAAGGCAGAAAAUGAAGAUGGAUGCUCCAAAAAAAGAAAGAAGUUUGGCUCUCAGAAUCUCAGAAGGAUCAGAUCUUGAAGAUGAUGAAAUGACUAUGAUAACUAGAGAUUUCAAAAAAUAUCUUAUGAGAGGAAAGGGUUCUUCAAGAGGAUCAACAUUAAACAAACCUAGGGCUCCUGAGAGGCAGACAAACGAUGGUUCAGGGAUUUCAAGAAGUAUCUUAUGAGAGGAAAUGGUCCUUCAAGAGGAACAACAUUUAACAAACCUAGGGCUCUUAAGAGGCAGACAAAUGAUGGUUGCUUUAAGUGUGGAAAGACAUAUCACAUGAUCAAAUACUGCACUAAGUGGGAGAUUGAAUGGAAGAAAGAAAGGGCAGACAGAAGAAAUAGGAAGAAGGAACAGGUUCAACCAAGAAGGAACAAAGGAUCAACUAAAGCUAUGGUUUCUAAGUAAAAAUGGAUUCUCUACAAUUAGCCCAAGUACGCGCUCGUCACCUCACGUACAAGGCAUUCUAACAUCAAAUAACAUAUCUGUUGGCCCAAGUUUAGUUGAAGUUUUGAAUAUUGAAUAAUGAAUUCAGGAAAGGACCUGGUCCAUCUUAAGAGACACAGUUAGUCAUAACCAUUUCACACGGAAGGCACGUGAGGAAGAUAUGUAUUGAAGAUACGCAGCAAAUAUCUUCUGAACGGAAUAAAAAAGAUUGCAUUGAGUUCUAAGGAGGAUAGUCUCCUUAUCAUAAGAUAACACAAUCCUAAGCUAGGAUAAGUUUAAGCGUGUUAAUUAAUGAUCCCCUCUUUUGGCACAAAAGACUAGGCCAUGCAAGUCUAAAUCAAUUGAACAAAUUAUUCUCCAAAGACUUGGUGAUAGGGUUACCUAAUAUCAAGUUCAAGGAAGACAAAGUUUGUGAGGUGCCAGUCUAAAUCAAUUGAACAAAUUAGUCUCCAAAGACUUGGUGAUUGGGUUACCUAAUAUCAUAUUUAAGGAAGACAAAGUUUGUGAGGCAUGUUUAAGGGGGAAGCAGGUAAGUGCAUCCUUCAAACCCAAGAAAAUGGUAAGUACGUCCAAGACGUUGAAACUGGUUCAUAUGGAUCUCUAUGGUCCAAUGAGAGCUAUGAGCAGAGGUGGUAAAAGAUAUGUAAUGGUGCUUGUUGAUGAUUAUUCUAGAUUUACCUGUGUGUUAUUUCUAACCUCUAAGGAUGAAGCAUUUGAAAUGUUCACUACUUUUGUUCGAAAAACCUAGAAACAAUUAGGAAAUCAACUUGAAUCCAUUAGGUCUGAUCAUGGAACUGAAUUUGAAAAUGUAAAAUUUGUUGAAUAUUACGAUGAAAAUGGUAUAGAUCACAACUUCUCUACCCCUAUGAGUCCUCAGCAAAAUGGUGUAGUUGAAAGAAAGAACAGGACCCUUGAGGAUAUGGCGAGGACGAUCCCUUAGCAAAAUGGGGUAGUUGAGAGGAAGAACAGGACCCUUGAAGAUAUGGCAAGGACCUUGCUUCUUUCCAGUAAACUACCUCAUAGCUUCUGGGCAGAGGCCAUAAAACUGUUUGUUAUAUAAUAAAUAGAUACAUGACUAGUCCUCUUGUAGAGAAAACUCCCUAUGAGUUAUUUAAAGGGAGAAAACCAAACAUAUCCCAUCUUNNNNNNNNNNNNNNNNNNNNNNNNNNNNNNNNNNNNNNNNNNNNNNNNNNNNNNNNNNNNNNNNNNNNNNNNNNNNNNNNNNNNNNNNNNNNNNNNNNNNNNNNNNNNNNNNNNNNNNNNNNNNNNNNNNCAAUAAUGGCAAAGACUCCCUAGGUAAGUUUGAUCCCAGAAGUGAUGAGGGAGUAUUCUUGGGAUAUUCUUCACAAAGCAAAGCAUAUAAAGUGUUUAAUUACUCAGUGUGUAAAAGAAAGUUUACAUGUUGUUUUUGAUGAAUGUAACACUCUUUCUUAGAGACAAGAACAUGAAGACGAAGCCAUCGGACUGGUGAGACAAUUGAUUGAAGCCACAGCACAAGUAAAGGUGGCAUCAAAGGAAGGAGUAGGUGAUGGAACAGGUUCUUCAACCCAGGGCAACCUGAUACGGGUAACCAAUCUGGGAGAAACUGAACAAAAUCCUUUAAAAGAACAUGUACCUGAACCUGUUCCUCUGCAAUACAACAAUGAAUGAGCAUCUAGCAGGACCCAGCUGGUGGGGAAAUCUUACAAGUACCUGAGUUCUCAUCCCAUUGAAAACAUCAUCAAUGAUCCAAGAUCUAGAGUCAAUACUAGAUCUCAACUGAAGUACCUGUGUGCAUUUAAUGCCUUUCUAUCCCUCAUUGAACCUAAAAAUGUGAGUGAAGCUCUACAGAAUGCAGAUUGGGUAAAUACUAUGCAAGAUGAUCUCAAUCAAUUUGAAAGAAGCCAAGUCUGGCAUUUGGUUCCAAGACCCAAGGACAGAUCAGUCAUUCUACACAAGAUGAGCUCAAUCAGUUUGAAAGAAGCCAAGUCUGGCACUUGGUUCCAAGACCUAAGGACAGGUCAUUCAUGGGAAAAAAUGGGUCUUGAGGAACAAACUAGAUGAAGAUGGAACAGUUACAAGAAACAUGGCAAGGUUGGUAGUUCAUGGCUAUAGUCAAGAGGAAGGUAUUGACUAUAAUGAGACUUUUGCUCCAGUUGCUAGACUUGAAGAACCUAGACUCCUCAUAGCCUUUGGAGCACAUUAGAAAUUUACUCUUCAUGAAAUGGAUGUCAAAAGUAUCUUCCUAAAUGGCUAUCUCAAAGAAGAAGUGUUUGUGAAACAACCUCCGAGAUUUGAAAGCAAAGAAUGCCUUGAUCAUGUAUACAAGAUAGAUAAAGCUCUCUAUGGUCUCAAGCACGCCCUAAGAGCUUGGUAUGAAAGAUUGUCAAAAUUCCUUCUAGAGCAUCGGUAUAAAAGAGGUAAAAUUGACUGCACUUUGUUCCUAAGGAAAAAAGGUAUAGAUCUUCUUGUUGUAAAAAUAUAUGUUGAUGACAUAAUAUUUGGGGCCACUACAGAUAGGUUAAGAACUUCGCUAAACUACUGGUAAGUGAGUUUGAAAUGAGCAUGAUGGGUGAACUCAAUUUUUUCUUGGGGCUACAGAUUAAAAAUAGUCCAGAUGGAACUAUGAUCCAUUAGCAUAAGUACACAAAGGAACUAAUCAAGAAGUUUAAAUGGAAGAAUCCAAAGAAAUAGAUACACAUAUAGCAACUGCCACAAAACUAGAAGUUGAUGAACCUAGUUCAUCAGUUAAUUAAAAGUUGUAUAGUGGUAUGAUUGGUUCACUUUUGUAUCUUACUGCCAACAUACCUGACAUAGUUUUUAGUGUAGGACUUUGUGCUCGUUUUCAGGUAAAUCCAAAGGAGUCACAUUUAACAGCUGUCAAAAGAAUAUUGAGAUACUUGAAAGGCACAACUGAUAUGUGUCUGUGGUAUCCCUUUUUAGUGUAGGACUUUGUGAUUGUUUCCAGGAAUAUCCAAAGGAGUCACAUUUGACAGCUGUCAAAAGAAUAUUGAGAUACUUGAAAGGCACAACUGAUCUGUGUAUACGGUAUCCCAAAGGUAGUAACUUUGACUUAAUUGGAUAUGCUGAUGCAGACUAUGCAGGUUUCCUACUGGAUAGGAAGAGUACUUCAGGUAUGGAACACGUCCUAGGGUCUUGUCUUGUAUCAUGGGCUAUCAAAAAGAAGAAUUCAGUGGCUCUCUCUACUACUGAAGCUGAAUAUGUUGUUGCUGCUUCAUGUUGUGCUCAAUUAUUGUGGAUUAAGCAACUACUAGUGGACUUUGGAAUUAAAGUGGGGUGCAUACCAAUAUUUUGUGAUAACACUAGUGCAAUUAGUAUGACAAAGAACUCAUUUCAUCACAAAAGGAAUAAGCACAUAGAUGUUAGACACCACUUCGUAAGAUUUUUCUAUGAGAAAGGGAUAAUCUCCAUAGAAUUUUGUGCUACUGAUAAACAAAUAGCUGACAUCUUUAGUAAUGCAUUGAGUAGAGAAAACUUUGAAAGGAACGGGCUGGAAUUAGGGAUGAUUAAGAUCACCUAAAAGGUCCAGUUCAGAAUGCACAAAAAAAGUUUUUUUUGGUUAGGAGUUCUUAAUUCAUGUGAAUAUUAGAAAAAUUCCUACUCAGUCUUAUGCUGUAAACAGUAUACUCUUGUGACAUGUGUUUAUACAAUUCACUAAUCUCUUACAAAUUUUCUAUUCCGACAUUUGAGGCAUAAUCAAGAGACGUUUCACUUGAAGAACCUAGUUCACCAAUAUAUGCUCAUGAGAAAGUUCAGGUACUUUUCGAUACUUUGCACCAUUAGGAAAAUGUAAUUAUCAAUCGUGAGCAAGAUUUCUAAAUAUACCAAACGUCCUAACAAUUCUAUCUGUUGGGAAAAUUGAACUAGUUUCAUUGAAACUAGAAGUCUAAAUAUAACGGAGCCCUCUCCUAAAUAUUAGCAAUCCUAAUUAAUCACUAAGAAGACUGGAACUCUAAAUUGAUUAGACUUCUACAAGACCUCUGAAAAAUCUCAUGUUUCUGAGUAAUCAUCACCCCUAUUUAAAAGCCCCCAAAUCACUCAUAACCGUCAAUUCUUCACAAAAUCCCCUGACCAUCCACUCUCGUCUCCAAAAAUUCUCCAAAAUUCUCUUAAGGUUUCUAGAAAUUCUUCACUAUGAUAAAUACCCAAGAAAAUACUGGAAAUCCACCACCUGUUUCACCCAACACCACCUCAUCUUCCACACUACCUUUUGAAACCCAAAAACCAAGAUUCUGUUGCCAGAAAAUGCUAGCAAGGAAAACUAUAGCUACUGGUUCUCUGAGGAAAGAUUUGAAUGAGAAAUUACAGCAGUCAAAAGAAUGAAGUCUCAGCAAAGGAGACAAACUCUAGCUCUGAAUCUGAUGACUACAUCUCCGUCAGUGAAGGAGAUGAACCUGGGUCUUCUGAAAAUGUCAAAACUCAAGAAACCUAAGGAGAGGUAAACUCAUGCUUUGUUUUUCUGAUGUUGUUCAGAGGGAUGAAAAUAGAUUUGUUCUAAUAGGGGCUGCUAGAGAUGUAGGUGGGACUGAUUCUGGGAAAAUGAGGAAGAAAAAGAAGAAUGAGUUUUUAGCCAUAUGUGGGAGUGGGGAAGAGGGAGUCUCGAAGUCAGGGGGAAGUGGAUCAGGUGAAGCUGCUGAGGGUUUGGUUAAUCUGAGAAUACAACAAGAUGAACCUGGUUCAUCUGGGGAGGAGAUCUUGGCUGAUUUACUGAAGAAGGUGGGGUCCAGUUAUGAUCCAAAGAAACGCAAGACUUCCUCACAAAAGACCCUUGCUACGUUCAAACCAACCAAGAAAAGCAAAUUUUCAUCACCCAAGUCUUCUCCUUGGAUUAGAGCCACUAGAAGUAAGAUUAGGGAGAGUGAAGUAGAGUUGAAGAAAGCUUUAGAAGAGAGUAGGAAAAAAAGGAAGGAAAAGGGGAAAGCAAAAUUAGGUGAAAGUUCUGAGGCUAUGGUUGAAGAGGAGGAAGAAGAGAUGGAAUAGGUCUAUCUAGAAAAUAGUACUACUGUAGAUGCUCCCACUACCAAAUCAAAGGGAACCAGGACUUCUGCCAAGAAGCCCUCCAAACCAGUAUCUGCUGAACCUUCUCUUGCCAAGAGAACUAGGUCAGCUGCAAAAGGAAAACAAAUGAAGAUAACUGAAGAAGAGGAUGAGUGGAGUGAGGAUGAAGAAGAUUAGUCAGAAAAGGAACAUGACAGGUAUGCCAUGUUUGGCAAGAGGAAAAUCUUAAAAGGAAGACUACUUAAAGACCUGGAGGAACCAGGCAUGAUGAGACUUGUGACUGCACUAGAAGCACAGGGGUGGAAGGACAUGGUCCUUCAUAUGGAUGGUAAAUUGGCCAGGAAAGAACUUGUUGGGUUUAUGGAAAAUGGGACAGCGAAAAAAAAGCUGGUGACAAGCACAGUGAAAGGGGUAAAAGUGAAGUUCAAUGCUGCCAAGCUGGGCAAGAUUCUAGACAUCCCUAGUGAGGGAUAUGAUGACAAUACAAGGCAGAGGUGGCCAUGUCUGGAUGGGCUGCCUACUGAUCUUCAGAUCACUAGGAAUUUCUGUGACACCACAUAGGAUGAGGAGGUGCCUGAGGUUAGGGCAGUGCAGAAAAGUGAAAUGAGGCCAGAACACAAAGUGCUCUUCGAGUUUGUCAACAAAUGCCUUUUUCCCAGACAUGAGAGAAGACAUAUAACAAAUUAUAUUGAUCUGGUUCUUAUGAAAUUCCUGAAUGAAGGAAGUAGAUCAACUGUCCUGCCUUCAUUGUGAAGCUGCUUGAAAGGGUGCUAAAUGGAUCAAAGGCUCAUGCCAUUCCCUAUGGAUUUAUCUUGACAACUGUGCUUGAAAGAGUGUAUGUUCCCCUGAAGAAGUGGGAAAUGGCUUCCAGCAAGUAGCACUUUGGCAUCAAGACCCUUCAAGCUUGUGAUUAUCUGCUCAGUACAGGCACAGUUGAAUCUAGUUCAUUUGUAAAGACUCUGGUGGACAGCAAGGUCUGAGCCUUGGCUUAGGAGGUUGGGACAAAGGAUGCUGAGAUAGCAAGGCUUCAGCCAGAAUUACUGAAUUGGAGGGAGAAAGGAAUGGGUUGAGAGCUGAACUUAUGAAUGAGAAGGAGAAAAAACAAAGGAAUGCUCCAACAAACGCUCAAUCUGCUACAAACCCAACCAUCCAGCUCUUCUAAGCCUUAGGUGUCAUGUCCUAGUGUGAACCAGUCUAGACCCCCUCAGUGACCCUGAUUUGGGAUAUUAUCUGUUUGUUUCCUUUUUGAGUUUUAUCAUGGAUGGUAAUUCUGUUUUUCUUUUCGUGGACUGCAAUGUAGAAACACCACUAAUCGAUGAAUGCAGCUUCCUUGCUUUUUGUUAAUUUUGUUCUUAAUAGUUAUUUUUGAUGAGUUGAUUUUUGACUAACUAAAGCAUGUGUUCACUUGCAGUUCGCCCAGUGGCCAUGAGUACUAAUUAACUUUCUGGGAUUCACAUUAUUUAUGCAACUUUUUGAUGAUGCCAAAAGGGGAAGAUAUAUUAUGCAUAAAUUCAUUAUCUGAACAAGUGAUGUUUAUGACCUAUUUUAAAUCUGGUCCUUGGUGAUAAGUUAAAAAUUUUCUAAGUGUCUAUAUUUCAGCUGAGUUCCACUGGUUCUCUGAUCACUAAAAGCACAGAAUUUGUCAUCAUCAAAAAGGGGGAAUUUGUUGGCCCAAGUUCAGUUGAAGUUUUAAAGAUUGACAAAUAAACUCAAGAAAUGACCUGGUCCAUCUUGAAAGAUACAGUUUGUCAUAACCAUUGCACAUGUGAGGCACGUGAGGAAGAUAUGUAUUGAAGAUCACGCAGCAAAUAUCUUGUGAACUGAAUCAAAAAGAUUGCAUUGAGUUCUAAGGAGGACAGUCUCCUUAUGAUAAGAGAACAGAAUCCUAAGCUAGGAUAAGGAUUGGAGUUUGUAUUGGUUAAGGACUCAAAUCGACUAAGGAUAAGCAUUGGAGCCUUGAUCAAACUCUAACUUCUUAUCUAUUAAAUAACCAAGUUGUUCUCUUUUACAGGUAAUGCACAUAUGUAGAAGUUAAGCAAAUAUGAGAGCAAAAAGUGCAAGUCUGAUUUGCAAGCAAUAUAUGUGAGAUACAAGUGUGCACGCCUGAAGCUACAUGAACUAAGAUAGAAGAACCAGGUCCAUCAUUGUGUUUAUUCUAAGUCUAGUUCAAUUGUAAUAGGUUUUCAUAUUGUGCCUUUCAGCUUUCUUAGAAGCAAUUGUAUUAGGUACUGUGAGUAUUCAAGUUAGAGUUAACUUGAUAGUAUCACAACAGUUGAGGGUGUGUGCCACGCUGGACUAGAAUUUAAUCCUUAGGUUUACAAAGAGUUUUUAUAAAUGUUGUUUUGGCUCACUGAUUUUAGUGGAAGUUUGGGAAGAUCCAAUUGAGUAGCAGGUCGUGGUUAUUUCACCUUUUGAACCAGGUGUUUUUCACGUAAAAAUCUCUGUGUUCUUUAUUUCUAUUUAUUUAAUUCUGCAAACAUUAGCUAGUAAGAAUACCUAGAAGAACCGGGUUCUUCUAGCUCGAAAAUUGGGUACCACACAAAUCACCCCCCCCCCUCUUGUGUGGUAUUGACGAUUAAUAACAUCACUCCUGAUUGAUGUUCCUUUCACAAGCCCUUCGUCACCUGCAUUUGUUAGUAUGUUAAAACUCAAUAUCAAACACCACUAGUAUCGUUGGGUUGCCUCCCAACCAGCGCCUCAUUUAACAUCGUGGCACGACGGUUACAACAAUGCAAUGGGUUGCCUCCCAUACAGCGCGUGAUUUAACGUCGCGACACGAUGCAAGUAGUUGAUCCCUUACUCCUCAUUUGCGUACUGAGGUUCUUUGAAAUGUGUCACCACUAUAUCCCCUUUUUCUUUAGCUAUUACAAGGUGAUGUUUCAACCUUUGCCCAUUGACGGAGAACUUGUUCAUCACAUCUUUUGACUCAAUAUCAACAACUCCACUUGCAAACCUUAGCACCGCUUUGAAUGGCCCUGACCAUCGGGACUUUAACUUACUCGAAAAUAAUCUCAAUCGUGAAUUAUACAAUAAUACAUUAUCACCGGGUUUAAAGUCUUUGUCCAAGAUGUGCUUGUCAUGUAUCUUCUUCGUUCUUUCCUUGUAGAGCCUCCUGCUUUCAAAGGCUUGAUAUCUAAAUUAUUCCAGCUCAUGCAACUCUGUUAGUCGGUUUCGUCCAGCUGCUUCAGGAUCCAUGUUCAAUUGCUUCAGUGCCCACCAAGCUCGAUGUUAUAGCUCCACAGGCAGGUGACAGGCCUUCCCAAAUACCAACUUGUAUGGUGACAUACCAAUUGGUGUUUUGAACGCAGUUCUAUAGGCCCAGAGUGCGUCAUCAAGAUUCUUUGCCCAAUCAGUUCAGGUGGCAUUCAUAGUCUUCAUUAGUACACUCUUUAUCUCCCUGUUGGACAAUUCAACCUGCCCACUUGUCUGCGGAUGAUAAGGAGUCACAUCAUACUUAGCAAGUAAUUUCUUGAAGGCUCUAUUGCAAAAGUGAGUGCCUCCAUAACUGAUGAUUGCUCUUGGUGUCCCAAACCGGGUGAAUGUGUUUUUUUCCAGAAAUACGACCACAACUCUUGCAUCAUUGGUGGGCAAGGCUACAACUUCCACCCAUUUAGACACGUAGUCCACAACAACAAGUAUGUACUUAUUGCCAAAUGAGUUGACGAAGGGACCCAUGAAGUAAAUCCCCCAAACAUCAAACACCUAUACUUAUUGAAUUGGUUUCAUUGGUAUCUCAUGGUGACGGGAAAUGUUUCCCAUCCUCUAGCAUUCAUUGCAGCCCUUUACCCAGAGGUGUAAAUCUCUAAAUACAGUUUUACAAAAGAAUCUGACCUCUAGCUCUUUCACAACUGUUCUGACCCCUCCAAAAUGUCCUCCAUAUGCUGAUGCGUGACAAGCCUGCAAAAUCGAAGAUUGUUCUAUCUCGGGGACACACCUCUAGAUAAUGUUAUCAACACAUAUUCGAAACAAAUAAGGUUCAUCCUAAUAAUACAUGCAGCAAUCAUGAAAGAACUUUUUGUUUUGGACUAAUGAAAGGUCAUAGCGAACAAUACCGCAAGCCAGGUAGUUUGCAAAAUCUGCAUACAAUGGCGCAUCCUCAAGACUGGCUGCAAGCAGCUACUCGUUUGGAAAGGUUUCCAAAAUCUCUUCGACCUCGACUGAUUUUUUUGCUCCUUCAAAUCGUAAUAGAUGAUCAUCAACAUGAUUUUAUGUGCCCAUACAGUCAUGAAUUUCGAGGUCGAACUCUUGCAACAGCAGCACCCAACGAAUUAGGCGAGGCAUAGACUCCUUUUUCUCAAUAAGGUACCUGAGAGCUGCAUGGUUAGUAUACACAAUUACCUUAGAACCAAUCAGAUAUGAUCGGAAUUUGUCAAAAGCAAACACAAUUGCCAACAUCUCCUUCUUCGUCACUGUGUAGUUGAGCUGUGCACUGCUUAACGUUAUGCUUGCAUAGUAAAUCGGGUGCAUCCGCUUAUCUUUUUGUUGCCACAAGAUUGAUCCUACAGCAGAGUUGCUGGAAUCACACAUGAGCUCAAAUUGUUGCUCCCAGUUCUCAACAACAAUGAUGGGUGCAGUUAUCAACUUCUUCUUCAGUUCCUUAAAUGCCAACCUGCAAUCUUAGAAAACACAAAGGGCUAAUUCUUUUCAAGGAGUUUGCAUAAUGGGUUAGCAAUUUUGGAAAAGUCUUUUAUGAAACAUUGGUAGAACUCGAUGUGAAAAAGGAAACUUCUCUCCUCCUUGACUGAAGUGGGCGGUGGUAAGUCCUCAAUCACGUCAACCUUAGCAUGGUCAAACUUAAUUCCUUUUCUGGACACUCGAUAUCCCAGGACUGUCCCUUCUUGUACAUAAAAUGGUACUUCUCCCAGUUUAGCACUAAGUUUAUCUCCACACAUCUUUUGAGCACUCUGCUUAAGUUGUGAAGAUAGUCUUUGAAUGAAUCUCCCACCAAGGAGAAAUCAUUCAUAAAGACCUCCCUAAUAUCCUUCACCAUAUAUGUGAAGAUGGCUAGCAUGCACCGUUGAAAAGUUGAUGGUGCAUUGCAAAGCCCAAAGCGCAUUCUUCAAAAGACAAAGAUGCCAUAUGGAUAGGUAAAUGAUGUCUUCUCUCUAUCUUUGGGGGCUAUUGAUAUCUGAUUGUACCCUGAAAAUCCAUCUAAGAAACAAAAGUGCGAUCUUCCAUCUGUUAGAAAAUACGCUUAAAGCUAGAGGGGGGGUGAAUAGCGUUAUAAUAAAAUUUAGCGUAANNNNNNNNNNNNNNNNNNNNNNNNNNNNNNNNNNNNNNNNNNNNNNNNNNNNNNNNNNNNNNNNNNNNNNNNNNNNNNNNNNNNNNNNNNNNNNNNNNNNNNNNNNNNNNNNNNNNNNNNNNNNNNNNNNNNNNNNNNNNNNNNNNNNNNNNNNNNNNNNNNNNNNNNNNNNNNNNNNNNNNNNNNNNNNNNNNNNNNNNNNNNNNNNNNNNNNNNNNNNNNNNNNNNNNNNNNNNNNNNNNNNNNNNNNNNNNNNNNNNNNNNNNNNNNNNNNNNNNNNNNNNNNNNNNNNNNNNNNNNNNNNNNNNNNNNNNNNNNNNNNNNNNNNNNNNNNNNNNNNNNNNNNNNNNNNNNNNNNNNNNNNNNNNNNNNNNNNNNNNNNNNNNNNNNNNNNNNNNNNNNNNNNNNNNNNNNNNNNNNNNNNNNNNNNNNNNNNNNNNNNNNNNNNNNNNNNNNNNNNNNNNNNNNNNNNNNNNNNNNNNNNNNNNNNNNNNNNNNNNNNNNNNNNNNNNNNNNNNNNNNNNNNNNNNNNNNNNNNNNNNNNNNNNNNNNNNNNNNNNNNNNNNNNNNNNNNNNNNNNNNNNNNNNNNNNNNNNNNNNNNNNNNNNNNNNNNNNNNNNNNNNNNNNNNNNNNNNNNNNNNNNNNNNNNNNNNNNNNNNNNNNNNNNNNNNNNNNNNNNNNNNNNNNNNNNNNNNNNNNNNNNNNNNNNNNNNNNNNNNNNNNNNNNNNNNNNNNNNNNNNNNNNNNNNNNNNNNNNNNNNNNNNNNNNNNNNNNNNNNNNNNNNNNNNNNNNNNNNNNNNNNNNNNNNNNNNNNNNNNNNNNNNNNNNNNNNNNNNNNNNNNNNNNNNNNNNNNNNNNNNNNNNNNNNNNNNNNNNNNNNNNNNNNNNNNNNNNNNNNNNNNNNNNNNNNNNNNNNNNNNNNNNNNNNNNNNNNNNNNNNNNNNNNNNNNNNNNNNNNNNNNNNNNNNNNNNNNNNNNNNNNNNNNNNNNNNNNNNNNNNNNNNNNNNNNNNNNNNNNNNNNNNNNNNNNNNNNNNNNNNNNNNNNNNNNNNNNNNNNNNNNNNNNNNNNNNNNNNNNNNNNNNNNNNNNNNNNNNNNNNNNNNNNNNNNNNNNNNNNNNNNNNNNNNNNNNNNNNNNNNNNNNNNNNNNNNNNNNNNNNNNNNNNNNNNNNNNNNNNNNNNNNNNNNNNNNNNNNNNNNNNNNNNNNNNNNNNNNNNNNNNNNNNNNNNNNNNNNNNNNNNNNNNNNNNNNNNNNNNNNNNNNNNNNNNNNNNNNNNNNNNNNNNNNNNNNNNNNNNNNNNNNNNNNNNNNNNNNNNNNNNNNNNNNNNNNNNNNNNNNNNNNNNNNNNNNNNNNNNNNNNNNNNNNNNNNNNNNNNNNNNNNNNNNNNNNNNNNNNNNNNNNNNNNNNNNNNNNNNNNNNNNNNNNNNNNNNNNNNNNNNNNNNNNNNNNNNNNNNNNNNNNNNNNNNNNNNNNNNNNNNNNNNNNNNNNNNNNNNNNNNNNNNNNNNNNNNNNNNNNNNNNNNNNNNNNNNNNNNNNNNNNNNNNNNNNNNNNNNNNNNNNNNNNNNNNNNNNNNNNNNNNNNNNNNNNNNNNNNNNNNNNNNNNNNNNNNNNNNNNNNNNNNNNNNNNNNNNNNNNNNNNNNNNNNNNNNNNNNNNNNNNNNNNNNNNNNNNNNNNNNNNNNNNNNNNNNNNNNNNNNNNNNNNNNNNNNNNNNNNNNNNNNNNNNNNNNNNNNNNNNNNNNNNNNNNNNNNNNNNNNNNNNNNNNNNNNNNNNNNNNNNNNNNNNNNNNNNNNNNNNNNNNNNNNNNNNNNNNNNNNNNNNNNNNNNNNNNNNNNNNNNNNNNNNNNNNNNNNNNNNNNNNNNNNNNNNNNNNNNNNNNNNNNNNNNNNNNNNNNNNNNNNNNNNNNNNNNNNNNNNNNNNNNNNNNNNNNNNNNNNNNNNNNNNNNNNNNNNNNNNNNNNNNNNNNNNNNNNNNNNNNNNNNNNNNNNNNNNNNNNNNNNNNNNNNNNNNNNNNNNNNNNNNNNNNNNNNNNNNNNNNNNNNNNNNNNNNNNNNNNNNNNNNNNNNNNNNNNNNNNNNNNNNNNNNNNNNNNNACUUCAUCAUAUAUCAAUUUUCGCUUCGUUUGUCAUUCAUCAAAACCUAUACAAAAGAACACACGUUUUAGUAUAUUGCAUUGAGAACUUGUUUCCAACACCAUCCAGCAUGUCCAACAUUUGGUCAAUGAAGGGCAAGGGAAAAUGGUCAUUUCGGGUGGCUGUGUUCAAUUUCCAAUAAUCCAUGCAGAUUUUCCACCCUGUGACUGUACGAGUUGAGAUCAACUCAUUGUUGUCAUUUUUCACAACAGUCAUUCCCCCUUUUUCGGAACACAUUGGACAGGGCUGACACAAUUACUAUCAGAGAUGGGAAAAUGACUCCCGCAUCUAACCAUUCGAUCACUCUUUCUUUACAACCUCUUUCAUGUUAGGGUUCAGCCUUUGCUGAUGUUUCCUGGAAGGUAUGUGCCUCUCCUCCAGGAGACUCUUAUGCAUAUAGAAGGCUGGGCUGAUACCCUUUAUGUCUGCCAUGGUCCAACCAAUGGCAGUCUUGUUAUCCCACAGUACCUUAAGAGCUUUUCUACCUGCACAUCUAGCAAACAGGAUGAUAUAAUAAUAGGUAAGGUCGAAUCAGUUCCUAGGAAUGCAUACCUGAGGUGAUCUGGGAGUAGCUUCAGCUCCAGCUUGGGUGGUUCCUCUAUUGGUGGCUUGGCUAGAGGAGUGACCCUUUUCUCCAACUCAAGGGACUUGAACUGAGGUUCCAUUGACCAAAACCAUCGGCCUUCCAAUACAUCACCCAUUCAGCUAACCCUUCACCAUCCAUUUCUUCUAAAUUCGUCAGGCAUGCCUCCAGUGGAUCUCUCACAAUUAGGGUCCUAUCAUCUUCUUGCAGAACUAUAUCCACCGCCUCCACUCGAGAGCAAUUCGCAUAUUCGCUGGGUCUCCUAAUUGAUUGUUGGACAUUGAAUAUGACUUCUUCAUCAUUCAAUCUCAUUUUAAGUCCCCCAGUCUCACAGUCUAUCAGUGCUCUCCUAGUCACUAAAAAUGGUCUCCCCAAAAUAAGGGGUAUCUCUUCAUCCACCUGACAAUCUAAAAUCACAGAGUCUGCAGAGAACACGAAAUUCCCCACUUGCACUAGCACAUCAUCAAGAAUACCAGUUGGUCUUUUCACACUGUGAUCAGCCAGUUGUAGCAGCAUAGAAGUCGGCAUGGCUCUGCCGAUGCCUAAUUUGGUGUACACUGACAGGGGCAUCAGAUUUAUGUUGGCUCCCAAAUCACACAACGCCUUUGCAAAGGCAUAACUCCCAAUGGUGCAUGGAAUAGUGAAGCUACCUGGAUCAAACAUUUUUUGGGCCAUCGGUUUUGCCACCACCGCACUGUAGGUAGUGUCAGAGUAACGGUGGAUAGAUCCUGAAAAUAAAACUUUCGUGACAUUAGAUCUUUCAUCAUCUCGGCAUAACCGGGCAUCUCCCUCAAGGAAUCCAUCAGAGGAUAUUCAAUUGAAUUUGUCACAACAUCUCCAUGAAAUUUUUAUAUUGGUUUGCCUUCUUUUGUUUGACUAGUCUCUGAGGGAAGGGCGCAGGUAUCACCCUUUGUGCAUUUUUUGCUGACUUUUCUAUGGUAGGAUUUUCUGGCAUAAGAGGUGACACCUGUUCUGCAACUUUCUCGUUAUCUUUUUCUGUUCCCUUCUCCUCCUGACUCUACUCAACCACUACUUCAGUAUGUUCAGUUGGUUCUUCUACCUCUAAGUGAACUGGAGUGGCUGGUGCAGUAUUCAUGCUAGCUUGUGCAAUUUCUUGCUCUCUAUCUAAAUCUCUACCAUUCCUGAGACUGACUGCCAUCAGCUGAUUCCAGUUUUGCUCCUUGGGUUUAUGUUUAUGUCUGCAGGUAAAGUUCCCAGAGGAUUGUUGUUCAACGCCAUGGACAACUGACCCAGCUACGUUUCAAUAUUCUUUAUGGGUGAAUCAUGCACUGCCAAUUUUUCCUGCACUUUAUUAUUUGUUCCAAUAAGUUGCUGAAGCAUACCCCUAAUCUCCAUCAUGUUGUUAUCUUGCUGCUUAGGGGGUGGUUGAUAAACUAGUUGCUGCUGAUUUUGUUGUGGAUAACCCUGUGGUAUCUGAUAAGGCACUAGCACUAAUUGGUUUUGAUGGUGCAUGCCCCCGGGCUGCUGCAUAUUAGGCCUGUAUUGCUGAUUUUGUUGCGGUCUCCACUGUUGUGCUCCUUGUCUUUGACCCCCAUAGUUGUUGACAUAAUUCAUAUCUUCCCGGAUCCCUUGAUUUUCACCUUCUCCGCUCCAGGAACACACAUAGGACUGAUUAAUUCAUGGUGUACAUAGUCCUCCAUUCGUUGUAUCAACGAUAUACACCAGUUUUGUACCCAUAUCAUCAAUCUUCUUUGUCAGUAAGCUCAUCUUGAUCAGGGUUGUGGCCAUUUUCUCUUCCUGCAAAUUUAUUGGAUCAAGUGGAACUGAGUGCACUAUGGGUGCCAGUGUUUCACCUCGAGUCAUCCACCCUACAUUGUGUGACGUCUUAUCAAGAAGAAUUUUGCACUCGGUGAAUAUUUUGCUUAAGAAAGCACCUCCAGCUGGCGCAUCCACAUUUGCUUUCAAGUUGUCAGCUAGACCUAUGUAGAAUCUCUGGCCGAGCAUCUGUUGUGGAACGCCAUGAUGAGGACACUUCACCAACAUCCCUUUAAAUCUCUCCCAAGUUUCGUGCAAGGACUCAGCGGAAUGCUGCCUAUACUGCAAUAUGUCAUCAAUAUGUUGUGCAGUCUUGUUAGGCAGAUGGAACUUAUUCAACAAUUGCUUGACUAAUUCCUCCCAAGUGGUAAUGGAGUUGACAGGGUGCGAAUUUAGCCAAGUCUAAGCUAUCCCGGUUAUUGAGAAUGGGAACAGUAGUAGUUUGAUAGCUCUCAGAGUUGCAUUAGGUUGCCUUUGGGUCAUGCAAAUUGACAGAAAACUUUUCAAGUGUUGGUGCAGGUCCUCAAUGCUUGACCCGGAGAACAUUUCCUUAUUCUGCAUUAGAUGCACCAUGUUGUUACUGAUCUGAAAUGUCUCCGCUUGAAUUGCAGGAACAGCUAUGGCAGUGGCCAGAUUGUUAGUUGUAGGUUGUGCCCAGUCAUAAAGUGAAACCUCGGGCACAAGAGGUGCCACUCCUCUAACAUCCAAGUUAGCUGGUUCAUUUCUGAUGUUUCCGGUGGUCUUUUACGUCGCCCACGUUAAAUUCGAGUUGGUGUGGUUGUCGAGGUUAUUGAAGUCCUUUGUUGGCACGAUUCAAUGCCCUGAAUAUUUUCUCGGGGUUUGAGAGCCCUUCUAUUAGUUCUCCAAUACUCAAAUAAUUUCUAGGCAUACACCUACUUUCCAUAAGAUUUCAAACGUUAGAAUUUCAAUGAAAAGAUUGGUAUAGAGAAAACUGACUACACUUCGAAUUUUUGUAUUUCUUUCAAUUGUAAUUGAUAACACUGUUAAAUCCCCUUCAACGACGCCAAAAUUUGAUCACGCUCAACUGAGUCUGGCAAAAGACUACGCGGGUAUUGCAAAUAUAAUCUGAGUAUUAUUGCCCAGAGUCGAACCACAUGGAAUUAACCUAUCAAUUACUACUGUCAGAUUCACUAAAUUCACAUAAUCUAUUUUCCAAAACUUUCUGAUUCACAAUGGUUGAUUUUCUAACAACUAAAGACUGAAAGUAACUAAUAACUUAAAAUUAACUAACGGUUAACUAAACUUGAUGUGUAAACAGUAGAAAUAAGGUCUAAGGCAAUGGUUUUCCCCGUUGAUAAUUUCCUUGGUUGUAUGUACUUUAUAACUACGAUUUAGUUAUCUCUAACUAUCAUGAAUGCUCAAGCUAUCAUAAUUCUUUCUCAAGUAAUUAUGAUAAUCUACUAGACGCACUUUCUCAAGCUACGCUAGCUAAUAACAAUACAGCUCACUUAGAUUGCACCCGGGGUUUCGUUAUCUCUAAUACAACCCCUAAACCCUCGGUUAUGACUCUCGUCUAUACUUUAAGAGUGAUGUUGUUCAUACAAUCACCUAAAUAUGCACUCUCUCACGUAGAUACAUAAUAAAGAAGAACGGAUAAUUGAGGGGCCUUUCAACUAAUCCACAAUCAAAACAUAGAUGAACAACAAGAGAUUAACGACCAAACCCAAUUAUAUUAAUAAAACAACCAAUUCAUCCCCAACGGUUCCACCAAAACCUUAGAUUAAGGUUUUUAGCUACUUAUAACAAUGGGUAAAUAAACUACUAAAAUAUUCAUAAUCAUAAAUUGCAAGAAAACUAAAGAAGAAAAAGAACAAUUAUGUUUUGGGUGAUCUCUCACACUUGUUUUCUUUGCCAAAGUACUCUCUAAAACAUUACAUGCCUCCCUUGGGCGAUCUUGACUUUAUAUAGGUUAAGUGGGUUUCUCUACAGAUUUCCAAUUUUACCCCUAAAUAAUGAUUUUCUGGACCGGACACGCGCGACCUCGCGCGUCCUUCGCGCAUCUUUCUGCCUCAGCUUGUAACGCACACGAACUAUGCGCGACUUCGCGCAUUCUUCACGGACCUGGACUUGAUUUCUUCCAAUAUUUUGUCUUGUCUUGCACACACUCAACUCUGAGGGGUCGUUUUUUCUCAUAAAUCAUUCCAAUAUCCUCUUGAAAGCAUAAUAUAGGCUCCUCACCCUGCAAUGUAUACAAAUCACAAUUAGAGCCUAUUUUUUUCAUCAAUUCAUCGUAUUAUGUCAUUGAAAUAUAAUUAAGCGGAAGCAUAAACAAUAGUUAAAUCACCUAGAUUUCGCCUAUUAUCAGCACUGACUACUAUAGUUGCUAUUUUAUUGUUUCUUUCACCUUUUUACUGGACAAUGUAACUACAUUCAUUUCUCUUGUAGCUGAUUGAUCUCUUCUAAUCUGUUUGACUUCUUCUAGUAAGGGAAACUUCAGCAGUUGAUGAUAAGUUGUCGGCACAGCCAUCAUUUCAUGCAUAUAUGGCCUUCCAAGAUCACAUUGUAUCCUAUGUCACCAUCUACCACUUCGAACAAAGCAGUCUUUUCUAUGCCUUCGGCAUGCGUGGGCAGUAAAAUAUCUCCCCAGAUCGUAAUGUUUGUUAAAUUGAACCCAACUAGAAGCUUUUUUUCCGAAACUAUAAGUUCCAGUUAACUUUUCUUGCUCCAAAACUCUUCAUAGUAUGAUAUUGACUUAACUACCUAGAUCAACCAACACACGUUUACUUCUAAAUUUAAGACAUUAAGUGAUAUUACUGAAGCAUUGUUGUACGGUAGAAGAAGGCCAUCAACAUCCUCUUUUGUAAAGGUGAUGUCAUCAUCUUCUGAAGCUUUCCUCAAUCCUCUUACCAUGAGUUACCGAUAUCUUCAUCUUCUUUGGUGCUGAAAAUAUCACCCCAUUUAUUUUGUCACAACAAAAGAUCAUGUUAAUCGUCAAGCGAGGUGACCUUGCAGCCAGUUUAGCUAGCUCCCCAGCGUCUUGACUUUUCCGAUAAUUAUUCAUGGCCCUAUCACUUAGAAAUUCUCUAAGGUGACCAUUCUUCAGUAGAGCUGCUACCUCUUCACAAAAGUGUCGUCAAUCCCUACUUCUAUGUCCGUGUGUUUCGUGGAAUUUACAUCAUAGAUUAGGAUCCCUUUGACUAGGAUUCGAUCGAGUUAGUUUUAGAAAUAUUCCGUCCUUAAUAUUUCUCAUAGCCGAAACUAGAUUUAUUAAACUGACGUUGAAGUUGUAGUUGGAAUAGCAGAGCUUUACAUGAGAAGACAUCAUCGGUGUGCUGGAAGUCUCCGGUAUGCACCGAAAUCAGUUUUGAACGUCUCUGGAUUUUGAUCACAAUUAUGUGCUUUGGAAGACAUCGAGGAACUCAGUUGAUCAUCAUUUAUUCUAAUAUUUGAUUCAUAACAAUUUUGGACAUCUGCCCAUGUAGUUGCUUGAAAUUCUAACAAGCAUUGCUUCAACUUCCUGGAGGCAUUAAAGCUUAAUGGAUUGAGACCCUUGCUAAACGCUUCUGCUGCCCACUCAUCCGAUAUUGUCGGCAACAACAUCCUUUCCUUCUAAAAUCAGAUCACGAACUCUCCGAGCAAUUCAAAUUCUCCUUGGGCAAUUCUAAAUAUAUCUGCCUUUCCAUCUUGGAGUGUUCUUGCCCCCGCAUGAGAUUUAAUGAACGAAUGUGCAAGCAUUUCAAAAGUGUCACGACCCAAACCGAUGGGUCGCGAAGGGCAUCCGAUACCUUACUCAAAUGAGUACCAACAUAAUGUAUCGUUCAUAUCAUACUAUCAUAGGUAAAUUAAAUGGAAAAGCUGUUGUGAAAUAAGUAGAAUGAAACAUGAGGGAACACUCAAUAUAGGACGACCCAUAUUGCAAUACAAAUUAUACAUAUGACAUACACGCCUAUAAGGCUAAAAUAAUCACCGUACACUGAACAUAGGCCGACAAGGCCAUACUAUCUUUCAUAUACAUGACAUAUGUCUACAAGCCUCAAAGAGUAUAUUAAUACCAUAAAAAUCGGGACUGGGCCCCGCCAUACUAAUCAAUACACGUCCAAAUCAUACUGACCAAAUAAGCAACUCCGGAGCAAAUGGAGUGCACCAACACCUUCCGUGGAGCUGAUAGCCUAGUUGGAGGACUCUCGACCUGUAUAUCGGGACAUGCUGGCAUGAAAUGCAGCAUCCCUAGGAAAAAAGGACGUCAAUACAAAUGAUGUAAUGAGUAUGGAAGGAAUAAAAAUCAGUAAAUAAUAGACAUAAGAGAAACAUGGAGUAAAAGACUCAAAAAGUAAAUCUGAAUAGCUUUGUGAAUCAUUAAUAUUUAUAAUAUCAUGCAUAUGCGUAUAAAUGCCAUGCCAAGCAUAUGUAUAUGCGAUCAUAAUAUCAUCAAGCCUCUAAGGUCAUCCCAUCAUAUCAUCUCGGCCGCUAUGGACAAAUUAUUAACGUGUACCAGCUGAUCAAGUGGUGGUGCUUAUAUAACGUUGUAACCUUUUGUCAUAUUCCAUAUUCCAUAUACGUACAUACACACACACAUACACACACACACACACACGCACACGCACACACACACUGACUUAACUACCUNNNNNNNNNNNNNNNNNNNNNNNNNNNNNNNNNNNNNNNNNNNNNNNNNNNNNNNNNNNNNNNNNNNNNNNNNNNNNNNNNNNNNNNNNNNNNNNNNNNNNNNNNNNNNNNNNNNNNNNNNNNNNNNNNNNNNNNNNNNNNNNNNNNNNNNNNNNNNNNNNNNNNNNNNNNNNNNNNNNNNNNNNNNNNNNNNNNNNNNNNNNNNNNNNNNNNNNNNNNNNNNNNNNNNNNNNNNNNNNNNNNNNNNNNNNNNNNNNNNNNNNNNNNNNNNNNNNNNNNNNNNNNNNNNNNNNNNNNNNNNNNNNNNNNNNNNNNNNNNNNNNNNNNNNNNNNNNNNNNNNNNNNNNNNNNNNNNNNNNNNNNNNNNNNNNNNNNNNNNNNNNNNNNNNNNNNNNNNNNNNNNNNNNNNNNNNNNNNNNNNNNNNNNNNNNNNNNNNNNNNNNNNNNNNNNNNNNNNNNNNNNNNNNNNNNNNNNNNNNNNNNNNNNNNNNNNNNNNNNNNNNNNNNNNNNNNNNNNNNNNNNNNNNNNNNNNNNNNNNNNNNNNNNNNNNNNNNNNNNNNNNNNNNNNNNNNNNNNNNNNNNNNNNNNNNNNNNNNNNNNNNNNNNNNNNNNNNNNNNNNNNNNNNNUAUAUAUAUAUAUAUAUAUAUAAAGUCAUCUGGUCAUGGGUCAAUGUACAUGCAUAAAUGAAUGCAAUGCAUGAGAAGCAUGUCAAUAAAAUCUCUCAGUAUGUCAUAAGACCAUUAUGCCUUUGAUUAAUGUCAUGAAGUGAACUUUAUCAACUUACGUAUUUUCUGAGACCCAUGAAUAGCUGAUAGAAUAAUAAGACAUAUGGGGAAUCAAGAACAUAGGAACCCCAAGUACUUCUAUGAGUAUAGUCAUUUAUAAAAGUUGUGCAUUUACUCGUUUCGUUUGUAUCGUAUGGAUCAUGCCAAAAAAGAAAGAAGGGAUAGACUUAAUAUAUCUGAGCCGAUUCUCUUGACAAUCCAUCUAACACACAUUUUUUGUGAAAACAUGUAACGACGGAUCGAAAUAGAGAAAAAUCUGUAUUCUUAUAUCAUAGCACUUUAUUUCUUAUCCAACUAAAAUUCACUCCAUUUAAAGAUAACACUUGCAACAAUGAACAACCAUUAAACCUGUUAAUCACUAAUGUUGCUGGUCUAAAUUUUAAAGUGGAAAGCUGAAAGCAUGUCAUAACUUCAUUUUUAUUUUCCAAGUUAUAUUACCAAAUAAGAAACCUAACCAAGGCAAUCAUCCAAGAAUUCUUACGUGUAAACAAGACAUCUUAUGUCUUAUGACUCAUUAUGCAUAUUGGUUCCACUUUGUCUUAGUUUAAUGCCAUGUUGCAGCCCCUAAAAAGAUUCUUAUCCACUAAAUUAUAUUUAAUACCAUAAUUAUUCCCACAAUUAAUUAAUUAUUGGUAUAAUUAAGAUUUAUUUUAAAUUACUUAAAAUACUACUCACUUUUAACAAAUUUUAUAUACCUUACUAUCAUGGUCAUGUGGUACCUUGUAUGACACUAGUCCAUAAUUAUCGGAUAUUUUAGCUUAGACCAUAUUUUAUUCCAAAAUGUCUAACGUCGAUGAAACUUAAUUUCUUCGAUUCGCUUACCUUCUCACCUUCACGGAUUUACUUAUCACUUGUUUGAAAUCGCAUAAUACUUCUAAUCUCCAAAUAAUCUUGUCCUUGAACUGAUGUCAAUUAUCUUAUGACAAAUUUAAUAUACAAUACUGCAGGGUGUAAUAUCUUCGUAAUAUAAUAAUGCAGAGUGUAACAUCGACAUAAUACGGCGGGACAUAGCAUCAUCAUAAUAUAAUACUGCAGGCGUAACAUCGAUGUAAUACUACGGGGCAUAACAUCUCACUUCUGAACUUAUAUCAAUUUACUUAUGACAUACUUUCACAUAUAAAAAUAUGGGGUGUAACAAAAAUAAUUAAUUGAAUGCUCAAGUAAAAUAGAAUACCAAGUUAAAGCACCCUUCGUUAGGGGUUAACCAAUAUUUUUCAACAAAAUAGAUCUGAUCUUGUGCGGAGCCAGGUCAUUUCCCUUUACUACCAUAGUAUAAAAUGUGAUAUGCUCAUGUGGAUAAAAAUUCCCAUCAUACUUUUGGAUGUCAGGCAUCUUAAACCUUUUCGGAAUUUAUUUUGGGGCUACACUUGGUUUGAAUGACAACUGUGUAUACUUUUUGAAUCUGGUCCCUUUAAGAUCGGUGGUUCCCCUGAGAUCUGAUCUAUCUACGCAUGAAAUCUUUAGUAUUUUGGUCCAUUCAUACAUUCAUUUCCCUUAAGAAUGUCAUUAGAUCAGUUUGAAAGGAUCAUUAGUAUUGUUGUUGUUCUCGAAUCCACUACCUGCACCACCUGCCUCAUUAAAUCUGAACUCCUCCCUUGGAGCAUUGUUACCCAUCCUUUGAAAUGUUUGAUUUGAAGGGACACUAGGAGGAAUCCAAAUUACUCCAUCGGAGUUAUUGGAAGCAACCAAAAGCGCAUGAUUUAAUUUCAUUAUUACCCACUCGUGUCUUGAGAGGUGAUUCAUAGUUUCCCUUUAUUACUACCUCAAAAUUUUAACUAUCUAAACAACUCUUUCGUCGCCCAUAUAUAUCAUCAGGAGUUGGGCUUCUCAAAUGCCGAGAACUUUGUUCUCCAUGAGCCGGAGUUAUUUCAUCCUCUUUGUUACGAGUUUCACUAGUUGAAACAUCACGCUGGAACACACCCUCGUUCUUUGUUCCAUCAUUGAGUUGUUCACGUUAUUAAAUGUCAUAUCUAAUUUUUCUUUUAAUAAAGAAAAUAAUCAAAUUGCGUUAGUAAUAAAUGAAUGGAUCAAAGUAAUUACACAAUUGACAAUGUCCCAUGGUAGGCGCCAAACUAUUUAUAUGUAAAAUGAUACAAUUGAAUUUGUAACGUGAUUUAUAGAUACGUAAAUUAGUUCCUUCCAAGAAUAUGAAAAUAAGAAGAACAGAAAUAAAAUUAUUAAAUAACUUGAAAAAAAUACAAGCAUGUUGUAGAUGUAGCUUCUCUGGAAGCAGUGAUAAUAGAAAUAUUAAGAACAAAAAGAAAGAGAAUAAUUUGAUAUAAUAAGAGCAAAUUAUAGCCUUUUGAGUACAAAUGAUUUUUCGUGUCUAACUGUGGAUACAAAUUUCUCUAUUUGUAGCUCUAUUCAGGGAGGCUAGAUCUUCAAAUCAAGCCCUUUUUGAAUGAGAAUAAAACUUCUAUUGAUGGCUACAUAAAGGUCAGACGUUAAUACAUAAAUUCUUUGUAAUGGUUGCUCAUUGAAUGAUGCUUUUUCUAACGGAUGUCUUCCUUUCAUAUCUUCGUUCUCCAUUUUGAUGCCUUCGAAACUUAUUCAGCACCGAUCACGCGCUUGUAUCCGGUGCCAACUAUUUGCUGACUCAUUUUUACCUGUCUUUAGUUCCGUGUGUCUUCUCGCCAUCCAUCCAUCACAAACCACUUUUCCUACUUCUGUCUUUUCUCUUUUUUGUUUUGUUUUUAGUUCUUGGAAUAUAAUAAUUUAUAGACUUAAAAACAAAUUGCUUUAUUUUUAACUUUUAUCUUCAUUUUAAAUUCAACUAUAGCUUAGUAAUAAUACAUAAUAGUUAACUUAAUUAAUUUUAUUCUUUUUCAAAUUUUUACCUUAAAAUUAAAAGUCUCAAAUUGUAACUUAUUGCUCCACAAAUAGAAAUAUACAAAUUUUUCUACCACAACCUUGUUCAAUAAUCACUUUGACUCCGAAUCGGCAAUGGCAACCGUUAAUCUUGAUAUCUUUUUAAAAUUUUGAUAGUUUAAAGUUUGAACACCCUUUUGAUCAGUGGUCCUCUUUUUGAAAAAAAAAUUAAAAUACUAGUAAUUUAAAUUCUGUAACAUGUUUCAUCAAACACCUUACCUUCCCAUAUCAACCAUUUUGUGAAAAAAUCUCUCUCUAUUCAGUGUUUUUUGUUUCUUUAGAACUUCUUUUGUUAAUACUUGAAUGAUAAGUCAUCCUAAUAUUAAGUUUCUAAAAAGUUCCACGCUGAAUAUUAUCGCUAGUGAUUAGCAUACAGUGAUGCCCCCAUCAUGCUCAAAUCAUGGGUCCGUCUCUGCUUAAUGGAGGUCUGAAUCUUAAUCAUUCAGAUCUCAUGCAUUAAGUGUGUUUGUUUUUAAAGUCUUAAUCUUAAUCAUUAAGUGUGCUUGUUUUUUUUUACUUCACAAUCACUUAAUAGGUCUGAAUAGGUAUGUAUGAUUAAGAUGUAUAACAAAGACUUAAUUUCAUUAAGAAAGUAUCAUCCACAUUCAUUACUAAUUACCACCACCGCCUACCAUUAUCAACUACUACCACCACCAUCCUCAACCAUAGCCGCCAGCACUACCACCACCCAUCAUCCUCACCGCCACCACUAUUAUUCUCAACCAUAACCACACACUCAAUCAUCUCAACUACCACCACCAUACACACCAUCAUCAUCAAUAACCAUAGCCAAUACUGUCUACCAUUAUAAAGUAUCACCACCUACCAUCACCUUUCUCAAUCAUAACAAUCACCACCGGCACCCACCAUUAUUAAAUAUCUUCACUCACCAGCUUCAUCCUUAACCAUAAUCGUUAUUUCUACCAAUCACCACUAGAUACUACCCAGAACCACAACCAUCAACCAAAAUCACCAUCAAACAUCGCCUCUAGUCAACACUCACAAGCACAUCUGUUAGCCAUAUCACCACAAAUAUAUAUANNNNNNNNNNNNNNNNNNNNNNNNNNNNNNNNNNNNNNNNNNNNNNNNNNNNNNNNNNNNNNNNNNNNNNNNNNNNNNNNNNNNNNNNNNNNNNNNNNNNNNNNNNNNNNNNNNNNNNNNNNNNNNNNNNNNNNNNNNNNNNNNNNNNNNNNNNNNNNNNNNNNNNNNNNNNNNNNNNNNNNNNNNNNNNNNNNNNNNNNNNNNNNNNNNNNNNNNNNNNNNNNNNNNNNNNNNNNNNNNNNNNNNNNNNNNNNNNNNNNNNNNNNNNNNNNNNNNNNNNNNNNNNNNNNNNNNNNNNNNNNNNNNNNNNNNNNNNNNNNNNNNNNNNNNNNNNNNNNNNNNNNNNNNNNNNNNNNNNNNNNNNNNNNNNNNNNNNNNNNNNNNNNNNNNNNNNNNNNNNNNNNNNNNNNNNNNNNNNNNNNNNNNUAUAUAUAUAUAUAUAUAUAUAUAUAUAUAAUUGCUAGAACAUUAGACUAAUUAGUAUUUUAUUUGAAUUUAUAUUUAUUAAUUUUUAAAUGAAGAUAAAUUCUAUAUAUCCGGAUGUUUAAAAAACAAUCAGUCUGAAUCAUUUAGUAUUCAGUUCUUAAAAGACAUAUUAAUAUUUGGAUAUGUAUUCAGAUUCAGCUGUCUUCAUCUUAAUAUAAAUCUUGAUAUUUAGAAGUAUAUUCAAUUCAGACGUAUUAAUCUUAAAAAAAUAAAUGGGGCCUAAAACUCAUUUUACCCUCUUAACCUUUAAGGGUUGAAAAAAUAGGAAACUUACACAAAAUGACCCAAAUAAAUCUCAUCUUACCAACCUCUAGUCAUUAGUCAUAGACUUACCAAAACUAGCCAACAAAAAUUGAAAAAUCAAAUAAUAGGGUUCUUUCUCUCAAAGAAUCACAUGCAAAAAUGUCACGACCCAAACCCCCGCUCCGAUCGUGAUGGCGCCUCUCGUGAAGACAAGGCCAGCCAAAACAUUCCAUAACACCACUCUUAAGCAGUUAAUCAGAUAUAUAGCAGUUCGAGUAUGAAUUAAUGAUAUUAAUUAAUGUAAUUACACCCCAAUACAGCCCGACCGGGGUGUCAGUGUUGAUAGCCAAUUUUUCUCUAUAUAUUUUUAUACUCAAAAUACUCUUAAAAUAGCAUAUGUAUGCAUAAUGAGCAUCCCAAAAGAUUUUGGCAUUUUUAAGGAAUUUUUAAAACUAAUUUAUGGCCUAUUUUACACCACAAAUCCCAAUAAUUAUUACUUACCAUUUUAAAGAAUAGUUUAUUUUAUCCUGACAUUUGAUUAAAAAUAUAAUUUACAUGAUUUUUGCAUAAUUUUAUGAGUCCAUUUGGUAUUUUAGAAAUUAAAUUGCAUGAAAUUAAAAUUUUAGCUCAUUUCCUUAUUUAAUAGCAAUUUUAAUUAGAAAAUCAAUACCAAUAUUUUUUGAUUAAUAAUUAUAUAUUUUUUGCUAACCCCAUGGUGUUAAUUUGAUUUUUAACAUUUUUUACUAUUUCUAUAAAUUCAAAAGGGAAAAAUGGUAUCUUAAUUUUGGCCUCAAAUUGCUUUCAAUUGUAGCCCAAUUUGGACCCUAAUUCUUACCACAAUUAACCCAGUCAAACGACCCAAUUACCCGACCCAAUUUUAAACUCACCCGGCCAUUGUUUAAUCCAGGCCGUUGAUCAUUUUGAUCAAUGGCCACGAUCACCCCAUUCCUUUUAAAAUUCCUAACACCCCAAACCCUACUUCAUUUGUUACAAUCAGCCGCCCUCAAAACCUCUUCGUCUCAAAUUCUCUCUAGCCCCUCUGAAACCCUAGCCCUCUCCCACCGUCUUCCACCAUGUUUCAUCAGAAUCCAUGGCAUCCUCAAGCCUUGGGUGGCUUGUACUCACCUGCACAUGCGCUUGUAUUCCAGGUACUAGAGGAUUCAAGGUCUAACCUUGAAGGUUUUCGCUCAGUUCGUCGCCGAUUCAAGUUUCACGGCUAUCUCUGGCAUGUCCUGGUCCUAUGAGCCUAUCUCUGGCUUAUCUGGCUCAGACCAGACCCUUUUCCAGGCCUUUCUCAUUUCUAGGGUUCUUCUAAAACCCUAGCCCUUCGAGGUUUUCCUAAAUCUCUUUAAAUUCCGCACUAGAUCUAUGCUUGUUUCAAAGUUCUCAAAACGAUUUUCUUUAAUCUCUUUCAAAGGUUUGCUUUCAAAAUUAUUCGUCUCCUUUUGUUCGUUGAUUUUACUUGUUCUACUAUGAUUUUGUGAGGUGUUUCUUACUUUAUUUGUCCUACUGUGAUUCCUGUUUGUUCCUACUUCGACUCAUGUGUGUUUCUUCUAUUACGUUUCCUUCUAUUUUUCUUUUAUUGUAUUUUCCCUCAGCAUGUUUUCAUGGAACAAUUAAGUUCCUUGUGUUUUUCUGAGUUUUGCUCUUGUCUGAUUUGUCUGUCUUCGUCCCUGCCCUGGACUAAUGACAAAGGGUUUUUCAAAACAGGCGUAUGUGACUUGUAUGUUCUCACCUCUGAACUAGUUUGAUUUCAAUUUCUGAAAAAUCAUCUCUGUUUUUCAUAAGAUUCUGACCUUUUGCCAAAAUGUUUUCUUCUUUUAUGUUUGAAGUGUUUGUAUGCUCUUUAUAUACUAUAAUUUCCCCAUAAAAGGGUCUUUCAAAUUUGCUAUUAGUCCGAAAUUUCUUUUGAAUACAGCUUGAUUGAUUUCUUUCCAUUUUUGCAUGCGACUCGACCUAAGUAAAACCCUUCUCUUUUCAGACUGGGUUCAUUCAUACAAAAUCUUAGACCUUUUAUUUUACUGUUUGUUAAUUGGUCUUCUUACCUUAUUUGCACAAACCGUGUGUUUCAAAAAUCUUUUCCUUAAAUAACUUUUAUGUAUUCACCCUUAUUUGUAUACUAUGCACAUGUUGUUUACCUGAUCCCCUUUCCAUAAAUGUUUUUUCGUCCUUUACUGAUCAAAUUGGUAUUCCUUAAUUAAAGGAAUUUCUGUUAGUCGAUUGAUCUUAAUUAAUACUCGACUAAUUUUCUUUUCUUGCUUGCAUAUCUUAUUUCAAGUAUAAAUACAUGCUUUUCUUUUCACUUUAUCAUCGAAUUCUAACUGCAAACAAAAGUCAGAAUUCAUCUCUCUUCUUUACUACUACUAUUACUACUCUCUACUUCUCUGCACUACUACUGGCCAUUCAUCUGCACUUCUUGUUGCUUGAACUCCCAAACACUUGGGGAGUUUUUCUUGAGUUUGUUCUUGUUGUUCCUAGCUGUCUGUUUGGUGUUACUAUCCUGCUAUUCUAAAAUUUAUAACUAAUAUGUUCUUCUAUGUUAAAUAGUAUCCUUGUUCAACUUCUCUGUUUCUACCCCUUUCUUUGUGUGUUUACUUAUGCUUUCGUGCAUUAUUUAACUACCUUCAAAUAUGCUAUGUCUCUUAUGUUAUGUUAAUCCCUCUCCCUCUAUCCCCUUUGUGUGAGUUUUGUCCUGGGUCAUAGCAGCACUAUGGAUUGUUGUACAUGAUCCAGGACUAUAGUUUUUUGAGUUUUUACUCGAUUGCUUUCCCUUUCCCCUAAUUUGGGUUUGUUGGUGUCCAUAUCACCAUUCAGACCUAAGAUUGACUCUAUAAGAAUCUGGUCUUAUUUGUUUGAAUCAGAGCAAGAGGUUAGGGUUGUUCCAAUCUAUGCCAUGGCUGGGUAUGACCACCUCCUGCUAAGGUUCCUCUCUCAGUUUACACCUACUCCUAGCUCUUAAGUUCUACCCCCCCUCUGGUAAGCCAUGCUUAGGGACCAUAUAGCUCCCUCUGAACUCGGAUGCCUAAGGGCUGGUAAUUCCACACAUUGCACUACUCUGUUACAACAUUCACUUUUUAGGGUGUAAGCAUUGCCUGGGCUAUUAGAGCUCCUUGGAACUUUGAAACACUCAAGAGAAGGCUUUGGAAUCUGGAACCCGGAUUUGGUAAAACACAUGUAUUGGAUAUCAAGAUUGCAUUAGGCAGUUUGGAUCUAGCUGUAGGAUAUGAUGUAUUUUAUUUUAUUUUGGCUCUGUAAUAGUAACCUUGUAAUAAAACUUGGGGAAUAUAGUAGUAAGGGGUAUGGAAGGGUUUUUUUAGUUAUUUGCAUGUUAAAGGGUAGAUAUCAUGUCUAUUGGACUUUCAUUACUUUGAAUCACUUAGAAAAUCAUGCCUAUAGGACUUUUACUAAUUUGAAUCACUUAGAAAAUCAUGCCUAUAGUACUUUUACUAAUUUGAAUGACUUAGAAAUCAUGUCUAUAGGACUUUUACUCAUUUGAAUCACCUAGAUAUCAUGCCUAUAGGAUUUUUACUACUUUGGAUCAAUUAGAUAUCAUGUCCAUAGACUUGCAUUUUUCUGCAUUCAAGCAUAUAGAAAUCAUGCCUAUAGAAUUGCAUUAAAAAAAACAAUAGGCAAACCAUAGGUAAUACAACUCUCGCCUGCCUGAAACGUUUAAAAUAGCAUUGAGUAAAUAAAGAAAUCAGAAUAGAUAUCAUUCCUAUAGGAUCUCAAAACUCGCUUAAGUCAUAUAAUCAGUAAUCUGGCAAUUAUUCCAACGUUUUCAACAUAAUUCGUCCAAACCUAUCUGCAACACUAAGAACUUGUAAUUCUGUCGCUAAUAAAAUCAUUUUCCAACUCUCUGUCCGAAUUUUUAUUUACGAGGUUACUUUCAAAUAGUUUUCAAACUCUAGCCUCUUUUUGUGAACAUUUUACUGAAACUUUGUUGUACAUUUCUUUAAAUAGUCCUAAUAGUUUUCCAAAACCCUUUUUGAACUUCAGCAAUUUCUUCUUCUUGCAAAACCUGUAUGUGUUAGUCCUUAAUUAACAAUUGAUAAAACAAACCAGAUCUUAACAAUUGUAUCCAAAUUGCCUAAUGUAGACCUUUUAUCUAAUUCUAUGUGUUAAACUGAUCCGUCCGCCGCUUAAUUUUAAUUUAAGACCAAAUCAGUAUAUGCAAGACAUGCUAAACAAUAUGUUGUCUGUUUAAAGGGGUUUCUUUGAGCCUUGGUUUGUCUUAUUGUUCUUUCCCCUACUUAGUAUCUGUUUUGAAUGACGAAUUAUACUUUUAUCCUUUGAAACUCCACGCAAAACGCCCAUCCCUUUCUUUUUUUUUCUUCUAGGAUUAGAAGUCCUAAUACCCCAGGACUAAUAGGUUGGGGCGGGUACUAGCAUGCAAUAAGAAAAACGAGACUAAUCGCGUUUAAAUACCUUAACGGAGUGGGAAGGAUAGAGUAUGGAUAUGAUGACUGGUGCGUCAAUAUCUCGUGUGAGAAUAAUUGAUGGAUAUUGCACCAAAGUGAUCCAUAUUAUGUUUAACCCUAGGACCCCACUUUCUUCUUCUUUAUUAAUGCUUUAUCUUAGACUAAUGUUUUCAACCAAAAUUCCUCUUUUUAAAACAACUUGUGUCUUUCUUCUUUCAAAAAUUUUCAACUUGCUAUGUUUCCAUGUGUAAACAUUGCUUGUUUAGUCCUACCCUUCUUAAAGUCACAAUUAAGCACGACCAGGAACCACACUAGUGGAUCUUGAGGGGUGCCUAACACCUUCCCCUCGAGAUAAUCUCAAGCCAUUACCCGAACUCUGGUUCUCUUUCAAAAUCUUCUCCUUUUCUCUAAAAAUUGUCCUAAUUCACUAUAAUCAAUAAGUGACGACUCUCCAAAAUCCAUAACCCAAAUUCCCCGAAAGGGGAUAAAAGAGUCAUUCCACCCAUAAUUUCGUAAACCCGAUUUCUUCGCUUUUUUUUGAAAAAUGAGGCGUCAACAGUCCCAGGUCAUGAGCAUCUAGAGAAAGUCUAAACACAACUAUAGGGCCAACAAUAUUCAAAAUAAAAAUUAGAACCAAGGAAGGAAAUCUGGUGCUGUGAACGCUAGCGGCCAAUCUGCUCAGCUACAAUAGUAAUACUUUCAAUCAGCUUAAAACUCGCUACCGGGUGAACCAUACCUGCAUCUGCACGCGAGGUGCAGGGAGUAAAGUGAGUACUCCAACUCAGUGAGUAAUAAAUAUAAAUAACAACUGCGCAGUAAGAAAUCAUGUAAAACAAAUCAUCAUGUUGUAUAGAAAUAGAGAAAAUCCCGUCAAUUGAGAAAAUCAGUGAAAAUCUUUAGAAAUAACUUGGAUCAGUUUUAAAACCUCUUUUGAAAAUGAUCUUUUCAGAGGUUGCAAAAAUAAUUUCAACAAUUAGUGAUACUAUGCAUAGAAACCCGCCCCUCGGGCAAUAUUCUUGUUCCUGGUCAGCCAUUGUUACCUAACCAAACGCAUCAUAUAGUAUCAUGGUUACCACUGUCUAAAGUUUAUCCUCCUCAAGCGUGAUCAAAUAGUACCAGAACAGCAGAUGAAUAUCUCAAGAAAUAGAACAAACAAAGAAUAAAGAACCAAUGCAUGAAUGCAAUGCAAUGCAUAUGAUGGUACAUUCCAGUACCCAUUGCGGCGUGCAGCCCGAGCCAUCACUAUUUAUUUAUCAUCGACUACACUUACUGGGGGCGUGUAUAGACUCCGGAUGGCUCCUACAUCCCAAGCACAAUAUCAAGCCAUCUCGUGGUAUCAAUUAAUUCCUGGUCAGUCAUUGUUACCUGACCGGUCAGUCAUUGUUACCUGACCAAUUUACACCAUACAGUGUCAUUGUUACCAUUGCUUCAAGUCACAUCAUACAGUGUCAUUGUUACCACUGUUUCAAGUUACAUCAUACAGUGUCAUUGUUACCACUGUUUCAAAAUCACUGCUGCGGUGCGCAGCCCGAUCCAUACUCAGUCCAAAAAUUAACCUAAGCCCCAUGGGCAUUUGUAAAAUAGUAGUUAUCAGCCCGAAAUAUCAUUUAAAAUAUCAUUUGAGUUUUUAAAACUUAGAAGUAUGGCUGAGUUUGAAAAAAAAUAUUUAAAACCUUGGACUGAAACCAAAUGAUAUGCAAGAUAUGCUAAACCAGUAAUAUCAAUCCUUGAAGGAAUUCUACAGGUCAGCACAAGACCCCAAAGAUGGCAAUAAGCCCAAUUCAUAGUAAUGUAGUAUGUGUCUCAAUCACCAAUACGGUAGAAAUAUCACUUGGGAUGGACCAAUUCACGAUCCCCAAUAGCAAACGACCUUGCACUCAUCAUAAAAUGCAUGUCACGCCUCAAUAUAGCAUUACGAUGUGAAAUCCGGGGUUUCAAACCCUCAGGAUAUCAUUUACAAGCAUUACUCACCUCAAGACGGCCAAAAGUCUAGCUCGUUAUGCCCUUGCCUUUAGAAUUGGCCUCCUCGUGCGAUGAAUCUGCCCAAAAUCACAACGAAUAUGUCGCAUUAUGCUAAAGGAACAAUACCCAGUUGAAAGCAAUUGAAAAAUAUCAAAAUUCACGAAUUUGACAAAAUCCGAGCCUCGAGCCCACGUAUCGAAACUCAGAAAUUUUUGUACCAAUAUGCUCUUCGUCCUCUCACGAGUCCGUACAUAUAAAGAACACAAAAAAUGGAGCUCGUUUGACCCUUCAAAUCGAUGCUAGAAAAUCUCAAAAUCACAAGCCCUAAAACCCCAUUUUUUUUUACUGAUUUUCAUGUUCUAAUUUACAUAAAAUCUUGUAUUUAACUUGGAAAUAAGUAGAAACAACUCACCUUUGAUGCUUGAUGAAAUCCCCCUUGAAAUUCUCUCCAAAAUCCUCCAAUCCAAAUGAAAGAAAUGAAAGAAAAAAGCCAAAUUCGUGCUUAAAGAAUCUGCCAGUGCUUCGUCGAGUUGUAACUUGCACUUUUUCUAUACAAGUUGUACAUCCUAUUAAAAUUUUUUCUUGUCGGACACCUUCUGUUUAAACACCCAUAAAGUCUAGUAUAAAUAUCCCAAUGACAAACGAUUCGAAGAUUUAUAAGCUAGACUCGAAGAUCUUUAAUUUGAUAGGUUGUACACCAUAUAACUCCUUAUAUACCCCGAGAUAUGAGCUUCUAAAGUCGGUUCCAUGAAAUCAAAAAAUUCUGGAGAAACUGGUCCACUAGUCAUCUUUAAUCGAUCAUAACUUUCUCUACAGAUGUCCAAAAUACGAUUUCUUUAGCUUUAUCGAAACAAGGCACGAAGGGCUACAACUUUUGUAUUUGAAUAAUCUCAAAAUUCCUUAUAGAUCAAAAGAUAUAGGCCUCCGAAGUGCGCUCCACGACUGCACAUUUGCUGUCCAAAGACAGCUUAGCAGCAGAAAUUGUAGCAACUUUUUCUUUUCUUUUGGGUCCGGAUUCCAUUCCGUUAACCAUCCGAAAUCCACCCGAGGCCCUCGGAACCUUAACCAAUUAUAUCAACAUGUCCCACAAUUGUCACGACCCUACUUCACCAAUUUUGAAUAUGUCAUGACGGCACCUAGUCUUCACGACUAGGUAAGCCUAACACAUUGCAGAAGUAACAACAUUUUCGAAAUUUAUAAUCAAAAGCUAAAUAACAUGAGUAAUGUAUACAGUUGCCGCCUGACACAUACACUUUAACACUUUAAAUUUUAAAACUAUCCCAGAGACCCGAAAUCUCACGGGCAACACAGGCUAAGAAUAAUACAUAACACUGCUCUAAUUAUCCGGAAAGUCUAUAAUAAGGAAGAACAUAAUAGCAUCUAACUAGCUAAAGGGGUAGAGUGAAAGGGAGACUCUCCGGUCUGCGGACGCGGUAGAUAUACCUCAAGUCAUCGUAAUGCUCCAUGCAGCUACUGAUAAUGUGCCUGCGUAGAGGUACCUGGAUCUGAACAUGAAAAAUAUCGCAGAAGAGGUGUGAGUACACCACAUGGGUACUCAGUCAGUGCCAAGCCUAACCUCGGUCGGGCAGUGACGAGGAAGGUCGAGGCCCUACUGAGAUAAAAACAUAAUAAUCAAUAUGAUAAAGAAAGACAAGAUGGGUAUAACCUACUGUGAGAAUCUACAAAAAUAAUAAAUAAGAUAUUAAUCGAGAACAAACACAGUAAAUAUAUAGAAGUGCAAAUUACCAUCAGAUAUCUAUCAUCGGGGAUCUCCUGGUAUCCUCAUCAUUUGCUCGAGGGAUCUCCUAGUAUCCCGAGGAUCUCCUAGUAUCCUCUAUUUUACACAAGGGAUCACUUAGUAUCCCGAGUAUCUCCUGGUAUCCUCCCUUUUUAUAAUCAUAUCUGUGUCAGGGAUCUCUUGGUAUCCCGCACUCUCAGUCAUAGAACGAACACAUACAAGGGAGGUAUCGGGAUGUCGUCCCGUAGUCCAAAAUGGUAACACCACACAAUUUAAAUAAGAUAAAAUGCUAAGUAAGAACAAGUAAUUGAAUUUCUAGUCUAGCAUGCUUCACGGAGGACAGAAAAUACAUUUUAAGCAAUUAAGCAAGUAAGUCAGCUAAACAUGCUUAUCCUAAGCUAACACAGGUCAAAUUGCAUUUAGAAUAGACAAAUUCGGAAGAAAACACAGUUAACUUUUCAAAGUAAAUGGAUUUUCAACAACUAGCAUAAGUACACGCUCGUCACCUGGCGUACCGAGCAUUUAAAAUAACAAGUAAUAUAUCCUAAGGGGGGAGGUCCCACACACGAAGUUAGACAAGCCACUUAUCUCGAACCGGUGCAAAAUCAACUAAGGAACGAUGCCCUUGCCAUGAGUAUCCGACUCCAAAUGGCCCAAAUCUAUUCAAUCCAAUUACGUAACAUAAAUAACAUCGCAAACAACUAAUUUCAUUAUUAAAAUUAAAGCUAGAGCGCGAAAUAGGUAAAAUAACCAAAAUAUCCCUCAGGACAACGGCUCGGAAUCGAAUAACUUUUGCAUUUUGAGAACCCUCUUACUCUCACGAGUCUAACCAUAUAAAAGUCUCCUAAAUCGGAGGUCAAAUGCCCACUCAAAAUCACAUAAUUAAGUCUAAAAAGUUUCACCAACUUUUCCCAAUUUUAGACCUUGAAUUUGAAAUCUAAUGGUUGAUUUAACUAGAUAAUGAUGAAAUAUAACUAGAAAGGAUCAAAGCAACGUUACCCAAUGAUCUUCUCUUCAAAACCUACUCAAAAUCGGCUUCUCCCGAAUAGUACUAGAUAAUGAUGAAAUAUAACUAGAAAGGAUCAAAGCAACGUUACCCAAUGAUCUUCUCUUCAAAACCCACUCAAAAUCUCCUUCUCCUGAGCUCUCAAUUGAUUUUCCAACUUUUGAAACUUAACCAUCGAUUUUUCUAUAUCUGAACAAAAAUUUUCACUUUUGCGGACCAGGGAACGCUUCUGCGGUCCCGCUUUCGCGGAAGAACCAACCGCUUAUGCAGUUUUACUUAAAGGACCAGAGUCCGCUCCUGCGGACAAAUAACCGCUUUUGUGGUGCCUCUUAUGCGGAAAUGAGACCACUUCUGCGAUUUCCUGAGAAAUGGCCAAAAUCGCUUCUGCGAUGAAGAUAUCGCUUAUUCAGUGCCGCUUCUGCGGUUCCGAAGCCGCAGAAGCGGAAAUACCAGAAGAGAUAAGGAUCAGUUGUUGCACACUUGAAGAUUUCUACCCGUCGACCAUCCGAGACCACCCUGAGGUCCCCGAGACGCCAACCAAAAGCACUAAUACCACCAAAUACCUUAUUCAAACUUGCACCAAUCCUUAAAACAUCUAAAACAACACCGGAAACCCGAUUAAAUCAAAGAUUCAAGCCUAAGAACUUCAAGUUCAUCCAAAACACGCUUUCUAUCCAAAACCUAACCAACACUGAUCCGAUUGACCUGAAAUUUUGCACGCACGUACCAAAUGACAUGACGGUGAUACUGCAACUUCCGGAAUCUCUUUUCGACCUUCAGAUCAAAUUUUGCAUGCACGUCCAAAUGAUAUGACGGUGCUACAGCAACUUCAGGAAUCAUGUUCCAACCCUCGGAUAAAAAAUUCACUAUCGGACCGGAAACCUCCAAAUUUUAACUUUCGGCAUUUCUAGCUUAAAUGAGUUACGGACAUCCAAAAUACAUUCCGAACAUGCUCCUAACCCCGAAAUCAUCUAACGAAGCUAACGGAAUCAUAGGAUUUCCAUUCCGAGGUCGUCUUCACAUUGUUCCGAUUACGGAUAACUUUCCAAUACUUAACUCUCAUUUAGGGACUAAGUGUCCCAAAACACUCCGAAUUCUAACACCGAACAUCCCGGCAAACCAAAAGGCAGAGAUGAACUUAGAGGAAGCAGUUAAUGGGGGAACGAGGCAUAAAUUCCAAAGACAACCGGCCGAGUCGUCACAAUAAUAUCACUCAAACUUGUCCCAACCUUCGGAACACCUAAAAUAACAUCAAAACAUCAAAUCAUCAUUGGAUUCAAGCCUAUGAAUCUCAAGAACUUCCAAAUUUCAUUUUUGACCAAAAACCCAAUCAAAUCACGUUCGAAUGACCUCAAAUUUUGCAGACAAGUCCAAAAUAAUAUAACGAACCUAAAACAACUCUCAGAAUUCCAUUCCGACCCUCGGAUCAAAAUCUCACCUAUCAACCGGAAUUGGCCAAAAUACUAACUUUGCCAAUUCAAACUUAAUUCUAUACCGGUCAUUAUAAAAAUAUUUCGGACACAUUCAUAAGCCCGAAAUCACCUAACAAAGCUAUCCGAAUCAUAAAAUUUGCAUUUCGAGCCCUCUAACACAUAAGUCAAUAUACGGUUGACUUUUUCAACUUAAGCUUCCUUAAAAGAGACUAAGUGUCUGAAACCUUACCAAAAUCAUUCCGAAAGGACUUCAAAUUUUGUACACAAGUCACAUUCGACAUUACGGACAUGCCCCAACUUUCGGAAUAGAAUGACUUCAAAUUUUGCACACAAGUCACAUUCGACAUUGCGGGCUUGCCCCAACUUUCAGAAUCGCAUUCCGACCCCGAUAUCAAAUUUUCCACUUCCGAUUGAAUUUUCUCAAAAACUUUCAAAUUUCUAUAUUUAGACAAAUGACUCCAAAAUGACCUCCGAACAUUCGAAUUCACUUACGAUCGCGCUCCCAACUCCAGAAUCACAAUACAGAUAUAUUUCCAGACUCGGAAUCCCAAACAGAUAUUUAUAACACUAAAAUGCCUUCCAACCCAAAUUUAUAAAAUUCUUCUAAAAUACUAACUUUCACAAUAUACGCCGAAAUGCUCACGGAUUAUCCAAACCCAAAUCCGGACAUACGCCCCAGUCCGAAAUUAUCAUACGAACCUGCUGGAACUUUCAGAUCUCGAUUCCGAGGUCGUUUACUCAAAAUUCCAAUCUUAGCCAUUUUCUUCAACUUAAGGCUGCCAUAAUGAAAAUUUUCUUUCCAAUUUGACUCCGAAUUUUUCGAAAUUCAAUUCUGAUCAUACGCACAAGUCAAUAUACCUAAAAUGAAGUUGUUCAUGACUUCCAACUGCUGAACGACGCGCUAGAGCUCAAAACGACCUGUCGGGUCGUUACAAAAAAUCACCUUCCAUAUUUUUAAGCGUGAUUGGCAACAUUAGAUACAAGACGGAAAGAAAUUCAUGGACGAGGAAGAAAAUAAGGUGAUGAAAUACAAAAAUCUAUACAAUAUUUCAAAAAAUUAAACAAAAGAGGAAUUUUUUCGAUGGGUAUAGUUGAAAUUCAUUGAAAAUAUAUAGAUAAAUCAAUAUACAAAAUUUGAGAAAGAUUGGAGGUGAUUUGGACUGGUUUUGUAUAAAAAUUUGUAAUUAAAUCGAGUUCAAAAAAUCGUUCUGCAACACAUGUAUCAAACAUGUAUCGCGCAUGUCUCUCACACACAUUUCGAAUUCAAAAAAGUCUUCUGCGAUUACGUGUAUCAAAUAUGUAUCACGCAUGUAUCUCACACACAUGUAUACAUGGAUAUACAUGCGGUAUACAAUUGAUACAAAUAUGAUACAUAUGUGAUACAAAAAUAAUAUACAAUGUGAUACACCUAUCAUUUUGUUUUUCAUGUUCAACUUUUACUUUGAAUUUUCAAUUCAAACCACCUCAAUACAUCACCAAAUCAUCACAAAACUUAGAUUCAAGUUCAUUAAGUUGUGCCCAAUCUAUUCUAGUAACACCUACUCAAAACAAAGUAAAAAUUUAAUAUUUUUUUGCUACAAAUAGCUAAUUGGCUAAUUUGACUAAUAUUAAUAAUAUUUUAUCAAUUGACCAGUUUUUAUAAUGAACUACUUAUAAAUGAACAUAGCUGUUAAUUUUCCAAAAAAAUAUGCCCUCAACGUUUUGAAUAUAAUGACAACCUCCUUUUGCUUAAAAAUCACGCCGAAAAAUGUAUAAAUACCAAAAAUAAUCAUUUUUCAUAUAAUCUUUCUGUUUGUCAAUUUGCAUGCUUCAGUAAGAAGUAAAAGCAGACAAAUACUUGAACAUAAAAGAAAUUUUUACCUCUUAUAUCAAACGUUGAUAUUUUAUUUAUUUUAAAUAAAUGUUUUUUAUAAAAUAAUAUUAUAUGGAUACAUUUUAAUUUUUAUAACCAAAUAUCUAUUUAUGGUUACUCCUACUCUUAAAUUAUAAAAUACUCUUUGUAUUAUUUUUCUCCCUCAUUCUUUCACAUUUUUCUCCAGACUCUCUCUCUCAACGACAUAUUGCUCCAUGGUUAUCUCUCAACGCCAUAUUUUUGCUUCACACAACAGUGAUCUCUCGCUGAAUCAAUUUCUUAGUUCUCAAAUUGUGCAACCAUCAAUUUCUUGCUCAGCCCUGUUAAUAGCAACCCAUAAUUCUGAAUCAAUUUCUUAAUUCUCAAAUUAUGCAAUAAGAAUUUGGUCGUAUUUUAUUUGUAACACCGGCAACCAAACAAUAAUUUCCUUGAUUUCGUGGUUAAUAGAAACCCAUCCUCGCACACUCCACAAUCUCCAUUGGGUCGUAUUUUCACUACCGACUUUUGGUGAAUGGCGGAUUCGCCAAAAAUUAGGGUUUGUUCUUCAAUAAAGACGACGAAGUUUGGGGCUGAACAACUUGAUUUUCUGUUAAUAUAUUUCAAUGUAUAUACAUGUAUUUCAUUGUAUUCAUUUGUCUUUUUUUUUCAUUGUAAUUCAUUGUAUCUUAUUGUAUUCUGUGUAUUUCAUUGUAUUCAUUGUAUUUCAAAAUCCCGUUGUAUUAUAUUAUUUCAUUAUAUUCAUUGUCUCGCUAUAUGCCAUAAAUGUAUUCAUAUAUAUAUUUUAAUUAAUAUAAUUUAUGUAUUCAGAUGUAUUAUAUAAUUUUUCUGAAGAUUGAUAUGUUUUUGGUGUAUUUUUCGGUUGAGAAUCUUUUUUAUAACUGAAAAUAUAAAAUUUAUGUGUUAUAAUUGAGUUUAUUGAGUUAUACUAGGAGUCUAUUAUGUUAAUUGAUUCACUUUCUGUUUUAAAAAUAAUGUAAUCCCCUAUUUCAUGGCGUGAAUACAGUCAAAUACAAUAAUCUGUUCAGCUGUAAUCUCACGUUUCACUCCAUGAAUAUAAUUGAAUACAACAACUGAUUAGCUGAAUUUCUAUGAUUCACACAUAUUUUUACUACUGUAUUCAUAAAUACAAUAAUUUAAAUACAUCAAGUAUAUCUUAUAACCACAGAAAAUGUAUCUAUAAUCCGUAAUAUAUCAAAUAGUAUUUAUAGAAGACUAAUUACUAUUAAAAGAUAGUACUUUAUGAAAAAUUUUCAAAUAUGACGUAAUGGGUUCGAAUUAUAUUAGAGGGGAAGUAUGAAAAGGUAUUUUUCGAUUUAAUUUUUUUUAAUAACUGAAAAUAUAAAAUUUGUGUGUUAUAAUUGAGUUUGUUGAGUUAUACUAGGAGUAUAUUAUGUUAAUUGAUUCACUUUCGGUUAUAAAAAUAAUAUAAUCCCUUAUUUCACCCCGUGAAUACAGUCGGAUACAAUAAUUUGUCCAGCUAUAAUCCAUGUUUCACUUCAUGAAUACAGUCGAAUACACUCGAAUACAACAACUGAUUAGCUAGACUUUGAUGAGUCACAUUUUUUUUUUUGCUAUUGUAUUUAUGAAUACAAUAGCUUAAAUACAUCAAAUAUAUCUUAUAACCACACAAAAGAUAUCUACAAUCUACAAUAGCAAAUAGUAUUUAUAGAUAACUAAUUACUACAAAAAAAUAAUAUUUUAUGAAAAUUUCUCAACGAAAAAUACAGUACUAGUUAAUAGUUACCAUCGCUUUUCAGAUUAGUUUCUUAUUUACGUAGAGCCCCACAAAUGCCCUUGGACAUUCAAUAGGAUUCUAGGUUGCCAAAUAUAGACGAAGGGUCUCAUUUAUUCAAGUGCAAAGAGAUAAUGUAAGGGUAUACUAUCUGAAAAACUUACACAGCAAGAAAAAGAGCAGUUGAUAGGAUCAAGGGCAGCUUUUAUGAUCAAUUUCAUAAAGCCAGUAAUUAUUGUCAAAUGAUUUUGGAGCAAAAUCCAAGGGAUUGUUUUUUAAAUUUUGAACAAAGCCUUUAGUAAUAAAGAACAAGAUAAUAAUAAAAAUAAUUUUGUAUUAAAAUUCAUAAUUUCGUCAGCAAAUAUUGCAUAAGAAGAUUGUGGUUGUUAUAAAUAUAUUAUAUUAUGGAUGUUCAUUUAUUACUUCAUUGUAAAUAAGCUUCCUGAAGUAGUUUAUUCAUAUGAGACUAUACCGUAAAUAUAUUUAUCUAUUUAGUAUUCUAUUAGAAAUAAGCUUCCCAAAGAAGCUUAUCACUUCGGUACCCAGUUAUGGAUAAACAUUACCCCCGGUAGAAGAUUAUUCAUACCGGGUAUAAUAAGCUUAUCCUUUCAGUAUCAAUUUAUAGAUAAACAUCACCCCUGGUAGAAGAUUAUCCAUACCGAGUAUAAUAAACUUAUCCUUUCAGUAUCCAAUUAUGGAUAAAUAUUAUGGUAGAAGAUUAUCCAUACGGGGUGUAAUAAGCUUAUCUUUUCAGUAUCCAAUUAUGGAUAAAUAUUACCCCCGGUAGAAGAUUAUCCAUACCAGAUAUAAUAAGCUUAUCCUUUCAGUAUCCAAUUAUGGAUAAAUAUUAUUCCUGGUCAGGGGCGGAGCUUCAGUGGAAUGUGCGGGUUCGGGCAAACCAAGUGACUUUUGCGCAAACCGUAUAUCUGUGUUGAAAAUUUUGUUAUUUGUAUAUGUAUUUAGUAGGCCGAACCCAGUACCAAAAGAGAUUUGGAUUCAGUGGUAAAGCGUCUGGAUUUUUCAUGAAAAUGCCCAAAUUCGAAUCUCCUUGAAAGUAACGCUACAUUUUGUUAAAUUUUCUUUUUUUUAUCUUUGAAAAAAUAAAUAAGAAAUAGAAGAAACAAAAAAACGACAAAGUUCCAAACUAGUGUUUCCAGAAUUAUCAUUCCUUUUUAAUAAAGAAAAACACAAUCAUUUUUCUUUUUUAAUUAAAAAACAAAAAUCAAAUACACAUAUCUCUCUAAAAUAAAAACAGACAUUUUUCUUUCACAAUUCAACUGCACGCAAAUCAAACAAAGCUAGGGUUUUACCUUUCUGCCUCAAAUCCCAAUUGUUGAUCGAUUAUCGCCUCUACUGUUGUACUGCAUCUUCCUUCUUCCUUUAAGAAUUACGCUGUAUAUCCUUUCUCAUUCUCCAUCUUUCUUCUUCUUUUCUAUAUUUUUUGUUCCUAUUAUAUUUUUGUAAUAAUUCAUACAAAAUCUAAUUUUUAAUCUUUCAUUCUAGGGUUGUCCUACAUUUUGACCUCUAUUAUGUUUGCAACUUGUGCUUUUUGUAUUUUCCAAAAUUUCAAAGGCCAAGCCCGACUAAUCGACAAUGUAUGUGGUCCUACUUUCUUGUUUUUAAUUGAUUGUUAUCAUUCUUUUUAUAAAAUAAUUGUAUAUGGCUUUGUUAGCAUUUAAAUUUGGCUAUCGGGCAAAUUAAUAGAUGACCUUACAUAAAAGGAUAACUGAAGUAACUAACCAACUAAAGAUAAAUUAAUCACUCUAUCGGAUGUAUUCUCUAAUUAUUGAUAUAUCUUAUAAUUUAGAGGAGAUAAAAAAUAGUUUGUUAUAACAUUUUGAAACAUACAACUUCAAGUAAAUUUUUGUUUUGUGAUUUUUAGUUUUUUCUAGCAAAAGUCGAUAUGAUCACGAGUUUUUAUAAAGCUCAAGCUUCUGCAUCAUCUUCUAGCUCUCCUUUAACAAGUUCUCCAUGUCUAGUUAUUAAUAACAAUAUUAAUCCUUCCCAAGCAUCGGAUAGAGCGUGCUAUUAUGAGCCCGAUCCUGCUAAAAGAAAAUCAAUUUUAGAAUUUUCUCUUAACUUACGUGACCGUAUAAGGAGAAAAUAUAUACAAAAUUGAGCUGUUCAACCUCGUGGUUUUGUCUUUCCAAAAAAGAGAUUUUGGGGGAAUAAUACGUCACUUUAAUCCUGAAUGGUUUAAGCUUCAUGAAGAAGCUCAUCCAUAUGGGACUACACAGUAAAUAUAUUUAUCUAUUUAGUACUCUAUUGGAAAUAAGCCUCCUUGAGAAGCUUAUCACUUCGGUGCCCAAUUAUGGAUAAAUAUUAUCCCCGGUAGAAGAUUAUCCAUACCGGGUAUUAUAAGCUUAUCCUUUAAGUAUCCAAUUAUGGAUAAAUAUUAUUCUCGGUAGAAGAUUAUCUAUACCGGAUAUAAUAAUCGUAUCUUUUCAGUAUCCGAUAAUGGAUAAACAUUACCCAUGAUAGAAGAUUAUCCAUAUCGGGUAUAAUACACUUAUCCUUUCAGUAUCCAAUUAUGAAUAAAUAUUACCCCCAAUAGAAAAUUAUUCAUACCAGGUAUAAUAAGCUUAUCCUUUCAGUAUCCAGUUAUAGAUAAACAUUACCCCUGAUAGAAGAUUAUCCAUACUGGGUAUAAUAAGCUUAUUCUUUCGAUACUCCGUUAUGGAUAAAUAUUGCUCUCAAUAGAAGAUUAUUCAUAUCUGGUAUAAUAGCAGCUUACACAGCAGCUUACAUAGCAGCUUGCAAUAGCAGCUUACACAACAGCUUGCGGUAGCAGCUUACACAACAGCUUCCUUUCUUCUAUAAAUAGAAGAGAUUUCAGUUCAUUAUAUAUAUCAAUUUGAAUUUAAAUAAUAUAUUAAUUUAUUUCUAUACUUGUAUUUACUUUACAAUCUUUAUUUUAUAAUAGUGAUCCCCUUUUAAAAGAUGAAAAGAGUAUUUUUUUUCUAAUCCUUAAAGGUUAAUGGGGUAAAAUGGAUUUUACUCAAAAUAAAAUGGAACAGUGUGUUUAAGGCGCACGUUAGCACGACGCUUUCUCCGUUGAUUAUGGCUCGUCGCCGGCGGCAACCUCCACCUUCUCCAUCACAGAUUGUUACUCCAGCUCCAGGAGUAACUAAGGAACUGGAACCACUGACCUUUGGAAACUUUUUGCCAGAAAAAUUUCAGUCCAAAAAUUCUUUGUAUGCAGAGGAAAUUGCAAAUGUUGAACCUCAAUUGAAGAUGACUGAUGUAGAUCGAGAUAGCCUAGCUGUGAGGAAAUUGCAAUUCUCAGAUAUCGCCUUAGCUGAACAGCCACCUCCUACUAUGGCUGAGAUUGUCAGAGGUAAACAUAAUAUGGGCAAGGUUUUAACGUUUGUUCCACCUAUUGAUAAGGAUGGAAGGAAGAUAGUUAAAAUCUAUAUUGAUGAGCUGAAAUCUCAAUCUGAUUACCGGAAUACUUCACUUAUUGGCUAUAUCAUUAGAUAGUUAAACUCAAUAUCGAUGAGCUGAAACCUCAAUCUGAAUACUGGAAUACUUCUCUUAUUGGCUAUAUCAUUGGUGACAACCCUAAUGAGAAAGCCAUGAAAAAUUUUGUUUUGCAUGUAUGGAAUUUUGUGGCUAAAUCACAAAUUCUAAUGCAUAGAGAUGGUUACUGUGUGUUUCGAUUUAAUAAUGUUGAGGAUAUGAACCAAGUGUUACAAUUUGGUCCUUACUCAUAUAGGAAUAAGCCUAUGAUAUUGAAACCAUGGGAUGUGGAUUUCUCUAUGCAAAAUGGUAUUCUUAGUACUAUUCCUAUUUGGGUGAGAUUUCCUGGAUUGCCUUUGGGUUACUGGUCCCCUGAAAUACUCAGUAAACUAGCGAGCACUGUUGGCAAGCCUCUCUAUACUGACAAAGUUACAGCUCACUUUGAGAAGAUUUCCUUUGCAAGAGUGCUGGUAGAAGUUGAUGCUGCAUUUCCACUCCCUGAGGAAGUUGAAAUUGAGACUCCUUUUGGGUUGAAGGUUCAAGAUAUUGAGUAUGACUGGAAACCAGAAUUUUGCAACCUGCUUGAAGUUUGGGCACAAUUCAAUUGACUGUUGGUAUAACAGUCAUCAAUUUUGCAACCACUACUUGAAGUUUGGGCACAAUUCACUUGACUGUUGGUAUAACAGUCAUAAUGAAAGAGAUCAGAAGCAGAUAGUUCAUAAUAAAGAGAAUAGAAACAAGAUUAGAGGUAAGAACCCAAGACAGGAAUGGAUCCCAAAAGGUAACAACAACACUCUGGCAAAUGAUGAUUUGGAUACAAAAGCAAUUCCUAACUUGCCAAUACAUACUGAGCCUAAUCCAGUAUCAUUGGUUAGUGAAGCAAUUGCUAAUAUGAGUACAGUGAUUGUUGAUCAGCCUGUUGAUACUAUGCAGAGGAUCCACAUUGGAACUGAUAUGGUUGCUAGCCUUGGGACUGAGGGUGAUCAUGGGACCCAAGAGAGUAUGGACAGUGAUAUAUAUGGGACAGUGCUGGAGCAAGUAGGAGAAAUGGCUAAUGCUGGAUUAAUGGAUGAAGGAAGAAAGGGACAGCAGCAGGAUCCUGGCCCUUCAUUAUAUUUGCCACCUAGUAUUUCAUGAUUGUUGCCACUUGGAAUAUUAGAGGGCUUAAUAAAAGCCACAAGCAGAAAGAACUAAAGAACUUUUUGCUUAAGUUUCAUGAUUGUUGUCACUUGGAGUAUUAGGGGGCUUAAUAAAUGCCACAAGCAGAAAGAACUAAAGAACUUUUUGCUUAAGAAUAAAGUUGAUAUUCUUGGUUGUCUUGAAACUAGAGUCAAAGAACCCAAAGCCCAUGGAAUUGUUAAUAAAAUUGCUAAAGGAUGGAAGUUUCAACACAACUAUCUCAAAGCAGUUAAUGGUAGAAUUUGGUUAGUUUGGAAACCUCAUAUACAAAUCCAUAUUGUUUGCAUCACUGAGCAGUUUAUUCACUGUAUUGUUGAAGAUGCAGCUACAACAACCAGAUUCCAGCUGAGUAUCAUAUAUGCUUACAAUACAGUCACACUUAGGAAGCAACUUUGGAAUGAUCUGAGAGGCCUAUCCAUUCCAAGCCAGGAUGUAUGGUUGCUAAGUGGUGAUUUUAAUGCUGUCUUAUCUUCUGAAGACAGAAUUGGAUCACCUGUAACAGAUGCUGAGGUAAAGGACUUCAAGGAGCUGAUAUUUGAUCUCCAACUUACUCCCAUCAGGUCAAAAGGUUGGAAGUAUUCAUGGACCAAUAAAUAGGUAUAUAGCAAGAUUGAUUGGGCAAGUGGGAACUAUCAGUGGAUUCAACAGUUCAGUCAUGUGGAAGCAGAUUGUUUGAACCACUCAGUCUCUGAUCACACACCUAUUUUCAUUCAGUUUGGGAGGCAAAGGCUAUUGCAUCCUAAACCUUUCAGACUUUAUUAUGCUGUUGUGGAAAAUGUUGAACCUCAAUUGAAGAUGACUGAUGUAGAUCGAGAUAGCCUAGCUGUGAGGAAAUUGCAAUUCUCAGAUAUCGCCUUAGCUGAACAGCCACCUCCUACUAUGGCUGAGAUUGUCAGAGGUAAACAUAAUAUGGGCAAGGUUUUAACGUUUGUUCCACCUAUUGAUAAGGAUGGAAGGAAGAUAGUUAAAAUCUAUAUUGAUGAGCUGAAAUCUCAAUCUGAUUACCGGAAUACUUCACUUACAACUGUUGGUAAAUCCUUGUUCAGCACAGCUAUUCAAUGAAGAAAAAGAAGCCAUUCUAGACAUAGAGAAAUGGAGUAAUGUAGAGGAACAAGUCUUGAGACAGAAAUCAAAGGCUAACUGGAUUNNNNNNNNNNNNNNNNNNNNNNNNNNNNNNNNNNNNNNNNNNNNNNNNNNNNNNNNNNNNNNNNNNNNNNNNNNNNNNNNNNNNNNNNNNNNNNNNNNNNNNNNNNNNNNNNNNNNNNNNNNNNNNNNNNNNNNNNNNNNNNNNNNNNNNNNNNNNNNNNNNNNNNNNNNNNNNNNNNNNNNNNNNNNNNNNNNNNNNNNNNNNNNNNNNNNNNNNNNNNNNNNNNNNNNNNNNNNNNNNNNNNNNNNNNNNNNNNNNNNNNNNNNNNNNNNNNNNNNNNNNNNNNNNNNNNNNNNNNNNNNNNNNNNNNNNNNNNNNNNNNNNNNNNNNNNNNNNNNNNNNNNNNNNNNNNNNNNNNNNNNNNNNNNNNNNNNNNNNNNNNNNNNAUGACAAAGCUCCAGGUGUUGAUGGAUUCCCUGUGGAAUUUUUCACCAAAAACUGGGAGACAGUCAAGAGUGAUGUUUAUGCUGCCACUAAGGAGUUCUUUUCUACUUGCCAGAUGCCACACAUGAUUAACACUACUGCUAUUGCUAUUGUUCCCAAGGUUAAAACUCCUAAGACAGUGAAGGACUAUAGACCUAUUGCAUGUUGUACCACCCUAUACAAGAUUAUUUCUAAAGUCAUUACCAGAAGAUUGAAAGCUGUUAUUGAUAACAUCAUUGGGAAAGGUCAGUCAGCAUUCAUUGAGGGGAGAAGCAUAAUUGACAAUGUUUUGCUCAGUCAUGAGCUUUUCAAGGGUUAUGGCAGGAAGGGUAUAUCACCUAGGUGUGUGCUAAAGGUGGACUUAAGGAAGGCUUAUGAUACCCUUGAAUGGAGGUUCCUUAAACAGAUGCUUGUUGAUCUUGGAUUUCCUACUAAAUUUGUUGAUUGGACUAUGGCUUGUGUUUCAUGUGUGACUUAUUCUUUAGUGAUUAAUGGGGGACUCACCAAACCUUUCCAAGCUAGAAGGGGUAUUAGGCAAGGAGAUCCUAUGUCUCCUUACCUAUUUGUUAUUGCCAUGGAAUAUCUUAACAGAACUUUGGCACAGAUGCAUAAGAAUGGUGACUUCAACUUUCAUCCUAGAUGCAGGAAACUUAACUGCUCCCAUAUUUGCUUUGCAGAUGACUUGCUGUUAUUCUGUAGAGCUGAUAUAACUUCUAUUCAACUACUGCAUGAUGCAUUCCUAACAUUCUCUACAGCAUCUGGACUUUCUGUUAAUAAGUCUAAGAGUGCUGUUUAUUUUGCUGGCUUUUCUCAGAAUGAAAAGGAGGAUAUUCCAGAGGCUUUGGGGUUAUGUGAAGGGCAUCUUCCAUUCAAAUACUUAGGCAUUCCACUACACUCAAAGAAGUUGAAUAUCCAUCACUAUCUACCAUUGGUUGAGAAAAUAAUUGAUAGGAUUACUUGCUGGUCUGCCAAAUUCUUGUCUUAUGCAGGCAGGUGUCAACUUAUUAAAUCAGUAUUAUUUGGGGUUCAAACUUACUGGUCACAGAUUUUUAUAUUGCCUAAGAAGGUGGUGAAAGCAAUUGAAGCUAUAUGCAGAUCUUUCCUUUGGACUGGCAAUGGAACAGUGUCCAGAAGAUCAUUAGUAGCCUGGGACAAAAUAUGCAGACCUGUCACUGCUGGAGGGCUAAAUCUUAUUGAUAUCCAGACUUGGAACAAAGCUGCUAUUUCUAAACUGCUGUGGGAUUUAGCAAGAAAAAAGGAUUGCCUAUGGAUCAAAUGGAUUUACUAUUACUACAUAAAGAGUGAUGACAUUGAGACAGUGGCUAAUCCCAAAAAUGCUUCAUGGAUAGUCAGGAAAAUAAUAGACUGCAGGACCCCUAUUAUGGCUGACAACAAACUGCAAGGGGUUCUAUUGUUCAGACUGUCAUGUUUGUGUAAAGCUGGCAAGUUUCAAAUACAUUCUCCAUAUCACUCUUUGCUUCCAGUUUUUUAUAAGGUGGAGUGGAAGAACUUAAUGGCUACAACUAAUGUCUUGCCUAGACAUAUGUUUACAGCAUGGUUAGCUGCUCAUGGUCGACUGCCCACAGUAGACAGAUUACUGAAGUUUGGCAUAAAUGUAGUGGAAAAAUGUGUAUUCUGUCAACAGGCUGUUGAAGAGCUUGAUCAUCUAUACUUUACUUGUCCAAUUACAAGUAAGAUUUGGUAUAGAGUUUGCUGCUGGUNNNNNNNNNNNNNNNNNNNNNNNNNNNNNNNNNNNNNNNNNNNNNNNNNNNNNNNNNNNNNNNNNNNNNNNNNNNNNNNNNNNNNNNNNNNNNNNNNNNNNNNNNNNNNNNNNNNAUGUAUUUGCUGCCUUGCUAGGAGUAAAGUAUGCAGAAAGGCUGUGGUGGCCACUGCUUUUGUCACCACAGUAUCACUGAUUUGGAGGUGCAGGAAUGCUAUCAGAUUCGAGGGGAAAUCUUUUGAUGAAAACCUUGUAUGCCGAGGAAUUGCAAUACUUAUACAUGCACGGGGCAGGAAAUGCAAGAAAUGGCAAAAGGGGCUGCGACAACUUAAUCACAAUCCUUAGCUAAUGCUAGAAAUGUACUAACAGUUUUAACAGUUUUGUAGGGUGGUAGUUAGGCUAUACUACCACAAAGAACUCCUCCUUGUACAUUUGUUGAUAUCAAUGGAAACUAAGGUUAAACAAAAAAAAAAAGAAAUUGUCAAGGGAGUCAACGUCAUUCCAACAAGGACCAUGUUCCCAUUAACAAUGAAGAAAUAAUCUCCAUCAGAAAAACUUCCUCACUGUUCUACUAAACCUCCUCAAAACCCACCAAAACGACAGGCGCUCAAAUGCUUCGUUCUCUCACUUCCAAACGCUCUCUCCAGUCCCUUCUCCUCCACCACCACCCUCUCCUCCGUCCUAAUCCCCACUCCACCCCUUUCAAUCCCCGCCCCUUCUCUUCUACACCGGGUCCCACCUCAUCCGAAUCCGAACUCCGUAAAUACAUUGGCUACACACUUCUCCUCUUCGGGUGUGGUGCUGCCACAUACUAUUCCUUCCCUUUCCCCGAAAAUGCCAAGCACAAAAAAGCUCAGCUAUUCCGCUACGCUCCUUUACCCGAUGAUCUCCACACCGUGUCCAAUUGGAGCGGGACCCAUGAGGUGCAGACCCGGACUUUCUUGCAACCCGAGUCCAUUGAAGAGCUCGAAGGGAUAGUGAAAGCUGCGAAUGAGAAGAAGCAGAGGAUCCGGCCUGUCGGAUCAGGUUUGUCGCCCAAUGGGAUCGGGUUGACCCGCGCUGGGAUGGUGAAUUUGGCGUUGAUGGAUAAGGUUUUGAAUGUGGAUAAGGAGAAGAAAACGGUGACUGUUCAAGCUGGGAUAAGGGUUCAGCAGCUUGUGGAUGCUAUUAAGGAGUAUGGGAUUACUCUUCAGAACUUUGCAUCCAUAAGAGAACAGCAAAUCGGUGGCAUUGUCCAGGUGGAUGAUUUAUUCUGUCUUUUGGUUUAUGUGCGACAUUUCAUUUUCAGUUCGCUCCAAAAGAAUGACAAAUUUGUUAAUUUGGAUACAAUUUAACUUAAACAUUUCAUUACUCUUACUAAGAAACGUUUAAGAUUACAAGUUUUAAAGGUCUUAAAACCACACAAAUGUUAUGGCAUAUUGGUGGGCACUAUUUUCAAGUCUUCAUUUUUUAUAGCAAUAUAAUUUUUAUGAAACGUUUAAGAUUGCAAGUUUUAAAGGUCUUAAAACCACACAAAUGUUAUGGCAUAUGUAUGAGCACAAGUUUCAAGUCUUCAUUUUUUCCUUAAAUUUCAUCCCUAUUCAAUCUUUGCCACAUAAAUUAGAACAGAGGGAGUAAUCUGUCACUUUCUUGUGUAUUGGUUUAUUUUUUGAACUAAAGAAUGGUGAUAGAUAACUUAAAGGUUUAACUAAAAUACAUAGUGUGUCCAUUCCAAAUUUUCUCCCAUGUAUGUGAUAUUAAUCACAGGCCGAUUAGCAGUGUACCUAAUCACGUGACCCAGUAGCUUUUGCAUAAGUUGGCCGUGUGUAUAGAUUAGAACAUAGCUGUAUACUAACUGUUUUGUGGUGGCCUGAAAUUUGCCUCUGGAAUUGGUGAAAUGAUAAGUUCUGUGGGAAGUUUAUGGAUGUGCUUGGUACAUCUCAUAUAGUACCUUCUUGAUGUAAAUGUGCCUAUAUAAAUAAAAAUCUUUGUUUUGCUUAUCAAUCAAAGAGAAAAUGGUCAAGCUGGUUUUUGUAUUCGUGUUAUGUGUCAUGGGAGAAUAUCUCUUUUUUCUACAUGUUUGAGGUCUCUACAUUAUUCCAGCUUGCAGUUAGUUGAUUAGUGAGGAUUGAUUGGGGAGAUUCUUAAGCUUUUAUUCUUUUGAAUUCAAAUUGUUAGGUUGGUGCUCAUGGCACUGGUGCCAGGUUGCCUCCAAUUGAUGAGCAAGUCAUAAGCAUGAAAUUGGUUACGCCUGCCAAAGGCACAAUAGAAAUCUCAAAAGAGAAAGAUCCAGAACUCUUUUAUCUAGCUCGAUGUGGACUUGGGGGCCUUGGUGUAGUUGCAGAAGUCACUCUUCAGUGUGUUGAGAGGCAGGAGCUUGUAGAACAUACUUUCCUGUCUAACAUGAAAGAUAUCAAGAAAAAUCACAAGUAAAUAUUUCCUUUUUUCUUUGGUGAUUUGUUUCUCCUUUUGGUAAGCUUUCAUAGUUGUUAAAGUAGACCUUCUUAGUGGAUUUUCUUUAUAAAGAGUUUGUACUUGUUAAUAUUGAUGUAACAAAGCCAGCAAUUUGCAAGCAUCCUAAAACCUAGCUCAAGGGAUCUUAUGGAAAAGAGUAGUUUUUACAAGCUAGGAUCAUUGAGUUUGGACAUCCUUUGAUUUUCUUGCUGCUCAAUCCACUAAUUAAAAUUAGAAAAAUGGUCUUCUAUGGCCACUAACAAUUUGAAUAGAAGAAAAUCACAUUUUCAGAUCUCGUGUGUCAUUUUCAAAUCUCUUAUGAGUAAAAAUGAAAAUCUCUUGUAGAAAAAGACAUUAAACUAAAAACAACUUUAUAAAGUAAUACAAAACCAAUUGACUGUCCCUUUGCUGCCCUGGUUCAAUCUGUUUUUCCUUUGGGGGUUAAUUGAUAUUUGCUCCAGUUUAUCCAUCAGCUGCAUCAUGCUGUUCAGCUUCCAAUCCUGGCAAUUCCUUCUGUGCGUGAUGUUCCAUGUGUCCCUCUUCAGCAUUGCACUAUACUUGCAUGAAGGUAUAUCUCAAAAGGCAAAAGUUCGGGAAUUCCUCCUUCAGAGUGCUGUUCCCAACCAUUUAUGAUGCCACAAUCUGACGGGGUUAUAAAUCCUUAUUAAGCUUUGAAUUGAAAAUUAAGCCUUGAUUUAGUGUAGUUCCUACUCUAUCUCAUUAGUAUCUUCUGUAUUUGUGGACCAGAACGUGUGAGAGAGGAAGGAAGAUGAUAGAGAUUACCAAAGAGAAAUAAAUAGAAUGGUGGAGAAGAGAAGUGAUGAAGCAGAGAUGAAUCAUCACCAAUAAGAAGGGGUAGGUAGUUGCUGAAAGGAAUGAUGAGACUAUGGAGUGAGAGUGGUAGUCCCUGAUAGGUGAGCAUUUAUUUAUCAGAUAUUGUGCCGGCUGGAGUAACAUGGUCAGUGAGGAUUCAUAUAGUCAACAACAAUUUGUUUGGGAUUGAGGCAUAGUUGUUGUUAUUAUAUGUUGUACCGGCUGGGUGCAGCUCGUAGUAGACAAAAUCCAGUACGAAACAGCUAGCAUACAUGUUAUAAAACAACUUGCUAGUUAUUGUGGAUAACCAAUGUCCCAGUUCAAACUACAGUACAGCGAAAAUCCAGGGAUGUCAGUUAAAUUCCGACUAGAGUUUCCUGGAGUAUAGUUGAAGUUUUUUGCACCUUCUAAAUGAGUAAAUGUUAACACUGAUGAUUUAUUGCACCUAUAUAAAUUUUAUUACUAUAGCAGUUUGUUGUUAGUGAUGAUGCAUGUUUCACAUAUGUAGCAUGGUACAGCACAUUUGUUGCACUUGGUGCCCUACGCUUGUUAAAUAAUGCCGCUAACAUGUCAUCGCUUCAGGAAAUUCCUAUCUGAGAACAAGCAUGUCAAAUACUUGCACAUUCCAUAUACUGAUGCAGUUGUGGUUGUGACAUGCAAUCCUAUAUCCAAAUCGCGAGGUCCACCAAAGUAUAAACCUAAAUAUACUACAGAAGAAGCCUUGCAGCAUGUACGAGUUCUCUAUCGGGAGGCAUUGAAGAAGUACAGGUAUGGUGGCAUUAAAUUAGCCUGUAAAACCAUAUUUCAGAACAUUCUUUUCCUUGCAUUUCUGCAUGAUGUUCUGUUGUUGGAUGAACUUCCCCAUGUAGUUUUAGCUGUUCUCGUAUACGGAGAAGGGGCCCGUUUUGCGUAGAACAUUUCCUGAAAGGGAAUAGAUGAAAUAAUAAACUCUUUCAGACCUAAUUUAUGCGAGGUAACGGAGAAGGGGCCCAUUUUGCGUAGAACAUUUCCUGAAAGUGAAAUAAUAAACCCUUUCAGACCUAAUUUAUGUGAGGUAAUUUUAAAAAUUAAUACACUUGCAGUAAUAAUAUUAUCUGAACAGUAUUCUAAAUUGCAAGAAUUCAGUAGCUAUUCCUUUUUAGCUGUAAUGUUUUGCUAAUCGAACUAACAUUUCAACCACUGCUUCAAAAAUGUUUUAAUAGUAUUACAUGUAAUCAUCAUUAAUUGGCGAAUGCAAGUAACAGUGGAGAACAAUACUAAAGCAUUAGUUAAAAAAUUUGCUUGAUCAGCAAAACAUUACAAGUAAGCCUGUAUUACUUGUAAAAUGCUGAAGAUCCUUUGUUUCUGUUAUUUAAUGUAAUGUUUAAUUACUUGCUAAAUAAGUUUUACCACUUGUUGCAGAGGGCAAGUUGCUGAUUCUGGUUCUUCUGAACCUGAGAUAGAUGAACUAUCGUUCACUGAACUGAGAGAUAAACUACUUGCUUUGGAUCCUCUCAACAAGGAGCAUGUAAUUGAAGUCAACAAAGCUGAGGCAGAAUUUUGGAGGAAGUCAGAAGGAUAUCGAGUAGGCUGGAGUGAUGAAAUUUUAGGCUUUGACUGUGGCGGCCACCAGUGGGUAUCAGAGACAUGUUUCCCUGCAGGAACCCUAUCAAAGCCUAGCAUGAAAGACCUGGAUUAUGUUGAGGAAUUGAUGCAGCUCAUUGCGAAAGAAAGUGUACCUGCUCCUGCACCUAUAGAACAGAGAUGGACUGCUUGCAGCAAAAGUCGAAUGAGUCCAGCUUAUAGCUCAGCGGAUGAUGAUAUAUUCUCAUGGGUAAUAUUUUUAGCAUGUGAAUCUUUGCUUUGCUUAUAUGAUAAAGCUCCUUUAUGCUGGAGCCUAACUAUGCACCCUAAAUGUUGCACAAAUUCAAGAAACUGCUAAAUCAGAAAUUAAAUAUAGAACCAUGGCGGAUCUUUUUCUUAAUCUGUUUUAGAUAAAGUAAAAACAAUGAUUGACCUUUUGCUUAGCAGUUGAAUAAAUUCCCACUAGCAUCUUCUUUUGAUUUGCUCUUGACUGGGUUGUCAUGUACUGUCAUUGUGGUUGAGGUCUUCUUUUUUGAGGUUCACGACAGGAUACUCAGCACAAAAUACAUGCAAAUCCAAGCAGUGAACUGAUUUAAGUCCUUGAUCCAACUGCAUCUUCUUCAGGGCAAAAAAUAUUUUAAGCCCAUGGAUGGUGAUAUACUUAGAUGAGAUGCCAAUUAAUGCUGACAAUAUCAAGUAGAAAUAGAUCUUAAAUGAGGGCAGAUGGGUUUUAUAAUGUUUAUCUGAACGCAGACCUUGGUGACCUCAUGCACUUUACAUGUGCUUUACUUUUAGUGUACUUUCUUUCUAUUAAAAUUUGGAUAAAUACUAGAUAACCUUCUAUUCAGACAGUGAAGUCCUCCCUCUGCUUCCACCCAAAUCCGUGAUUGUCUUUUUACACCUGAUAUUCUUGAUGCAUAGCUUUAGUACUUAUAUCCCUUCCAAUAUGUUGCUAGGUUGGAAUAAUUAUGUAUCUUCCAACCAUGGAUGCUCGGCAGAGGAGGCAAAUCACUGAGGAGUUCUUCCACUACAGGCAUAUGACGCAAGCGCAGUUGUGGGAUCAUUAUUCUUCUUUUGAACAUUGGGCGAAGAUUGAGGUAUGAGUUAUUUUUCAGAAUUUCUGUUUAAGCCAAGCAAUUUAGGAGCAUGUAGAUAUUGUUAACCUAUCAGUUCCUCUUUGGUUUUGUUAUUUUAUUUUGCUUUAUUAUGAGGGAAACUUGCCCCAAGGGGAAGAGAUUUCAACAGGCAAUGUCUCGAUCCUGCUACAAAAUCCAUUGGAAUUGGUGCUGAAAGGGGAAGUCUGGUAUUUUUUGAAGUAUCUAAAACAUAAAUUCAGUAUUGAUUCUUUAAUAUUGCUGAGGAGAAACUGUGCAAAAUAAAAGAGAUUAAACCACCCUACUUCUUCCAAUAUUUUGCUGCUUUAGCUCCUCUUAUUGUUGUUAUUUUGCAACUCUGAAGAACUGUGAAAUUGACGGAAGAUAGAGCUAUCUUCUUGUACCUGUUCCAUGCACUUGGUCUUUAUUUUCUUUAACAAUAAUCAAUCUUAGGGGUGUGCAUUCGAUUUAUCGAUCCGAUUUUGACUCUUAUCAAUAAUUACUUAUCGAUUUGUACAUAUGCUUAUUGUUAUCGUUUCAUUAAGGUUUCGAUUUUUUUCGAUUUCGAUUUAUCGAUUUUUGGGGCUUAUCGAUUCGGUUAUCAAUUACACCAAUAAGAAAAUUUGCAGGAUUUCAUGGAAAGUAUAUCGCUAUAAACACACUUUGAAAUUGUAACAAAGGCACGGAGAGAGAGGGAGAAACGUACUAUUGAAGUCGCCGGAGUAUGCCACAGUACGUUGGAGUUCGCCGGAGUUCUAAUGGGUUUGCAGUUCGUGGGAGAGGGAGAAAGGUAAACGCGACGUUGAAGAAUGGGUAGAGGAAAUAAUAGGGUUAGGGACUUGGGGUAAAGGAAAAGGUAUUAUAGAAUAAGGGUAUAUUUGUCUUUUUAGUAUAUCUUAUCGGUUUAUCGAUAAACCGAUAACCGAAGAGGAUAAAAUCGAAAUCGAAAUCGAUAACUCGAUAAGGAAAAUUUCGAAAUCGAAAUCGAUAAAUCGAUAAACCGAUAACAAAUAAUCGAUUCGAUAGAGGACAAAAUCAAAAUCGAUAACUCGAUGAAGAAAAAUUUCUUAAUCGAAAUCGAUAAAUCGAUAUACCGAUAACAAAUAAUUAAUUCGAUUUAUCGAUAAACCGAUUCGAAUGCACACCCCUAAUCAUUCUUAGAGGUGAUUCAAUUUGUCAAACUACCCGUUAGAAGCUUCAUCGAGAAACAUGGGCUAAAAAAUCUAGUUGUAGUUCCUAUUAUCAAGCAUAAAUUCAUCCUCGGGGAUUAAGGCUGUAUUGUAGUACGAUCCCAGGCCUAAAUGGGCUAAACGGGCCGGGCCAAACGGUCCCGAACUUUGGCGGGCCCGCCCAAGCAGUCCCGGGCUUAAUAGUCCUUGAGGGUGGAACCGACUCACUGUGGGCCUAAGCCCACAUGGUCCCGGGCUAAGUAGGCUGGGCCUACCAGCCUAAACGGGCCUAAGUGUUCCGGGCUAUUUUUUUUGAAUUUUUUUAUCUAAGCCAAUUUCUUGUAAAUUAUAUUAUAUAAUUGUGGCCUCUCUGUCCAUUCGGGUAGGGGUAAGGCUUGUCUACAUAUUACCCUCCCCAGACUCCACCUGGUGGGAGUAUACUGGGUAGUUGUUGUUGUUGUUGUUAUAUUAUAUAAUUGUGACUUAAAUCUUCUAAUUCAAAUUUAAGCACAAAAAAAUUGUAAAGAAAUAUUCAAGGGAAUGCGUUAUAAUUUUAUUAUUACGACAUUAAAAAAAAAUGACAAUAUUUCUUAGUCUUCUUUCCCCCAAUGGAAUGAGCACAACAAUGUGCUAAUACCACAAUUAAAAGGAAAAAAAACUGAUGAAGAUGUACCAAAUUACAAGUUACAUAUUAGUCUACAUAGUAUCUCUAACAAAUUUCAUAAAUCCUUGAAGGUUCGGAGGAAUUUCUGUUGGUGGUGGUGGAAAAGAUACUUGUUCAUCAUCGCUUCCGAGCGAAGCAAUAGCCUCCGCAUGUUUCGCUAGCAUUUCUUCAUAAGCUUCGUCUAUCUCCGGUUGUGAUCCAACAAGUCAAAAAUUUCUUCUUUCCGAACGGAUCCAAUCUCUGAAGAGUACUGAUUUUUCCAAGCUCUCCCUCAUAGACGCUCUAUAAUCACUGAUUUGAAGUAUCACUUGACUGAAAGCGGUCUCCGAUGCCACUGUUGAAGCUAGAAUACUUAAAAUAUCUCGAGCCAUCCUUGAAAGAGCCGGAUAGUGUUUUUCUCUGUCCUUUACACCAUUCCAAAACAUCAAAGGAGCCGUCAUGAUUCUCUCGGCAAAUAAACUUGAAGCUCAUUUAGUUAUGAACUAUCACCAAUAUUAUCAUUUUGAGAACCCCUGAACUCCGUCCAAGAACUAAGUGUUUUUAGGCCUGUAGUUCUUUUAGAUGACUGCGAACUAGACAAAGUAGGAGUGGAACAUUUGGUCUAGCAUAAGUAUUAUAAAUUGUUUGAGCAUUUAUUUUAAUUGAGGCUUUUGCAUUUGCAAGUGUGCAAAUUCUUCAUUUGAAAGUGAUAAAGUCUUAUAAAUAUUUGUAUACCAAAAGUAAGGACCCCCUAAUUUCAUGGUGGGAUUUAACAUGGCAACAACACCAAAAAUAGGGGGGAUAGGAAAAAAAAAUUUUUUUAAACUUAUCUUUCAUAGAAUUAAUAGCAAAUUGAUAAAUUACCCCACCCUCUGAAAAUUGAGUAAACAAAUCUGCAAGUGCUGAAAUAUAAGCUAAACAGUUAGAAAUAGUAGGAUAAUAUUGCCUAGAUAAUUCUUUUGUAGCAACAUGAGUUUUUUCCAAAAAGUCUACAAGAAUUUUAACAUUAGUCCAAUCUUGAUUUUUAAGGUGCUCAUCAUCAUCACCACCAACACGAGCAUUAAACGUUACGUUAUUGGGUUUUCAAUUCAUAUGCAACAACUAAACUUUCUCUUCAGAAAAAAUUGUGUCUUCCAUAAUGGAAUUUGAUAAGUGAGAUCUUGAUUAAGUGUUUACAUAAUCUUCUUCUGUUCGAAGAAAUGAUUCAUCGAAAUAAUGAGUCACCAUUGAUAUCGACACUUCUGAGAUGCUCGGGAGUUCCUCUAUUCAAUCCUUUUCCUCUUGUUGUUGUUGGAUAUCUCGUUCGUACACAUUUCUCUUUGUUUCUCGGGCAUCUAGUGAGUUACAGGGAGAGUUCGAAAAGGUCAAAUCUUUGAUUAUUCUAUCAUCUAUGAUUGAGUUGCGAAAACUCCUGGAUAGGUAUCCUACAUCUGAACCCGAAUUCUUUCUGGUUAAAGAAUCUCUUUCUAGUUGCUCUAGAACAAUUAGGAGAUUCUCUAGAAGAAAUACGGGGUUCUGCUUCUGGCGGCAACAUGCUUGGUCCCGCUUAUGGGUUCAAAUCAAUACGUUCGUAGAAAUACGGGGUUUUGCUUCUGGUAGCAACAUGCUUGGUCCCACUUAGAGGGUCAAAUCAAUACGUUCUAAGAAGAAAGAUUAGAAUAUCAAUCUCAUCGAGAUCAUCGAUCUCAUACCAAAUCCCAUCAAUCGAAUCACUUUUUCAAGAAUACGAGAUAUUUAAGUCAUACAAGUAAAGAGAUCUAUUAAUUGAUAAUAAAAAGAAAAAAGAUUCGAUUGAUGAUGAAGAAAGAGAAUUCUUGGUUCAGUUCUCCACCUUAACGGCCUAAAAUAGGAUUGAUCGAAUUCUAUUGGGUCUGACUCAAACAUGUAAUUCCAUGUAGUCGGACAAGGUUUAGGAACCUUUCUUUCUCUGAGGCCAAAUUCAUCAUAUUUUUAAAAAUAUUCUCUAAGUUUACUUUUACGGUUUGAAUAAAAAAGCCAAUUAAGGGUCAUUUUAACCUUUUCAAUUUCAGCAUUUAAUAUUUUCAUACCAUCACCGACGAUUAAAUGGUAAAUAUGACAAAUACAUCUAACAUGGAAAAUAAGCAAGCCUAUGGCAUUAAUGUUAUUAGAAACAUUAUCCAUUGGCAUUAACAUUAUUUUAUCUCUAAUGUAAAAAUAUCUACAAAUAUCUGCAAUUAUGUUAGCAAUAAACUUACCUAUGUGACAUUACUUAAUUAUUCUGUAAGUAAUAGUGCGCUUUUGCAUUUUCCGUUCCUCAUCAAUCCAAUGAGUGAUAACAGUAAGAUAAUCAGUCAUUACCACUUCUACCAAUAUCAGUAGUAAUAGCAACGCAAUAAUUUAUAUGAGUAAAUAAAUUGCGCAAAUAUUGUUCAUAUUCAUGUUUAUAUUAAAUAUCGCUCUUUACGGUUGCGCGAGGCCAUCCUUUAUAGGUAGGAUUAAAAACUCUUCUAAUAUAAUAUACAAAGUGAGGGUUAGAAGGAAAACUAUAGGGUAAGCACAUACCAGUAACUAUUUUUGCCAAUUCUUCAUGAUUUUUAUUUAGAUCGUAAUAUAAAAUGCCGCCGAUAACAGUGUUAAUUCCCGAUUGAACUAGAUUUGACCCGGUACUAGGGUUAACCUGAGUGCCUACACUUGUCCCCUCUUGCGCAACUUUCAUUUGAAGAAAUCUAGCUUUAUCUUUAGGGUGUGUCUUUAUGUAUCUAGUCAAAGUACCCGUACCUACGGUCUUCAAUAAAUUUAUGAGCCAUCAAAGUCCUACAAGUUUUACACUUAGCCUUAUUUUUGAUCUCUUAGUUGAAUAAAAAAGUGCCAAAUAAGAGAUGUUUCGCACCGUCUAGAAGGUUGUCUAUUAAAAGUAGGGGUUACUACAGGAGGGUCCGGCGGGACAUCAUUUGGAUUAUUAUCAUUUGGGUUAGCAACAUGACUAGUAGGUGUAUCAUCUAAAUCCGGCUGCAUUUCAUCCAAAUCAUCAUUUUCAUCGAUAGUUGGAUUACCAUAAAGAGCAUCCAUAUAUUCAUCAUUUAAUUGUUGACCUGGUGUAAUAUCAUGACAAAAUUGACUAUCGGUAAAUUGAAAACAAGGGUUAUCACUAUCAAGAAUAAUAGGUGGAGGAGGACGGGUAACAGUUCUGCGUCGGGAAGCACGGGGAGGAGUAGUAGCUUGGCCACUAGAUUCACAAAUUUUAGAUUUUCCUUUCCCACCAAAUAUUUUUUUUAAAGAAAAGUCCAUAUUAAUUGUAAUUAUACAAAGGCAGAAUAGCCUAACAGACACCUGUACUUGUCGUCUUUGUCAUCCCGGUCCCUAUGCUUAAUGUAGUUUCGUCCAGACACAUGAACUCAGUCAAAACAUGUGUCUUAGACCCCUCUGACUAUUGAUUGAGCUUAUUUGUCAUUUAUUUUGCUGAGUCAGAAAAAUGAGUAGUUACACGCUCUAAAAAGGAGAGUGAAUGUAUUAAUUUUGAUUUAAAAAUAUUAAAAUAAUAACCAUAAAAAGAAAAAGAGCAAAAUAAUUUAAAAAAAAGGUAAAAUAAUUGCCCAACCCAAGCAUAUCCCAAUCUCCCUUGUCCCCUGUUUUCCCAUCUUCUUCUCCCCCUCCUUCCUAACGUAACCCCUCCCUUUAUGUGUUGAGCCUGGACUAGGGUCUGGUAGUGUCCUAAUCACCACUCAGACACAUAUCUGACUUAUGAGAGUCUGCUCUUUUAUUAAUUUGAAUCAAGUAAAGGAGUAUAAGAUGGAGAAGAAUUUUCGUUUAGGACAUCUAAAUAAACAGAUCUAUUAGUGGGGUAGGAUUUUCUAAAGAUUCAAAAAGCCAUGAAAAUGUGUAGUAAUUUUUCUGGUGUUUUUUUCUACAGCUGUGACCAUCAGUCCAUGGUGGUCAUGGUUUUCCAAAGGAGUUUGCUCGUUGGUUGUUGCCCUUUUUGUGUCUUUGUUCUUGAGAGUUACUUUGUUGAGUCCUGUAAAUUUCAAAGUUACUGUGGUGAUAUGAAUUUUACCUGAAAUAUUAAGAGUAAGGAGAUGAAGCGAGAUAGAAAUUUUUUAAGAUCGUGCUUAGUAAGAAGGAAAGAGAGCAAAAACGUGGAGGGGACCCUGAGAUUUUCCGGUUGUUUCUGGUGAUAAGGAUCGUCGACAACAUAGGAAGAUGGGGAUAGAUUUGAAAUACUUUUAAAAAGGUAAUAUUUAAAUAAAUAUAGAUGUGGCAUAAAUUUAUCUGAUGUGGACAUGAAAUUUUUUCCACGUCAGGUGAAUGAGCAACACGGAAUGCUGGAUGAUUUAAAAAACAUGCUUUGAUUGAGUUUAAGUGUCUGGAUGAAACUUCGUACAAUACAGGGGCCGAGAUGACAAAGUGACACAAGUAUAGGUGCCAUUUAGGCUAUUCUACCUUAUACAAACUAAAACAAACAAAACUAUAAUAUUAAAACAUAAGAGUUUGGAACGAGUUUACCGUAUUGACGAACAACUUCUUGAAAAUUGUAUAUCGUUGAAGACUUGAAUACUUUAAUUUACCAACUUCACAAUUUUUCACAAAUUGCAAUAAUAAAGUAAGCAAUUAUAGAAGAAAAUUAGAGAGAGAUUAAUGAUUUUGUGAGUAAAAAUGAAAGAAUGAGGGUUAUUUGUAGUUGAGAAUAGGGAAAAAGUCUAAUUAUAAAAAGUUUGGGGGGCAAAUGACUAUUUUUUAAAAGCCAAACGGCUAAAUUGGCAGGCCAACGACUAGUUUUUAAACUUCCAACCGUUGGCCAAAUUUUUUUUUUUAAUUUUUUUUUUUUGAAAAAUAGCCGUUGGGCCCGGUUGAACCGGCCCAGGCCUGCCAGCCAGUCCCGGGCUCGCGGUCCCGCCAUGCUGGACCACAGUGGGCUCCUAGGACCGCUUGAGACCGGGCCGUACGGGCCAGCCCGUUUAGCCCAAAGCCCAUGUGCGCUCGCAGUCCCGGGCUGGGCUCGGACCACAAUACAACCUUAUAGGGGAUCUUUACAGUUCGUUGUCAUUCUAAAUUGCCUAAGAAGUAAUCUGAGAAGAUUCUCAGUUGAAGUGCAAAGGCUAAAAGUUAAAGCACAAUUGCAUUUCAGAGCCUUUUCAAGAUUUACUUCCUUGAUUUGAUACAAUCACUGAUCUCUUCAUCCCCAAAAAAAAAAAAACAACCAUGUGACUGAUAUGUUGCAAAGCAUGAUUAGUUCUGGUUCUGGUAACAAUGUAGAAAGUGGGGCAAAUAUGGAAGACAUCAAAUUGGAGUUUCACCUGUUCGGUUAAAUUAUUGUCUCAAAGCAUUAGAGUAAACUGUUCUCUAAAAAUACUUAUUUCAAAGUGGAUUGCAUCUUCUGACAUGAGGCAUGAAAGUAUAGGUCAUAUAACUUUGUUCAUAGACGCUUUUAGAAUUUAAAAGAUAAAUUGAGACAGCCAUAUCUCCAGUAAAGUUGACAGUCAGGUACUCUAAAUGGAGUGGAUUGCGGUUACCAUUUAACUACAUGUUACUUCCAGGUUCCUAAGGACAAGGAAGAGCUUGCCGCUCUGCAGGCAAGGCUAAAGAAGAGAUUUCCGGUGGAUGCAUACAAUCAAGCACGAAAGGAGCUGGACCCAAAACGCAUCCUUUCUAAUAACAUGCUUGAGAAGCUCUUCCCUUCAUCUGAGGCUGUGUAACUGGUUUCUUGGUUGGUUUACGUCUUUCUUAUCAAAUCUUUUUAACGAUAGUGAUCUUCAUCUUCACUUUCUUUCAAGCAAAUAUUUUGUGGAGGAAAUUUUUGUCCUGUACAUUGUUGUUCAGAAUGUUAAGUUGAAGGAAUUGUUAUAAUAAUGCAUUGUAUAUGCUUGAGCCAGUCUCCAACUUGGUUGCCUCCUUCAAGGACAAUUUAUGGAUAAAUCGGGAAUCUAGUCUUAGGCUAAGAAGAAUUAGUUAUGGCGUCAUUCGUCAAGUAUGUUGUUUCAGUAAGGAUGAUGCAGCCUCUACUAGGCCAGUUCUGCACACUGUUUCUUGAGCAGUUUUCUGAGGAUUCUGAUGUAAUCUGAAUACUUUGGUAUUAUUGUUGAGCCUUAAUUUUUUUUUUUGAGCAGCAGCCGAAUUCUUGUGAACAGAACAUGUCAUGGUGGUUUUAUAUCUAGAUUUGAACUGGUAACCUGUGCUGUUAUAUUGUUUUGUUCAGUUGCAAUAGUUUCUGGGAUGUGAAUAUUAAAAAGAUAUUUUAUCUUAUAAAUAUGUUAUUUAACAUCGUGUGCAAAACACAUGUUUAAUUAACAACUCUGGAGUAUAGAAGUGUAUACAGUCGAAAUCGAGUUCGUCUAUUGCAUGACAUAUCAGGAUUGAGACGUGAAGGGUUGAAGAUCGACCCCAGUUUCCAUCGAACUAGAAUACAAGGUCAGAGCACCCGUCUGCAAGAACAUUGAGUCCAUGACCCAGAAUCGAUCUUGACCCCGCAUGAGCUUGAGAAUACAUUUUCAGAUCGAAUAACGGCAGACCGAAAUAUCAGUAACCGGGUCGGGUAUCACAGCGGGAAUCUCGACACGUAUCAAUGAGAAACUGGCUAAUUAGCAGAUUAUGGGAUCUUUUACCUUUUAUAGAAUUGUACUUAAAGUAGGGUUCCCCUACUAUAUAAAAAGGGUCUGAUUAUUUGUGAAGGACAUUGAAAUAUCCAUUAAGAAGCAAUAUAUUGUUUUUCUCUUUAAGUUCUAUUUCAACCGUGUCUUGAGACUGAUCGAAGUGUUUUAUGCUAAAGAGUGGCUCCCCCCAAGGCUGUUACUGUUUAAUUCGUGUGGUUUGAAUUUGCUUUAUCAUGCUUUAUUUACAAUUACAAUUUAAUUUGCACAUUUUGUGCCAAUUUAAUCCACGUAUCCUUCAAAUCACUUAUAAAUUCAAUUGUUAUCCGAUUUUGAGGGUAAACAAUUUGGCACCUACCGUGAGGCUAAGGAUAAUAGUGGUUAUUUUAUACAAAUUCCCAUAGCACAUUCUAUUUUACACUUGUUCUUUGAAGUGUCUCUGAUUUCAGAAUAAAAAUGUCGAACUCCAAAUCAACACCUCUACAUGUUGACAAUGAUUCUGGGCACCAUGCCGAAAACGACAACGUAGCACCCGGGAACGGCGUACCCUCGAUCGACCUUGACGGAGUCCCGGUUGCAGAUCCAAUCAAUGUUAGCUUGCAUGUGGUCAUUAACGCAAAUUUGCCCACCGAUAACGUCCGUACGAAUAUUCGAUCGGUCGCAGAAAGCACACGCAUCGGCGAAGAUGGUGUAAUCAACUUGCAAGUGAUCUUCGAAAUGUUACAAGCUCAACAAGCGGCGUUAGACCAACUCCAGAACCAGAGCCGCCCGCCAAAUAGGGUUGAGCCCGAAACAUCCCAGGAAAUUGUUCACAGAGUUGAACCGGUCUCAAGGAGAUCGAAUCAGAAGGAGUCUGGUAUCAACCCAGUAAUCAUGAAGAUGCUCUAGGAACUGAUAAAACGAAUAGAGUCAGGAGAGAAGAAGAUCGAGACAAACGAUAAGAAGGUAGAAACCUACAAUUCCAGAGUCGAUCAAAUUCCAGGAGUGCCGCCGAUAUUGAAAGGCCUAGACUCUAAUAAGUUCGUGCAGAAACCUUUUCCUUCGAGCACGGCUCCCAAGCUAUCCCUAAGAAGUUUCGCAUGCCCGAAAUUCCUUAGUACAAUGGAAUAAUCAACCCAAACGAGCAUGUUACCUCCUACACAUGUGCCAUCAAAGGGAACGACUUAGAGGACGACGAGAUCGAAUCUGUCUUGCUAAGGAAAUUUGGGGAGACCCCGUCGAAGGGAGCUAUGAUAUGAUAUCAUAAUUUACCACCUAAUUAUAUUCACUCUUUUACGAUACUUGAAGACUCUUUUGCGAAGGCACACCUGGGUCUAUCAAGGUCGAGACCAGGAAGUCAAGCAUUUUCAAAGUAAAAUAGAAGGAUAAUGAAAUGCUCAGAGAGUUCAUGUCCCGGUUUCAAAUGGAACAGAUGGACCUGCCACUGGUUGCUAAUGAUUGGGCAGUUCAAGAUUUCACCCAAGGACUCAAUGUUCAAAGCUCGAUGACUUCACAACAGUUGAAGCAGAAUCGGAUAGAGUACCAGCUGUUACUUGGGUCGAUGUGCAUAACCGAUAUCAACAAAAAAUCAGAGUAGAAGAUGAUCAACUUGGGGCCCCUUCCGGGUCCGUUUAUCCUGUCAGACCUGUCGACAGAAACAAGAGAGAUAUCGAUCGUGAAUCGAGGUCAAACAGAUAUUGGUACCAGCCGUACAAUAGAGAUCGGAGAAGCUGUGGGUCCGGGCGAAAUUCUAUGAGAAAUGAAAGGAGAAAUGGUCGAGGUUAGAGCACUCGAGGAUUCAUGAGCAAGAAUGGCGUCGAAAGGCCUAUUGGCCCUAAAUAAGAACCAAGGUGAUCAGAAUAUUACUUUAACAUUGAUUCAACUUCCAUUGUAUCAACUAUAUGUAACACUUCUCAAAUCUAUAAAAGUUUCAAAACACGCUUAACAUAGAAUUUAAUUAUUUUCUAAUCUUAAAUUAUACUUAUAUUACGGAUUUAAACCAAUGUGAUUGAUUUUUGAGUUACUUAUCUAAAAUUAGAUAUACAAUUAGUGAAAUAUUAAUAAUUUUAAUAUUAUUAAUAAUUAAAAGUAGGUAUAAUUAAAUACUAGUUAAGUCAUAAAAAUAAAAAAAGACAAGGAACUUAAAAUUGGGCCUAAAGCCCAUAGAAUAGUCUAUACGUAAGGGCAAGGAAAAAGGCUUAAAUACCUUGGACUAAAAGGGGACAAGGGAUUGGGCUUCAAAGAAUACAGAGCAACAAAUUCAAUAAUUAGGCUUUUAAGGACAAAAUAUCAUGGUAUAGUCAGUUUUCACACUAGUCAAUCAAAAAUAGCCAGCGUUUACCAAGUCAAUGAAAAAUAGUCACUAUUUUGCUGCAAAAGGGACCGGUUCCAUAUAAUAUACGGGAGUUCUGGUGUAUUUGUGUACGAACUCCAUCAUAUUAUCCUGGACCGGUAUACUUUGCUAACUUCUGUAUAAUAUAUGGUAGACCGGAGCACCAGUGCUCCAAACUCCAGUAUAUUAUACUAGACAUUGAUACUUGCUGGAACUUCAGUAAAAUAUACGGGAGUUCCAGCAUAAUUAUGCUUGAACUCCCGUAAAAUUUGCGGGAGUUCCAGGAUAGUUAUCUUGGAACUCCCGUAAAAUAUGCGAGAGUUCAAGCAUACUUAUGCUGGAACUCCAGUAAAAUUUACAGGAAUAUUUUCUGGAUUUUGAACAAUAUUCAUAUGUAGUUCAGGAGCCAUUGGAGGAAUGUGCCGAUGGAGGUUUGCAAAGGACGGGCGCGAUGUUUAGGUUGCAGGAGGUAUUUGAAAUUUGAUAGGCGGCCGGGACCGGAGCGGGAUCGCUCCUUCUGAAAUGGCCAUUUACCAAUAAGAACACCUACAAGUGAGCAAUACAAAAUAUAUUGUGCAUAAAUUUAAACAUGAUGCAAGUUCCCGUUGGACCAUGAAUGUCGUCUUUGGACGGUUAGGGUGACGUCCUCGGACCAUGACGUCCUGGGUCAUGAAGUGUAUGAUAAAGGAUUCGAAGGCUAUGAAAUGAUGUUCUCGGGCUGUGAUAAUGAUGCUUCCGAACUAUGAUGCCGUUGAAUAAUGAUAUGACAAAGAUAAAAUUGGGUCCUCAGGCCAUGGCAUGGCAUUCUUGGGCUAUAAAAAUGGUGCCUCCGAACAAUGACGCGUUUGGAUAUUUUGGCGAUAUUUCAUCCUAUGAAAUGCAAAAGGUAGCGAUCUUUUAGCCAAUGCACGAAGUAAAUAAAGGUGGUGAUAUUUCAGUCAGUGUAAGAUUUAAAUAAAGGCGGCGAUAUUUCAACAAAUUCAAGAUUUAAAUAAAUGUGGCGAUAUUUUAGCCGAUGCAAAAUGGAGACAGAGCUUAGUCUCGAAAGGUAGAAAGGUUGCCUUAUGCAAUGCAGAGGUAUGGAGGUAGAGUUUAGUCUCAGAAGGCAGGAAGGUACCCUUAUGAAAAAUGCAUAUAAUGCAGAUGGAGACAAUGCUUAGUCUCGGAAGGCAGAAUAGUAGCCUUAUGCAAGAAUUGCAGAUGGAGAUAGUGCUUAUUCUCGUAAGGAAGAAUAGUAGCCUUAUGCAAAAUGCAGAUAAUGUAGAUAGAGGUAGAGCUUAGCCUCAAAAGGUAGAAUAGUAUCCUUAUGCAAGAAAUGCAGCUGGAGACAAGGCUUAGUCUCGAAAGGCAGAAAGUCAGCCUUAUGCAGAAUGCAGAUAAUGCAGAUGGAGACAAUGCUUAGUUUCGAAAGGUAGAAGGGUAGCCUUAUGCAAUGCAGGAAAUAAAAGGUGAAUUGUAAUGAAAUCUUUUAGCUGGUAGAUGAUAAUUGAUAGUUGAUUGCAUCAUUGUGACUGCAGGGGAUGUUAUGCACGGAUAGCAAUUGUAAAUAGGUGAUUAUUCUGAAAAGUUGCUUUCUUGAGCAAGUAUGAGUGCAUAAAUAUCAAAUGAUAUUGAAAAUUGAGCGCCUGCAUCCAAAGAAAAAUUGUGAGUUUUGUAAAGGGGGGAAGGUUAGUUCGUCUUCUCGUGGCCUUUUCUCGUCCUGCUUGAUGUUGUGUAUCAUUGGGGUAGCUUGCUAGACACAAAAAUUCGGAUAAUAUUCAUGCAUGACUUAGUACAAUAAUGUAACUUAAAUACAUAAUUGAAAAAAGUAGUUUUCUUUUUUAGAUGAACCGACAACUGGGAUGUGAUUCAAGACAUUGCAACCUCUCUUUCUCUAGAAUUUUGAGGGUCCUCCUCAAAGUUCUGCCCCAUUAACUGGGCUGGCACUUUCGACGGCUGUGUGCAAUGAACGACUGAAAUCAAUUUGAAAAUUUGAGGGUCCUCCUAAAAAUUCUGCCCCAGUUUCCAAUGGCGGGGAAAAUGGAAAUUAUGUUGAAUUGUGACCGGAAGGGCUGCCUACGUAUCCUCUCUUAAAUAGGAAUCAGGUCAGGUAUAGUUCAAAUUACAUCAUAGAGAAUUUAAUAAAUAAUUACACAUAGUAUCACUUGACUGUAUAUGAAUUGAUUGGCUUCGGCUAGACUUCUUUGUCCAUUUCUGCAAGUAUGAGGCCUCCUCCUAUCAGAACCCGGUGAACCAUAUACAGACCUUGCCAAUUGGGAGAGAAUUUCCCUUUGGCUUCAUCUUGAUGCGAAAAAAUCUUCUUCAACACCAGCUGCCCUAGUGUAAACUUCCUCGGCUUGACUAUUUUGUUGAAAGCUUUGGACAUUCUGUUCUGAUACAAUUGACCAUGGCAAACUGCAUUCAUUCUUUUUCCAUCUAUAAGGGCCAACUGCUCGUAAUGACCCUUUACCCAUUCUGCAUCAUCUAACUCUUCUUCUAGUAUGAUCCUCAAGGAGGGAAUUUCCACCUCAGCGGGAAUGAUCGCCUCUGUACCAUAAACCAAUAUAUAUGGAGUCACUCCGGUUGAUAUGCGGACUGUGGUUUGGUAUCCCAAUAGAACAAACAAUAAUUUCUCAUGCCACGUCUUGUGCUUCUCUAUCAUCUUCCUUAGUAUCUUCUUGAUAUUCUUGUUGGCCGUUUCUAUAGCUCCAUUCAUCUAAGGCCUGUAGGCUAUAGAGUCCUUGUGUUUAAUCUUGAACGUUUCACACAUCGUUUUUCAUCAGAUCACUAUUGAGAUUGGACCCAUUGUCGGUAAUGAUCGACUCGGGGAUGCCAAAUCCAUGAACAAUAUGGUCGCGGAUGAAAUCAGCCACACCUUCUUGGUUACUUCUUUAUAUUAUGCUGCUUCGACCCAUUUAGUGAAAUAAUCAAUUGCUACCAGAAUAAACAUGUGCCCAUUUGAUGCGGCAUGCUCGAUUGGUCCAAUAAUGUCCCUUCCCCAAGCAGCGAAUAACCAUGGCAAGCUCAUUACGAUAAGCUCAAUUGGAGGUACUUUUAUCAUAUCCACGUGUAUCUGACAAUGAUGGCAUUUUCGAACAUACUGGAUGCAGCUCGUUUCUAUAGUCAUCCAAAAAUAACUUGUCCGGAGUAUCUUUUUUGCUAUUAAGACAAAACCAUUUAUGUGUUGGCCGCAGGUUCAUCCAUGAACCUCUUCUAAUAACUUGGAUGCAUCAUUUGCUUCGACGCACCUUAGUAACCCCAAAUCGAGAGUCCUCUUGUACAUGAUUCCUCCAAUGUGAAAGAAAUUGUUAGACAAUCGCCGAAGGGUGCGCUUCUGAGUAGCAUUUGCAUGUUCUGGAUAUUCUCCUGUUGUCACGUACUCCUUGAUGUCAUAGAACCAUGGUUUUCCAUCUUCUUCUUCCUUGACAUGAGUACAAUAAGCUGGCUGAUCAUAAAUCUUUACUGGGAUGGGAUCAAUGAAAUUCUUGUCUGGAUGUUGAAUCAUGGAUUAUAGAGUAGCUAACGCAUCUGCGAGUUCUUUCUGGACCCUGGGGACAUGCUGAAAUUCUAUCUUUGUAAAUCUUUUUCUUGACUCCUGUAUGUGAUGCAAGUAGGGAAGUAUCUUAGAGUUCUUGGUUGCCCAUUCUUCUCGGACCUGAUGUAUGAGCAAGUUUAAAUCCCCAAUAACUAGACUCCUGAAUGUUCAUAUCAAUGGCCAUCUCGAGCCACAAGAUGCAUGCUUCAUAUUCGACCAUAUUGUUGGUGCAUCAGAAUCUAAGCUUGGCGGAUACCGGGUAAUGUUGGCCGAUUUCUGACACUAGGACUGCUCCUAUGCCAACUCCUUUAAAAGUUGCGACUCCGUCGAAAAACAUUCUCCAACCAUCAUAGGAUUCUGCAAUAUCUUCUCCUAUGAAAGAUACAUCCUCAUCGAGAAAAUACGUCUUUAAAGGCUCGUAUUCUCCGUCCACGGGAUUCUCGGCGAGAUGAUCCGCCAAGGCUUGCCCUUUGAUUGCCUUCUGAGUAACGCAAAAAAUGUCAAAUUCACUUAGCAGGAUUUGCCACUUAGCUAGGUUGCCAGUGGGCAUGGGUUUCUGAAAGAUGUACUUCAACGGGUCCAUUUUGGAUAUGAGAUAAAUAGUGUAGGCACAGAAAUAAUGCCUCAACUUCUGAGCAACCCAUGUCAAGGCACAACAAGUGCGCUAUAGUUGAGAAUACCGGGCCUCGUACGGAGUGAACUUCUUGUUGAGAUAGUAGAUGGCUUGCUCCUUUCUCCCCGUUUCAUCAUGUUGUCCCAGAACACAAUCGAAUGCUCCAUCUAAUACUGCAAGGUAGAGCAACAGAGGUCUACCUAGUUCGGGCGGAACCAAGACUGACGGCGUUGACAAGUGUUCCUUGAUUCUAUUAAAAGCUUUCUGUCAAUCAUCAGUCCACUUGGUAGCAGCGUCCUUCUUCAACAUUUUAAAGAUGGGUUCACAAAUGACAGUAGACUAAUCUAUGAACCGGAUGAUAUAGUUGAGGCGGAUAUAGUGGAGUCUCCCUAGGAAACUCAUCACGUCUUUUUUGUUCUUUGGUAGUGGAAAUUCUUGAAUAUCCUUAGCCUUUGAUGGAUCCAAUUAUAUUCCUCGACGACUCACGAUGAACCCUAGUAAUUUUCUAGCAGGAACCCCGAAUGCACACUUGGCGGGUUUCAAUUUAAGGUUGUACCUCCUCAGUCUAUUGAAGAACUUUCUCAGAUCUUCCAUGUGAUUAGUGAAUUUCUUGGAUUUGAUGAUGACAUAUUCCACAUAUACCUCGAUCUCCGUGUGUAUCAUGUCGUGAAAAAUAGUAGUCAUGGCCCUCAUGUAGGUGGCACCAACAUUCUUUAAACCAAUGGCAUUAUUUUGUAACAAUACAUCUCCCACGACAAGAUGAAAGCUGUUUUCUCUGCAUCUUCCUCAUCCAUCCAUAUCUGAUGAUACCCAGCGAACAAUCAACAAAAGACUGUAACUCAUGUUUGGCGCAGUUGUCAAUAAGAAUGUGUAUGUUCGGCAAGGGAAAGUCAUCUUUGGGACUGGCCCGGUUAAGAUCCUGGUAGUCGAUACUGACUCUAACUUUCCCAUACUUCUUUGGUAUUGGCACGAUGUUGGCUAGCCAUGUCGGAUAUUCCACUACCCUGAGAAAUUUGGCUUUGACAUGUUUGGUGAUUUCUUCCUUGAUUUUCAAACUCAUGUCAGGAUUGAACUUUCUGAGUUUUUGCUUUACCGACGGACAUGUUGGAUCCUUUGGCAGUUUGUGAGCUAUAAUGGAUGUACUGAGACCAGUCAUAUUGUCAUAAGACCAGGUGAAUAUGUCCUUAUAUUCCUUUGGGAACUCCAUAUACUCUUUCUUUUCUGAUGGUGGCAGGUGAACAUUGAUGCAUGUUUCCUUGACAUUCUUUGUGUCUACCAAGUUAACGACCUCAGUUUCGUCCAAGUUAGACUUAGGUCUAUUUUCAAAAUCCUAGAUUUCUUUGACGACCUCUUCUGGUAUAUCAUCCUCUUCUGAAUCUAUAUUCGUUUGUUGUGUUGUCUCGUUUCACGUCACAAUCCUCGGUUCAUCAUCAAGAUAAGUAAUAGUAAUGUUGUGUGAAUAAAGUAAGUGAUAGAGAAAAAAAUAUAAUAAUAGCAAGGUAUAUGAGAAAAUUUAAAUUCUUUGAUUAAAACUUCAUAAAUGUUUGGGAGCAUCGGAGCUCUUUUCAAAAUAAAAGAAAAUAUGGAAAGUAAAUUAGCUAGUAAAAGUAAAAUGUGAUGCGUGGUGAUUUUGUUUAGCCUUGCUACCCUGAAGCUUUCCGGGCCCUGGUGGUUCUGAUGGACCAUUUGUUGAGGCGUUCUCCUCGGCUCACAACUUGUAUAGAAGGGCCUUCCUCCCCUUCCUCCUCGAAAAUAACAUAGCAUGCCAUAUCACAGUCCUCCAGAGACAGAUUCUUCAUGGCUGCCAAUGCUUCAUAUUCCUCUAACCCAUACAUAGUAUCUGGUGGUUGGGAAGUCUGCUCCAGGCGAGGUAUAAGAUUCUCUAGUAGAUAGUAGGGACCACGCCAUGGUGGCGACCAGUGGUUGAACACCCCAAACUAAAAGUUGUACCAUGUUUCUUCAACUUGAUGGGUUAUGGCAAUUCCUUGGAGGUCUUCUCCAAGUCCUUUUCCAAGAUCAUAUCAACACCAAUUUAGGAUGCUCUCAAUAUUGUUGUCCCACCAUUUAUAUUUGUCCACGGAAUUGAUCCGCUCGAUGUGAUUAUAGGUUUCUCUGCCUAUUCUCCUUCUUUCUUCAAUCAUUGGGAUGAUCUGGCGACUGUAUAUAGGGUUGCUACUAUCGCCAUGAAUAAUCACUUCAUGGUGAUUCCACUCAAAGUUCGCUGCCUGGUGCAGGGUUGAUGCUACAGCUCUGGCGGCAUGAAUCCACGGUCAUCCCAAUAACAAGUUGUAGGCUGCCGGGACAUCUAUCACUUGGAAGUCAACAUCGAACCAAGUUGGUACCACCUGCAGGAAUAAACUGAUCUCCCCAAUAGUGGACCUUUGGGAUCCAUCAAAGGCUUUGACAUUGAUGGACCCAUCUUUAAUCUCGUGCAGGCUCUUUCCUAAUGUUCUGAGAGUUAUCAGUGGACAGAUGUUGAGUCUGGAUCCUCCAUCGAUCAGGACUCUAGUGAUUAAGUAAGCCUCGCAUUACACGGUGAUGUGUAGUGCCUUGUUGUGACUCAGCCCUUCUGGUGGAAGCUCAUCUUCGUGGAAGAUGAUUUUGUGGCUCUCCAGUACAUGCCCCACCAAGUUCACCAUUUCUCCUCCAGUUAUGUUGCUGGGCACAUAUUUUCGUCAGUCAGUAUAUUCAUCAAGGCAUUCUUGUGUGCGUCGAAGCUCUCCAGAAGAGCUAGGAUAGAGAACUGUGCCGGUGUUUUGUUCACCUGUUAAACGACUGAGUAUUCUUUUGCCUGUAUCUUCCUCUAAAGAUCAUCCAGCCCAGUUUCAAUAGGCCAUCCAGAGGUUUGCUUUCUGGACUCGGCUAGGUGUUCUGGAGUGUAAACUAUGCCUGCUCUAGUCAUACCCUGCACAUCAGUUGCUUCUCCAGUUUUGGCCUUCUCUUUUCUCCCGGAUUCAGGUGUGUAAUCCCAUGGUUUGGCAUUUGAGUGGCAUGGAAAUACACUUGUCAUUGCUACAGGAAUAGGCACCCUUGGUGGGCACACAUCGACUUCAAAUGGUACAGGUGCUUUUGGAGCCCCAAACUCAACCUCAAUUCGCACAAGAACCUUUGUAGAAGAAGGUGCUUCAAAUUCGAGUGGUAUAGACAUGUUUACUUCAUCGCCCCCGGAGGGCUGGUUCUGGACAACAAUCGGGUUAAGUGUGACAGUUGGCUUCUUCGACUCAUCACCCUCAACAGUCAAUCCUAUCGACCCCUUUAGGGUCCUAAUCAUCUUUGAUCUCGAUCAUGUGAAUGUCUCCACCUUUUGUUAGGCAGAGGGUUGUUACAAAUGUUAGGAGCAGAAUCCUUUUCCACGAUGACCUUAUUAUGGAUCAGGGUUUGAAUUUUGUCCUUCAGUGAGCAGCAUUCGCCAAUGGUAUGUCCCUUCAUGCCGAAAUGGUACGCACAGGUCUUGUUAGGGUUGACCCACUGAGAAAAAUUUUCUAAAGUUAUGGCAGGGAUAGGGGUGACGUAACCAGUAGCUUUAAGUCUUUCAUACAGCUGGUCAAUUGGUUCAGCGUGGUUGUAUAUUGCCUGGGAGGUUUGCGGUCAAAAUUUGGUCUAGGUAUAGGGAAAAUUUUACGAGUGGGAGGUGAUUGGUAGUGAGAGGGUUGGGCAUUAUAAGCUUGGUAAACAGGUGCAGGUUAAGAAUAUCUGGGUGAAGUGGGUUGAUUUGUAGGAGGUAUGGAUGACUGGUAAAUGGGUGGUGGAUUUUGGUAAGAGGGUGUGAGUGCUUGAAAAUUUGGAUAGGCUGAUAUGUAAGUGGAGGUAAUGGGUAAGUGUGGUAUUUCAUCGGGGAUUUUGUCCUUUGUAUGACAAUCACAGCACUCACAUCCUUCUUCAUGGACAUGCCACCAGACCGUGGAGCCUUGUUGGCGGCCUGCAAUACAUUUGGCAAUGUAGUUGGACUCUCAUGUAGAUCCGAAUGAAUCAUCCUUUCCACGGAGGUAAAUCUUUGCCUGCUAGGCAAGAGGAUAGCAAGUUCCAAAUUCUGUCUCGGUAGGACAUGUAUUUCUAUUACUAUGAAAUUCAUAAAUGAAGUAGUUAAUGGUAGGGUUACCAUUAUCCUUUUUGUGGUGACGAAUCUUGUAUGUGUUCCUAAGAAAAGGAAUUUGUCCAUUUUUCGGGGUCUCAAAGGGGCGUGGAAACGCAUAA